UCAGAAAUUUUUGCAGUGAAAUCUUGGUCUAGAAGUAUGUUUUGAGGCUUUAUGUCACAGUGGAUGAUGGGAACAUUGCACUCUUCGUGCAAGUACAGAAGCCCUCUUGCAAUCUCCAGGGAAAUCCUGACUCUUAGACUCCAGUCAGGUCUUGGACUUGCAAAAAGUAGGUUAGCCAAGGUGCCAAUCCCCAUGAAUUCAUAUACUAAAAGCCGGUUAAGACCUUCGUCACAGAAUCCAAGUAGCUGGACAAGAUUCUUGUGAUGUGUUCUGCCGAUUGCACUCACUUCAGUUUUGAAUUCCCUUUCCCUUUCUUGUGCCAACUUGUCCAAUUUCUUGACUGCUACAACAUUUCCUGAAGCGGAUUUGAGGACACCUUUGUAAACUAUGCCAAAAGAACCCCUCCCUAGUUCGUCCUCGAACCCAUUUGUUGCUUCAUUGAGUUCAGCGAGCGAAAAGAAACGCAAAUUUGUUUCGGAAAUACUUGAACGUUGGACCUUGUUUCCAUCUUUUCUCUUGCGCCACACAAAGACGAGAAGAGAUAUUGCCAGUAGCAAAAGUCCAUUGAAGAAUACAGAGCUACCUAAUAGAAGUGCUCCUAGUAAGAUUGGUAUUCCUUUCUUGCCACAAGUAUUGCCAUCAAAAUCAACAGGAAAACCUCCUUUCCUUUCUUUGAUGAGAGCUUUUGUAAAUCCUGUUCCUGCAUUGUCAUAGGCCCCAAGGGAAAGGGGGAAUCUCUUCUUCCAACAUUGUCUAGCAUUAUUAUAUACGGCAACAGCACACAAGCAAUCAUGCAAGCAAGAUGUUUCACACUCUGUUUGAUCAUAAGGUUCCAACCUUUCAUAAUCUCCAAAAGGCCAAUUUACAUUAGCGAGUUCCCUCAUUUCAUACAACUCUUCUGCAUUUCUAGAUCCAUCAUCUGGUCCACAGCCUUGCGAGUAAUUUGGCUUGCAACCACUAAAUCUGUUACUUGGAUCCACAAAUAAAUACCCUGGAGGGCAUUCACAAAAAGGUCUCCCAUUUUGAAGUAAGCAGUAGCUAUUGAACCCACAGGCACCACUACCGAACUCAUCAGAUAUAGCAGUGCAAAUGUUGUUAGGAAGACGACGUGUAGUAAACCAGCUUUGUUAUUUUUCACUAUGUAAAUAUCAGCUGAUUCAUUGAAUACCAGCUGAUGACCAGACUCAGAAGAAUUAGCGCUGGAAGUAUUACUGGUAUAAUAACUUUUGUAUUGGAAUCGGCUUGGCCAGGCCACAGGAAUGAACUCAAGGCUUCCAUUUGAAAAAUGGAGCUCAAACCUGCCUUUGGAGAAGUUGGUUUCUGUAAGCCUGGAAACCAACACGCUACCCAAAUCUAAUAUUUGGGUAGGCAAGAUGGUGUCUGUUGGACUUUUAAAACUCUGCCAAGCAUAAUCGGAAUUGUUACCAGAGGCCAUAAGCACAAAAUUACCUGUAUCAAGCAUGGCAGCAUCUGAUACAAUUUUGUUGGGCUUUUCAUCCCAUAUUGCUUGGCCUCCAGGAUCUUUAAGCUGAAGGCCGGUGGCAGUAAGUUCAAGUGUUGAUCCUCUGGGAGCUAGGACUGGGUGGUUGUCUUCAUUGGCGUGCCAAAUGAUGGUUCUUUCAGGUAUUUUGUUGAACCAAAGGGCAAGCAAGAAAAGAUCCGAACUGUUGUUUAGUUGGCGAAAUCCGAAAGCAAAAUCCCUUGAAGGUGAAAUCCAUGAAGAGUUGUUACUGGUGCUUGAUAGAGUUGAACCCAAAGGUAUGUUGGCAGCGGAUAAAAAUGGUAGCAGUGGAAGAGAAAGCAAGAUAAGACGAGAGAGAGCCAAAGAAUCCAUGGCAGGUCGUUAUUGCAAUUGCAAAGAAGGGUUGCAUUUACUAUAAGAAGAUGGUGCUUUGUUAUUAGUCAAUUACACGCACUUUAAGCCACUAAGCUUUAGCCGAAUUCAUGCCACACAAUUGUAAAGUCAUGGGUUCGAAUCCUGUUUAAUUUUCUUUCUCAAUUUCAGUGAAAACAAUCUUUUCUUUUUUUAAAUUUAAGUGAAGUAAAUGCUUCUCGAAUAUUAGAGAGGAUAAAAAUUUAGAUAGUUUUCAUAAGAAUUGAUAUAAACUAACCUUAUAAAUAAUUUGAUUUAUAAAUAUAAGUUGUAAUCUCAUAUAAUAUGAGUUGUACUCUUGAGUAAUAAUUUCAUAUAAUAAAAAAAGAGUAAUGAUAUAGCCACAAACUCUUGUACAAAUUUAUUUUGUACAAACUGAUGUAGCAUGAUAAGAUUGGUUGAAUUAAAUAUCACUUAACCCACAUGAUUUGUUUUUAUUAUUUUAUAUUUUUAUUCAGUUAAUGAAUUAAUGACACAUCAAUUUAUACAAAAUAUAUUUAUACAAUAGUUUGUAACUGUAUCAUUACUCUAAAAAAAAUUACAUACACUUUGUUUGAUAUUUGCAAUUGAAGAAUGUGGUUCACUUGAGUCACUUCGUGGAACAGUUAAUUCGUGAAACAACGUAAUCAUGUUUGUUUCGGGGAAUUGCUCAUUAUACGUACACGAAUGAAACACGUAAAAUUUUUCAUUUCAUAGUCUUCUUGCAGGAAAUUUGAUGGAACUAUCAAAGUCAAUGGUCAUGAAUGGCUGCCCCCUCUCUACAUGAUGGCUAAAUCAAUUAGUGUAGAUAUCACAGCAUUAAUUCAGUUCGAUUCCAAAUCCCCAAUUAGUUCUAAAUUAAUUUUUAGAUUGUUUUUGGGAGAUCUAAAAGAGAUUUUAAAAUUUUAAAAGUUAAUUUUAGUAUUUUAUAAUUUGUUUUUGAAAUUACCUUUGAUAAGAUCACCUCAUCCUAUAGUAAAUUUGGAGAAGUAGUUCUAUAUAUUAUAAAAAUUUAAAAUUAUUCUUAUUUUUUAUAUAUAUUUAAAAAUAUAUAAAUAAAUUUUAUUCAACAUAAUGUCUAGUUUAUUUAUUUAUAUUCUCACAAUAAUUUAACUAUAAGAUUUAUUAAAAUACUUUUAAAAUCCACAAUACUUUUAAAAAUAAAUUUUAUCAAAUAUUUAAUUAAUCUCUUAAUAAUAGAUUAUUUUUACAGCACUAUUAAAAAUAAUUAUUUCAAAAGUUACAAUAUCACCAGUUUAAAAAAGAGUCGGACUAUUAACACUCCUCCAAAAUCCUAUUCAAACCCCUUUUUCAAUUAUAUAUAUUCCAUUUAAUGCCAGAAAUACCCUUUUUUUUCUAAAUGAACACUCUUUUCAUUUAUGAAUUUUUUAGUUUAUAAUAUUUUUCUUACUCUUUAGUCUUAAUAUUUGUAUUCCUCUCUUCAAACUUUCUCUAUUAAUUAAUUUUUAAAGAAAAAAUCUAUAAAAAAAAAAAGAGAAAACAUUAUAAUUAGAAAAUAAUGAAACUUUAUGUGUCUAAUACAAUUUUAUUCCACCUAUAAAAUUUUCAUUUAGCAAUUAAUUUGAGAAUUCUUAAAAAAAUUAUUUGCAAUUGGAUAAAAUUUUAUUUAGCUUGUUUUUCUACUGUAUUGUAUCUUAAUUAAGUUGUUAUGUUUAUUACAAGAAUUUUGUUUUGACUUAGAGGAUUACUUCUUAAAUUCAUAUUAUUUUAAUGAUAAUAAAAGAUAUUUAUAUUGUGCAAGCAAAAUAAAAGAAGAGAAAAAGAAAAUAUAAAUGGCUUAAUUCUAUUUAUAGUUGUCUUUAAAUGUAAUUAUAAUAUAACAUGGGUUUUAUAAAUUUAAUGAAGGGGUGCCAAUAGUCCAACUCUUUAAAAAAAAAAAAUCACAAUAUCACCAAACUGCUCCAAAAGUCUUCGUACACAUCCCGACGGCUUUUUUUGGGGGAAAAAAUAAUUGGGCAUAUGCGGGUCCCACAUGCACAAAUCAAAAAAGAAAGUUAGCCUUUUGGAUUCACGGCCUCUUGAUUUUUCAGUCGGAAACCAGAUCGAUUGCCAACCAAGAUUCAUUUACAUGUUUAUAGAAUCAGAUUAUUAUUAUUAUUCAGACCCAAAAAAAAAAAAAUUAUUAUUAUUAUUAUUAUUUUGGCAAGCAAUAGCAUAAGUGGCCAGCAGCCAAGAAACUCCUUCAUCAGAUGCUCUAAUGACUAACAUCAUCAUUUUACAAAACCGAAAUCACCUGGAUGGCUUAUGAACUUAGGGUGCGUUUGGGAUUGAGGUUGCACUAAAAUAUUUGGUAAACACUAACUGCUGUAGCUUGGAAGUUAUGUUAAUAUAUUUUUUCACUUGUAUCAUGAAAAAUCUUUUAUAUCUUUAAUAAUUUUAUUAAAAUUAUUAUUUAAAAUUUAUAUUUACUACAUAUUACUAAUUUUUUAUUUUAUAAUUGUAGCUUUUUUUUCUACAACAACUACAGUUUAAAAGUUACAGUAUCUCAAUCCCAAGCACACCCUUAACCUACCUCUCGAAACCGCCAUGCUGCCCAGCACCUUGACAGAAAGAAUAACUUCACAUCCAUCAAUUAAAACAAGCUUCUUAAUUUGGUAAUGGGUAAAUAUAAUACCAGAUACACAAGGCAGAGAAGUCGGCGACCUUCAUAAUUUCGCAAGCUUUGUCUCGAAAAGUUGUCCUUUCUUUAUUGAAACCGUAGACGACUAUCGUCUUUAUUCUUAUUAUUUAUAUGACGUGUCGCCUUAGUUCUCUCCUACAGACGUCCUGUCGUCAAAUCUAUGGACCGACAUCAUCAUCGUUACGACGAUUCGUCUGAUUGAUUUUAAAAUAGACGUCUUGUCGUCUAUCCCCUCUGUUCACCUAAUGUUAAAAUUUCAUCUAUUUAAAAUUUUUAUCAUUUGUAUACUGCGUUUUAAUUUUAAUUAAUUAAUUACAAGGCAAAUUUUUAAUUACACAUUGUUUUAUCUUCGGCUGCCUCUCAAAGAAAAGUGUGCUUGUCAUCAAAGAUAAUGCAAAAUGUUAAGGAAGCUCACUGUACAAAGUAAAAGAAGGAGAAGCUAAAGCUGAGAAAGAUUAAAAAGUCUAUGAUGUCACAUGAUAGUAGGCAAAGUGACAGCUCAACUGCCAGCUCAGCAUAAAUUGUUGAAUUUGUUACAAUUCAUUAUGUACACUUAAGUACUGUUUAUUUUUUAGUCUGAAAUUUUAAGCCAAGAUGAGAUAAUGUUAUUGGAACAAUUUCGAUGGCUUUAUUCAUAAAAAUUUUGUGUUGCAUAUAUUUGGAAAAGUGCUUCUGUUGACAAUGAAUGAAAAGCUAGGUCUACAAGAACGCAUGCAAGAGAAUCUUAUCAUAUCAUCAACGGAGUAAGAUAAUAACUUGGUGUCGGUUAAAAUUAAUAUAAAAACGAAAGCCAUAAGCACUUUGAAUUAGUGGAAAAUAGACAUUGGACCUAAAAGAUUUUGCUUGAGAAUCAAGGCAAGCACUCACUCGCAAAUCGCAAUGAUGUUUUCUUCCAAUAAAAUUCUUAUGAUAUCACCAAUUCAAUCGGAUUUCAAAAUUCUAAGCCAAAAUGUCUAUAAAACAAAAAAUAAAAAAUAAAAGGGCACUUCCACCAAUCAAAGUGAAAAUGCACUUAAUUAUUUUUUAUAUAUACAAUCAUAUAUAGGUGGCCUUGUGUUUAAUUAACUAUGGAUUAUCAAGCUUUCACGAUCAGUGUCAUCACAUCAUUAUUUAUGUAUUUUGUUCACCUCAAGUUCCAGGAAGGAUCUUACAAAUGAAAUCAAGAGAGAAUCUUGCUGACAAUCCCCUUCACACUUUUUUUCCUCCCUUUCAUUAAUUAGAGGAAAGGGUCCCUUUCGCAAUUCCAUUAACACUUUUAAUUUUCUUUUUAUAUAUAUAUCAAAUAUAAGGAAAGAAAACCUAUAAAUUUAGGUCUCUAACUCUUAUUAAAGUUACCAAAUCACUUUUACAGUAUUGGGUCUUGACUAUGAAUAUCAUACUAUGUAAUUAUACAAUAAUAUUAGAGAUGUAAUAUUUGAGUCAUAACUUAGAUCUCAAAUACUGUACAUCACUUAUCUACUUGAUGAUGGGUCUUAAAGUUUGUAAAAUUAUAUAACUACCAUCUAAUAGAUGAAUGUCAUGUUAAUCGAGACUUAAACUGAAACUUGGAUGUUGGAAUGUCCCGCAUUACUUGUAACAAUAUUAGAGUGUACUUCAAUUAUUUCAAUAGAAAUUUACUAAUUAUCUGAUUAGAGACCUAUUUAAUACACAUUGACAACCUAUAUCCUUAUAGAUAUUUCAUAAAAAUUUGGGGAUCCAACUCUUAUUACCCUAAAAAGAUUUAAACAAUAACUUUCAUUAUUUUAUUUUAUUUCUUUUUCAUGAAUUGACCAUUCCAUCAAUAAAAUCAUGGGCCAUAUAUGAGAAUUUGUUCUCCUUUUUUUAAUGGAUCAAAAAUUCAAGUGUUAAAAUUGACCAUCACCCAAUCUUUGUUUGAGUUUACUGUUUGAAGAUAGUAAACCCAAACAAAAAUCUUGUCAUGUUGUUACGACCAAUUCUAAAUUUUACAGCUUCAACUUCAUUAAAAUACAUUUACUGAGAAAUGGCCCUGAAAUUUAGUAUUGAAAAGUCAAUUCAUGGAAAGAAAAGAAAAAAAGAACAUAUAUAACAACGACGGGCUUUUCUAAUUAUUUUUUAUUAUGGCCCCACUAUGGACCUCUUCAAUUUAUAGAGUUUAUGCUAUAACAUACUUAAGUUUAUAAUUUUGUUAUUUGUAGCUCCAUCGAAUCAAAAUCUCAAUUGUACCAUUCAGCUCAAUGGUGGUUCAAAUUUGAUGGGGACCAUGAUGGUGAAAUUAUAAAUUUGAGUAGUCUAAAAUAUAAAAUUUGUAAAAUUGAGGAGACCAACGUUGGGGCCAUAAUGGAGAAACAAUAAAUGUUUGUAUGCUAUAACCGAAAUAUGUAAAAUUAGGGAGCCAAGAGCCAACAUGCAACAUAGUACAUGUAAGUGAGUGAAAUUUCAACCACGUCCUGUAUCUCUCCCCUGCUUGUGCUAUUACUUCCGGGAUAGGUGGCCUAUUACUAUUGGCGAACUAUUCUUUUCAAGGGUAAGUGGGGAUACUGCUUUCAAACAGUAAUAUUAUUAUUAUUUAUUUCAAUUCCAACGCCUAUAAAGUCAAAUUAUUUUUUACUUUCUACUUCACACUAUUACCAAUAUUUAGAAUUCUACACCUACUAAAGAAAAAAUUGAAACCCACACCAUUCUUCAAACCUAAUUUUCUUGAAAUAUCUACAGAUAGCAGCCUACUCCAAAUAGUUGGGUAAAUGCUUCUUUCUCAGGUAGUGGCGGUGUGAAAAUAAAAGGGUUUUAUUAGUCGGAGAUUAAGACAAAAUGGAAGAAAAACUAAGAUAAUACUUUGGCUACAUAAUAAGAGUUGUUGAGAUAUAUAUUGAUUUGGACACAAAAUUUAGGUGAAGAAAAUUUGGAAAAUAAUUCACAAGCUAAACUUUUUGACUCAAAGUUUCACUUUUUUGCACUAAACUAUUAAUUCUUCAAAUAUUUUUUCAAAGUUUGAAUAUUCUAACCCUCUCAACAUUUUACACAAGAAGAAUUGAUUAUGAAUCUUAAAUUGAUAUCAUGCGGAGGAUUCUGAAGUUAUUUAGUAAAUCCAAUCAUGUUAGAUACCUAUUCAACAUAAGAAGUUGAAGAAGUUGAAGUUCGAAAUUAAUCUUCAUACUGUUAAGGUAGAAAAUUCAUGUGACUCAACAAGAGAAUGCGCAAAAGAGUUUCGUGAUUAAUGCAUUAUUCAUAAACUUUGUCAUUUACACCAGCUGAAGUUAUUUGAAUAAAGAAAGUUGAAUUUUUUUUUUAAUAUGAGUUUUUAUUCAAUAAAUAAGCAUCGCCAGAUACGUAUGACAAUUUUAUUCUCUUCUCAUAUAUAAGUUAGCAUACUUUUCUAAAUGCAAUAUUGUUAAACAAUUGAUAAUACAUAAGUUAACUAUAUAAUGUGUCAAUCGUUUAACAUAGUUCAAGAAGUUGCUUAUUUCUAAAAUACAAGUUUAUAUAUAAAUCUAAUAGAAACAAGUUAUAAUUAAAGGCCAAAGCUCAUUACAUGAAGCCCAUCCAAAAAUAAAUAAACAAACUCCAACAUUCAUAUGAGAUAAAUCAAAUACUCUACCCUAAGGUUAAGGAAAAGAAAUAUCAGCUAACUCAACAGCAGAAUUGCUGACUUCUAAAUUACAACUUAAAUAUUGAAAAUAUAUUAAUUCGUAUUACGUAUCUAAGCCCUAGCUAAGCUAUGUUUACAUGCAAGUGUGAACUGAAAAUUUUCCCAAAACCUUGAACCAUGAGAAAAAAGGCUUCGGCAAAAUGAUUACAUAUUUCUACUUUUCGGUGGGUGACUUUCUAGCAAACUUAUAUUUCUUUUAUCUACCAAUAUUAUAAAAUUCUUAUUGUUGAAGCUUGAGUUGAGUCUUCACUCAUGUCGUGCUUCUAUAUUGGGGAGGGUAUGGACCACGCCAAAUAUAUCCAAAACUGGGUAAAUAUUAUUUAGAAGACAAAAAGUUGCCUAAAUUCCACCGAUUUGGGGCCCUUUGCUUUGAAUUUCAUGCCUUAAUGUUGUUUCAAUAGAUUUGAAAUUCUAGUUGCUUCCUUCCCUCCUUUUCUUUUUUCUUUAUUUUACCAACCGAAAGAGAUUCAUUCUCUUUUCUACUCCAACGGUCGAAAGCAUGCCCUCAUGUGGGUUCACAAAUCUCACAUCCAAAGGUCAUCAUAUCACCAAAUAAAUUUUGUUGAAGAUCUCAGCCGUUGAGUUAAUUCCAAUGUUUUGACCAUAAAUGUUUGACCAUAACUAUACCUAAUUGAAUUGUCUUAAACGGCGGGUUAUUCAAAUAUACUUUAUUCUUUUUUAAUAUAAUGAUUGCUUCACCUAAUUCACCUGCCUACAGCAUACUUCUUGGUUUCUCUAUAGGCAGCAAGCAAUGCAAUUGUUUUAAUAAAUUCCCCGAUUUACACCCUUUGAACUUGAUUGCGGAUGAACUGAUUAGAUGUUUACAUGUGGAUUUGAAAUUAUGAUAAAAAUUAAUUUAUAUUUUAUAUAUAUAUAUAUUAUGAUCCCAUGUGCAUUUUGGCUCCAAGAUUAAACAAAUGUGGCUUUUGGGUGCUUUUAUUUUUUUUAAUAUGCCUCUAUAAUAAAGUUCUUGGUGUUGCUGACUUUAGCAUAAACAAUUAAAUAAUUUGUUAAAUUAGCUCUCGACCAACAUUACAUUGUUAAAUUUAAUACGAGGAACAUGUUUCAUUUUUUAUAAAUGUUAUAUUUAUCACUUACACCCCUAUUAGAUUUUUAAUUUCUUAUUUUAUCUAUUAUGUUAAUAGAUAAUAGAAUUAAUUGUUAAGAUAAGAAAAAAAAUCAUUUAAGUCGUAAUUCUUUAAAAUUUAAUUUAAAAUCUGACGCAUGCCAUUGGAAUUCAAAAAAAUUUGAUAAUUACAUAGGAUUAAUUCUUUUCAUCUUCUCUUUAAUUGUGACACCAAACUAUUUAGAAAUGUUAUAAAAUCAUCUAAGAAGGGGUAAAAUACAAAUGAAUAAAAAAACUAUUAACAUUCUAUGUUACCUCUUAACAGAAUGAAUGAAGUAAUUAAAAUCUAAUACAUAUAUAAGCUUUAAAUAUAAAAAUCUAAGUAAUUAAAAUCUAAUAGAGAUAUAAGUUUUAAAUAUAAAAAUCUAAUUAAAAAUAAAAUAUGCAUUCUCCCUUUAAUAUAAAUCUACGCCAUAAAUUUUAUAUGAAAAGAGUUUAGAUCUUCUAUCUAAUUAUGUACUGAAUUUAACAUUAUAUUUUUCAUUGAUACCAAGAGACUUUAGCGGUUAAUUGACAAAAUUUUCCAACUUGAAAAAUGAGUUGUUGUAUAUUUUUUUUCUUGGAUUGUGGAGCUUGAAUCCAUGUUGUUGGAGAACAUUUGAUUGACUAAGUGCUAGUAGACCCCAUAUAUAAUUGACUGAAAAACAAUAAUAAUUGGUCCCAUUUUGUCAAAGAUAUUGGCAUUAAGGAGCUGAUUAUGAGUAGUUAGUUAUGCACCCACAUUAGCUUUUCCAUCAUAUGCUCUUUAAAAUAAAAUUAAUUAUGGUUAUAUAUCUUGAUUCUUUCAUUUCUCUUUUCUUCCUUACCUUGUUUACUUUUAAUGUUGAAAACGUGGAUCAUCAGUGAAGCAUGAGAAUUGAGAAUGCAUGCCCCAAAAUAAAAGUACUUUAUAAUCAAAUACAUAAAGCACAGCAUGAGCCAUGAUUAAUUGGUUAUCAAAAACCGGAGAAACAAAAAGUUGAAACUAAGAAAAGCAUAAUAAACGGAGCGUUUGAUGCAUGGUUCAUUUUCUUGCUAUAAAGUCUUAAAACUAAAUAAAUAAAUGCGAAAAUGAGGGUUAUCCCCUAUUAUUUGAAGAAAUUGAACAAAAUACCCUCUUGUUUUAAAAUAAGUUCAAGCCCCCAUGUAGUUAUAAUGAUAUUGGUUUUUAUAUAUUAUGUUAUUACUCUACCCCUAGUCUUAAUGUUAGUCAUAAAAUUUAAAUUUUUUGAUGAUUUUUUUAAAACAAAAUAACUUAUAUGCCCUUAAUGAGUAAAUUAAUUUAAUAAUAAAUUUUGUAAGUUAUAGAGAAAAAUUACUAGUAGGAAAAAUUUCAUGGAUAUCCUUAAUAGUUGUAUAAACUGGCUUUCCAAAAUAUAUGCUAAGUGUAUGAAAUCUAAGAUUCUAAAUAUACUUCUCAAAACAUAAAAAAGAAAACAAUUGAAGAACAUAUUCAAAUACAUAUACAAAUAAAGGCUGAAUAAAUAAUUAGACUAAACACAAUAAACUCAUCAACAAUUCACUGCAAAUGAAUAAUAUACAAUAAAUUAAAGAGAGAAAACAAAUCAUUAUAUGAAUUAUGAAAGGGGUAUAUCAACCACGGAAAAAAUAAUAAAUCACACACCUUUUACUGUUUGAUAAGAAAUAAUUAAUUCAGAUUGCUCAAUUAGCAUAAGCAAGUAAGCACGCAACAAUAUCAAUGGUGGUAAACAACAAAGGUGUUUGGUAUGAUCCAAUCUAUGCUUUUCCAACGAAACAACUAGUUGUGUGCCAUAUUAAGAAACAUAUAAAAUACAUUAAAUUUGUGAUAUUCAUUUAGAUGAAUACUUUAUACAAUUACUAGGGGUAUUUAUGAUAUUUUUCCCUACUUGUGAUUUUUCACCGUACUUUGCAAUUUGUUAUUAAAUUAAUUUAAUCAUUAAUGGUAUAUAAGGCAUUUUGCUAAAAAAAAUAUUCUCAAAAUAUUUAAAUUUUAUGGUUAACAUUAAAACUAGGGGCAGAAUAGUACAAAUAUAAGAUUAACAUUAUAACUGCAAAGAGACGUGGAUCUAUUUUAAAACAUGAAGUGCAUUUUGCUUAAUUUCUUUAAACAAUUGGGGGUAAUCCUCAUUUCCUAAUAAAUAAAUAGAUAAAAUGAAAUAACAUGAUUUUACUAGGAGAUAUAUAUCAAACUAAAAUUAGUUUAAUUAUUUGUAGAAAUAAACAUGUAUCAUCUCGCAGCCAAAAUACUAACACAAAAUAUUGUUGUAUGAAACAAAUAAUUCAGACUAAAAAGGUAGAUUAUCAUUAGUAGUGGCAGACCCCGACACUCAAAUUAAGGGGACUAAUUCAAAAAUUUUAAAUUAUAUUUGGGGUACUUAAUUCUUUUUACUGUUUACUUAAAUACAUUUAAAGUCUCAACAGCUCAAAUUCUAUUAUUUGUUUUAAAUUUUUUUUAAAAAAAGUAAUAAAUUAUUCAUUUUAAAUGUUGAGCUCAUUGUGGCCGUAUUUCUGAAAAUAUCCUUUUAGUAAGUAAUCUCCAACAAAAUAUCUUAAAAAUAAAAUUAUAUGGCUAUUAGGAUUUGAAGUAAGUCACUAAAACCACUAAAUAAUAAUAUUAUUGGUAAAUUACAAAUAUUUUAUCCUUUUUUUUAAUUUAACUCUUAAGGGGCUUUGAGCACAUUUAAAACAAAAAAUAAUAGUCCAUAGGGGAUUGAAGCCUCUCUUGAGCCUUAAGUUUUAUUUACUUUUAUAUAAUAAUAUGGUUUUUAUUUUAUUUUCAAGUAUGUUCCUAAUUCAAUUAUUAUUUUUUUUUAUCAAUUAGAGUUAGUGACUUAUUUUUAAAAUGAUUAAAUUAUAUAUUUAUUGAAUAAAUUGAAAUUACUAGGGCUAAAAUAUUGUUAUUGCUUCAACUUAUUAUAACAUUAUCACUAGUAUUAGAAAGUUAAAAAGAAAAAAAAAAUAACACAUGGUAGCAAUUAAAAUUUUCACAAUAUCGUGGUUAAAAUUUUUUAUAAUUAUAAUUGCUCAUUUUCUUUCCAUUAUAUCAAAAAUUAAAAAGGAUUUCAAAAAUAGAUUUUUAUGGUACAAUUUUAAUAAUUUAUGGAGAAAAGCAUACCUAUACUCUCAAGGUUUCAGAAAAUACUUCCAAAGAUUGGAAAAAUAGUCAUGUAGAUCCCCCAAGUUUUCAGUAAGAGACACUAAGAUUCUCUUAAACUAUAAUACCACUUGUAUAUAGUAACUAAAAAAUUUGAAUUAAGUACAAAUAUAAUUUAAAUAGUUUAAUUAGUCUAGUAGACUAAUAAUAUUAUUUAAUAUAUAAAGUAAUUUUUAAAAUAUAAAAUAUUAUAUUUGUUUUAAUAAUAUAUUUGUAUUUAUUAUAAAAAAUUUAAAUAAAAGUUUGGUUUAAAUAGAUUUUACUAUUAAUAAAAUAUAUCUCAUGUUUUAAUAAUAUAAAAAUUGUUUUACUGCUGUACCGUACAUNNNNNNAUGUACGGUACAGCAGAUUUUUAUAUAUUUAUUUUAAUAUCAGGUUUUUAUUUAAUACAAAAUUUAGUUUAAUAUAAUAUAAGAAUGUAAAGUACAAAAAUAUUUAAAUUAUUUUAAAAUGUACAUAUUGUUAUAUUUAUUUUAAUAUUAUAUUUAAAUUUAUUAUAAAACAUUAAAAUUAAGCUUUUGAGUUAAUAGAGGCGAAUCAUAUUAUAAUUAAAAGGAGGUCUCAGUAUCCCUUAUAAAAAAUUUGAAAGUCUACCUUAUUAUUUUUUUAUACCUUAAGGACAUAAGCAUCUUUUUACCUAAUUUAUAUUAUAAAUUUGUUUGUUGUAUCAUUGUCAAUAUAUAUAUCCCCAUAUCUUACAAUUAAUGUAAGAUACACCCCUCACAUAAACAGUAUAUGAACCCCACAUAUACACUGUUUAUACGAGGGGAUGUAUCUUACUUUAGUUGUAAGAUAGGGAUUGACAUAUACACACACUACCGAUCUGGUCCAGGAUUUUCUCAAUCUGCCGGCAGUUUUUGUUUACUAAUAUAUGGCAGGCCGCAGGCAAGUAGUAAUCCAAAAUAUCAAUUUCAAUCAGAUUUAUAGCUGCAAAAAGUUGACUACUUUUGUGUUGUUAUACUGACAUGCGCAUGUUCUUGCUUCUCUCAGAGUUGCGCGUGGCUACAUAUCUAUAAACCUAUUCAAAAUACGUUUGUUUUCGGCUUUGAUGUGAAAAUUUGGCGACGGCUACAUGUUUUUGGAAUGUGAAAUGCAGAAUUGUUAUUGUCAGCGACUCGACCUGUUGCGUGGAUCUUGGCUUGUAACGAUGGAUUGUCAAAUUUAUAACGCGAAUCUUUUGUCUGUAAUUUGUGAUUGGGAUCAUACGGAGCUGCCAUUUCACAUGCAUAUAUGGCAAAUAAUCAAAAUCAUUAUGUGAUGUGUGUUCAUGAGGCAAGAGUAUGGUAUACACAUUAUAAUACUACAUACAUGCAUAUACAUAGCCACACACACAUAUACAUUUUAUAUAUGUAUACGUGUGUGUAAUAUUAAAAGUGUUCUAGUCAUCAAUCCCUAACUAUAUUAAAGUUAGUGAAAAAUAAAAAGACAAAAAAAAAAAUACAAACUCUAAUACACUGUAUUUUUUGUCCUGUAAUAUAUUGAAAUUUAUAUUUUUUUAUCUUUUAAUUUAACUUUAACUUUAAUAUUGAUAUAUACAUAGUAACUUUUUUUAUGAGAGAUUAAGUAAGUGAUAAGCUAAAAGUCAAAAAAAAAUAUUACAUGAUAAAAUAUACCGCAAUACAAUAAAAUGUAUGUUUUACAUGUCUUUUAGUUUAUCUCUUAUUUUAAUAACUUAAGUUUUGUGUGUGUGUGUAGUUAUGAAAGUCAUCAAUCCACCUUUUUUUCUCUUAUCUUUUGACCAAAUAUAGGGAUAAUUUGAUAUUUUUAAAAGUAAACUGACAAUUUGAUGAUAAUUAAUUCAUGUGGGGAUAAUUUGAAAUUCACCCAAAUAUGUAUUAAUACUUUUGGGGGACAAAUUGAAGACUAUUAAUCUAAGGAGGGGUAUUUUUAACAAAAAUAAGGGAUAAAUUGAAGUUUUUAAAAGUAAAAGGGACAAUUUGAAGAUAAUCAAUUCAUAAGGGGAGUAAUUUGAAAUUAACCCAUCUAUUUACUUCUAAGAAGAGGAAAAAAAAGUCAUCAAUGCGCACACUAUUUGUUAUCAUCUUCCGAAUAAAAAUAGGAGAUAAAUUGAAAUUUUAUACUAAUGUCAGGCAAAAUUAAAGAUUGCUAUUCUAUCUCGGAGUGAAUUGAAGAAUCAAGACCGCACGUUGAUUUGGAGGAUGAAUCAUAGUGUUUGAUUGUAACCUUUUUAUAUUAUCGAAUUUCUUGUAUAAAUAGGGCCAUUAAAAAUAAUAAGGGUAACCAAUGUGUGCAUGAGAUAGGGAUGACACAAUGGGGCAGAUAUGAGUUGGAUCUACUCUGCUCCAGAUCCAAAUCCAUAAUAAAAAUCAAGAUCCGUAUCUGCUCCAGAUCCGUCAUGAAUCCAUACUUUUCGUCCGUAUCUGUUCUAGAUCCGUCAUGAAUCCAUAUUUUUCGCUCCAUAUCCAGAUCCAAAAAAGAAAUAAAUAUCUAUAUCUGCUCCAAAUUCGAAAAAAAAUUAAAAUCCAAAUCUGCUCUAGUCCGUCAUGAAUUCUAAAAUUCUGUAAUAAAAAAGUAAUAAUUUUUUACAUUGAAAAUUGAAGGAUAAAAUGUAUUGAUAACAAAUAAAUUAUAUAAUUUUUCUCAAAAAUAUAAUAAAUAUUGUAACUUAUACUUAUACACCAAAACAACAAAUAAGAAAGAUAAUAAAAUAUCAUUCAGAAGUAAUUGCAGGAGUAAGAUCAAUCUAAUAUUCUAUUGUCUCCUUCAUCAUUCUAAUAUCCACGAUACACCUACCCUCAUUCUUACAACAUUAGAUAAUGACAUAUAAAUUAAAUAUGAUUUAUAUUAAGUCCUUUAUUAUUUUUAUUAUGACCAUAUUUGACUAAAUUUAUGAAUAACUAUAUUCCUUAAAAAUUAUUUGGCCAAUAUAAUAAAAUAAAUUGCCAGGUUAUAUUACUUGGCUUGCAAUUUGAAUAUUGCAUGUACAUGCUUUGGGGCUGGUUGACCUUUAAAUUUACAAAACUAACCUUUAAGUUUUAAGAGUUUAAAUGCAUGGUAAAUACUACUAAUAUGCUAUGAAUAAAAUUUAUUAUCAUUAUAAUUCCACAAUUGUUAAGAAACUUUUAAAAUAAAAUUAAAUUAAAAGAUGAGUGGAUAUGGAUAUGAAUUUAGAUAUUAAGAUAGAUCCAGAUCUGCUCCAGAUCCGUCUUAGAUCCGCACAUCGAUAUCCAAAUCCGAUCCAAAUCCAUUUUAAACCAAUCCAAAUCCGAUCCGAUAGGAUUUGGAUAACGUGGAUCUUGGAUCAAAUCCAAUCAAUUGCCAUCCCUAUGGCAAUCACUAUGGAGCACAAUCACUGGCGCAAAAAGCUCUCCGUCAGGGGUACUACUGCUUACCAUGAGGGAAGAUGCCAAGAAUAUGGUACGAAGCUGUGACAAAUGCCAAAGGUUCGCCAGGGUACCUCAUCUACCCCCAGAGAAGCUAACAAUUAUAUAUUCCCCUUGGCCCUUCACUAUGUGGGGAGUGGACCUCAUUGGCCCGUUACCUACCGGGAGGGGGCAAGCAAAAUAUGCAAUCGUGGCGGUAGAUUAUUUCACAAAGUGGGCGGAAGCGGAGCCACUAACAAGCAUCACAGAAAGGAAAACCACAGAAUUCAUUUGGAAGAACCUCAUUUGCAGAUUUGGGAUCCCCUAUGCAAUUAUUAGUGAUAAUGGCAAGCAAUUCGAUAAUGAAAAAUUUCAAAGUUUUUGUUCAGAGCUGGGGAUAACCAACCGAUUUGCUACACCUGCCCAUCCCUAAUCUAAUGGGCAAGUCGAAAUCGUUAAUAAGAUUAUCAAAGGUAUCCUGAAGAAGACGCUAGAAGAAAGAAAGGGAGCAUAGGUAGACGAGCUACUUGGGGUUCUUUGGGCCUACCGGACUACUCAAAACACCUUCACCUGUGAGACCCCGUUUUCCCUCGCAUUCGGUGUUGACGCAGUGAUACCAGCGAAAAUCGGGGUACCCUCUCACAGGGUUGAAUGCUUUGAUGCGGCCGAGAACACCUCUUUGAUUGCUUCAAACCUUGAUUUGGUGGUUGAGAAAAGGACUAGAGCAGAAUUGAGAACAACCAUAUAUCAGCAUCGCAUUUCGGGUCUAUAUGAAAAAAUGGUACGCCCUCAAUCCUUCAAGAACGGAGACUUGGUCUUGAGAAGGGUAAUUCAGAACACUAUGGUACCCUGCGAAGGCACUUUUGGGGCAAAUUGGGAAGGACCUUACCGCAUCGACAAACUCAUUGGGUCAAGUGCAUACAGGCUACUCCACAUGGAUGAGACAAUCGUGAGGCACCCCUGGAAUGCUGCAAUGCUACAGAAAUAUUACUAAAGGACAAUGUCUUAACCUCUAGUCUUUUACUGUUAUUUGCUUUCUUUAAUGUUUUUGUGUGGUAGGCCAAAUGGGGUACCCCAAAUGCCCUAUGAUGGUCAGUUGCAACUUUAGAGUUUCUUUAAUUUUCAAAUGAAAAUGAUAGGAGGUCUUGCGGUCUCCCGUUCUCCUCAGGGUAACAAAGCUAAGUCAUGUAUUGAUCAACGCUUUCAUUAUCUAUAAAUGCAUUUUCUUUCUCAACAAAUAUGAUGUGGGUUCUUUCUUUAUUUUUCACCACUUCGAUCUUAGAAUGCGGAUUACAUUCAUUUAUCGUUAUUAAUAUACCCUCACAUCUAGUUAUAUGCAAUUCUCGUCAUACGCUUGUCAAUUAUGACUAACCUAUCACAGGACCAGCCAGGAUACCUGAUAUGCCUAGAUCGUGACGAUCUAUGCAAAGCCAAGAUGGGCAACAGAGUGAACAGCCCAGGGGUAGCCUUUCUGCGGAAGCAUGACAAAGCUACCUAAACAAAGAGAGUGAGGGUUGAAGAGGACCCAAGGGUGGAGUAAAACCGGCAUACCCUAGCGUCACGAGGUUCAGUUUAGGUAUGAGUACACCUACACAUCCGUCCUCUUACUUGAGCAAAGUAAGGGGUAAGGUACUCAAAAUAUUCGGAGAGAACUUCGAAAGAAUAAGAAAGUGAUUGGUUGGACCAAUUGCGCUUUCAACGUUUGAUCGAGAUGUCGCGAUGAUAUUUUGAUUACCUAUUUGUGGGGAAUCCGCCAUAGUUUCCGAGAAGGACAUGCACCAAAUUUGUGGGGAAUCCGCCUGAUGCCGAAUAUUUGUUAUGGUACAGAGGGUACCCCAUUUUAAAAAAAAAUGAGAGGUACCCUAGAAAUUUGUAAGAUAACAGUUUAGCCCAGCAUUCAUUUACAGAUAACAAGGAUGCAAAAUACAAGAGGACUCGGUGGCAUGGUAUCAUAACAAAAGAGAAGUCUCAAUAAUACAAAAUAUCUCAAGAAAUCAAAAAGAAAGAAACAAGUUCCAAAUAGCAAAAUGUGGAUAGAUCCAAAAAGACAAGAGCACUAUGAAGCGGCUACACCGAGGGUGGAACACCAUCCCCGCCUUCCGUCUUCGGAGGGCGAUCAGCAGAGGACUCUGAGGUACCCGGAAUAUGAGCAACCGAAGUAUGGGCAUCUGAGGCAGGCAACGAUUAAAGCACGCGGGGUACCCUAGGCGACCCGGAAGGGGUACCUGACCGUGCAUGGGAAGACUUCUUCCUUUCCGCAAUCGUCUUCAGAAUCGUGGCAUUGUUAACAAAUUUCUGCACACGGGGUACCUUCAGUUCCGGAUCCACGCUCCACACAUCUAUCAUGAUGAGUGAGAAAGCAUCCUCCGCCAUCGUCUUUUUUCGGGAUAACAUAUCCUCGUUUGUGGCCCUCAACUUGUCGCAAUCAUUUUCCACUCGAGAUUUCUCUUCAGAAAGGCCAAUAAUGCGUUCCUGCAAAGUCUUGAUUUCUCGAGCAAGCUCGUCCUCGCGAGACUGACGACUUUGGAGCUCACCCCUUAACUUGUCAACCUCCGAUUGGGCGGCAACAAAGGAGUCGAGAUUUGGAAGGCAGUGGCUGAGAAGAUAUGAUGCAUGCAGGUCGUAAAAGACGUGUUAAAUAUAUGUGUAUGGCAAAAAGAGUAAAUAAAUAAAAAUGGAGGAUACACCCGGGGUACCCCAUUAAAGCUUACCUCUUGGGUAGCCUUGAGUGCUUGACCAUAGCGCUGGUUCAAACUCAUCUUGUUUGUCUCUUCAGCGACCUCAGAGGUAACAUUUUCGGCAGAAUAGUAGAAGCAGCGAGCCAAGUGCGAACCUCCUUGUUGGAAGCCGGGUCUAGGUCACCUUCACGCAACUCAUUGGGGAAAGCCGAAACCAGCCCGAAUUUUCUCUUCUUUGAACGAGGGGUACCCUUCGACCCACUGUGGGAGGUACCCUGGGAUUUCCCCUUUGGUUCGGGAGCUCGAGGCGGCCGGGAACUAUUCUGGGGUACCGCCGAAUCCUGAGAUCCGGAAGCACCGCCCACUACCGCUUGGAAAAAGGCAUCAAAAGCGUCACCCGCCGAUUCCAUAACUGCACCCAAUGCACAAAAGUUAUGUUAGCAGGACAAGUACCAAGUACUACAAAAGCAAAAAUAGGAAAUGAAAAGCGGGGAAACAAAAUAAAGAACGCGGUGAUAACGGAGUACCCCAGACCCGUAGAUAAUAAUAGGGUACCCCACGACACUCGAAUCAUACAUGAGUCACCCCCAGAAGCAGGUGGAGGACUUCGAUCAAUCAACCCUACUCUCCGUAAUAUGCUCUCCUCUAGCACAUCACUACCCCUCUGUGCACCUCGAAGCAUAUCCACAAACUUCUUCGCCUCUCUCCCCACCUCCUGAACUGGGCAUGAUCCUUUAGCUCAUGUCACACCUGCAAAAGCAUGAAGAACCUAAGGUUAGCGAGACAUUCAUGUGAAAGAUUACGAUAAAGAACCGUAAUUAAGGGAGAUACUUACAGUCUACAUUGAAGGAAUUGGGAACCUCCACGGGGUUACCCUUUUUACCCAGAGUCUCUGUCCCCUAACUACCCUCAGCAACAAACCAUCCCUUUCUGUAACCCUUCUUCAAGGCGGGGUUUCCUUCAAUAAUAUGGCCAUGAUCACCCCAAGUGGAGAAGUAAGCAAUACCGGGACCCUUAGGCUUUUUAAAUUGGUAAAGGCCCAUCAACUCCCGAAUAGAAAUGUCGCGCUUCAAGACCUCCAACCAUAACGCAUGUAAGCCCGUAAGCGUCUUCCACCCCAGAAGGGACAGCUGCCCAUGAGCUACUCCCAAAUAACUAAACAUUCUCAUAUAGAAAGGUUGGAGGUGUAGGCGGAGUCCUAGAUCAAAGAGGUCAAUAUGAAGAGCAAUCUCAUCAGACGUCGGACACUCAGGCCGCUCAUCCACAUGGGGUACCCUAAGCUGAACAGAGGGAGAAAUAUUGUAUUUGGCUCUAAUUUGUUCUAAAUCCUCCAAAGUAGCCCUUCUAGUGCAUAGGGAAAAAAGGUUGCUAGAUUUUGAAGGUAUGGCAGGGGGAGAUUUGGGAUGCCAGUCUGAGGAACGAGCUGGAGCCUUAGGCUUGGAUGACCUACCCUUCUUUCGAGGAUGUGGGGAUGGCCGUUUACUGGGAAAGCAUGGGCUGACACGAGGAGUACUCCUAGGGGGAGGGAGCUCAGAAUGAGAGUUGCAACUCCUAGAGAUACUAGGGAGGACCUAUCCCCCUCGCUAAUGGAGAUGUGGGAAGGAGGACCCGCAGGAGGGCUGUCAACCCUACUAGCCCCAACUGCACGUCGCUUCCUCACUGGUCCCAUAUGGUUCUUACCCAUCUACUUUUCCCCAACAACAUACCCACCAGGCCACAAGUCCCUAACAACACAUCCACAAGCCCUCCAACAACACAUCCAACAAGCCACAAGUUCCCCAACAACACAUCCACAAGCCCCCACCAACACAUCCAACAAGCCACAAUUCCCCCAACAACAUUUUCAUACCAUACACCACCCACCACACAUCAACCAUCAAAUGCAAACACCAACCACAAAAAAAAACAAAAACAAAAAUAAUUUUUUUUUCAGAGUAUGCAAAAUUGCGCCACUGUAAAUGCGCCAAAGGAGGAGUAACGAGGAGGGAUACAUGUGAUUCACCAACUCGGCAGAUCGGGAUUGAUAAUCGUUGGCGAGACGAAGCUGCAAGCAACAAAAAACAGUAGGUAAAAAUAUGCAAGUAUAAAAAACUAAAAAUAAGCUUAAAUAUAUGUAAUUAUUUAUAAAUAAAUAAAAUGAAAAACGAAGGGCUGCAACCACCAAGAACCAACGCCGGCUGCCAUGGCUGCAAACCACCAAGAACCGACACCGGAAAAAUGCAAAGGAGGACGCCAGCCAAAAAAAAAAAAAAAUGAAAAUGAUGAAAAACGAAGAAGCUGCAGCCACUGAACCGAACCGACGCGGGGGGAAGAGCUGCAGCCACCGAACCGACGCUGGCUGCCAUGGCUGCAACCACCAAAUCGAUGCCGGAAAUCGCCAAGGAGAACACCGGCCGAAACGAAAAAGAAAAAGAAAAGAGAGAAGAAAAAGAGAAAAAAGAGAGAGAAAGUAAGGAUAAAAUGAAGACACAAGGGAGGAGCGUUACCGUGUCUACCACCGGAUCGAGAUCUCGCCGCGAAGUCGUGAAAAACGUCCUUGAACCAAUCAGAUCUGGAGCCAAAACCGCCACUGCAGCAGCCGAGAUCCACACCGAAAAAUGCACCAGAUGAACGCCGUCCGAGAGAGAAAGAGAAAAAGAAAGAAAAUGAAGAAAGAAAAGGGAGAAAGAAAAGAAAAUGGGAAAGAAAAAAAACGCAAGAGGAAGGAAAUAAACUAAAAUAAAAAAGAGGAAGAGAAAUAAAGAGAUGGAAUAAGCCCAGGGAGAUGAUCGGAUGUUAAAAAAAAAAAGAAAUUUGUACCUGUGAGCAAUUUGUUGCAAUCAAGAAAUAAGACGAAAGUUUGAAGAAAGAAGCCACUGGAGACAAUUGAUUUUUUGGGAGAUUAUUUGGGGAUUUUCAAAAUAAAUGAUAAGAGAUUGACAUUUACCUCAUGAGUUUUUAAUUGAAUCUGUCAGAACACACUGCACGAAAAGGAAGUCAGGGAUGUUUGCGUGAGAUAGAAAUUUUUAAAAUUCAAACUGCAUGUCAGACGGCUGCUACUUCCCAAGAAAAACGGGAGAGAGACAUAAAGACAAUUGUUCGUUCUCAUUAGCAGUUGAGUAAAAAAAAAAAAAAAGGCGGGAAAGGGAAAAGACAAAGAGAAGAUUUUUAGCUCGGCAGUACACAAAGUUCAGUCAAGGGAAGAAACUAAGCAAGGUAUCCCCGGUCUAGACGCAUCGCCACAUGUCACUCAUACAAUGAGUUUCUUUUGCCUCCGAUACUUCUCGCCAAAAAGAAACUAGGGGGAUGUUGUUUGAGGGAAAAAUAGGAAAGACGGUAAAGCGCCACGUGUCGACAAAUGAAAUGACUCCAGCACAAUUUGAGGUACCUCGCACGAUCCGAGGUACCCGGCAUGAUUUAAGGUAACCCGGACAAAUUGAGGUACCCCACAUAAAUUGAGGUACCCCACGUAACUCGAGGUACCCGGCAGAUUAGAUAUAAGAGAAUCCUCCGAAAAUAUCCGCCAUGAGAAACGUCUCCAUCUCUUAAAAGAUAUUAUUCGAUUUUGUCAGAAUUAAGAAUCAAGAACGUCGUAUCAAAAGGGGGGGACAGCCGCCUGCUACCUCUGCCAAAAGUGAAGGACACUGUCCCAAGGACAGUGGUCCUCAGCCGCCUACCCGACAGCUACUGCAGAGGUACCUUGGACCACUCUCCAGCGCGCGCCACGUUUCCAAAGGAUGAGAUACGCCGCGAACAUGCACAUAACAUCCCAAAAAUCAUAAAAAGGAAAAAGGACGUUGGCCAAAAAGGGUACGCCACGUGGCAGCUGAGGUACUCCAUAUAUAAAGGUGCCUAGGUUUCAUUCUCCAUCAUGCUCUCAUUCACCAUUAACACUCACACUCCAAAAAAUAGGUUUUCUUCAACCUUAAACCCUAAUUUACAGAGAGCUUGCCAGCUCUCUUUACCAUAAAAGCUUGAGUUUGCUAACUUGAGCGUCGGAGUGUGAACGCCGGGGUACCCCGGCUUCACCUCUAACCUCUAUUUCAUUGUUUUGCAGGUGUGGAGCCCAUUUGGAAGGACACCUCUCUUGGUUUUGACCUUUCACCAUUGUUACCACUCCCUCUCCCCUUUUCACCUCUCCCAAAUUUCAGGUACGCCGCACCGUACACAACAAACCAGUGAGGUACCCCAUCUCCCCUGAAAAUACAAAUUCAUUGUUCUAGAUAGAUUUUGAAUUUUCCUACCCCAAAAUCUGUUGAAAACAUUAUGUAUAAACUAAUAUUUUUUUAUUAUUCUUGAAGUUAUUUUUUUAAUUGCUUUAAUUUUUUAUUCACAUAAUAACAUUAACUAAACUGAAAUAUUGAACAAAUCAAAUUAUGUUUAUUGUGAUGAAUAAAAAAUAAAACAAUAGUAUUAACUUUAUCAUAAAAGUUGAUGUUAUAAUUACAUCUUUUAUUACAAAAUUAAAUUAAGAUCAAUAAUGAUAGAUCUUUUUAAUGCUACCAAACUAAUCAACCUGUGAAACUUAUAAAUUGUGAAGAACAAAAAUAUGCACCACUUAAAAGGAUAUAUUCUUCAAAUGUUGAAAAAAAAAAUGUCAUUCGGACAUCUUUAUUCAGAAUCUAUUCAGAUUUCAACUAAAUUCAGACCUAUUUAAAUUUCAGAUAAAACAACAAACGCAACCUUAGAUGAAACUUAGCUCGUAUUAAUCAUUUUAGUUAGUUAUGAAUUAGUUACAAUAAUGAUGCCUAAGCAGUGAGUAUAAAUUGAAUGUAAUUGUAACAUUUUGUUUUAAGCAAUAAAACUAAGAAAUCUGGAACAUUCUCUGAGAUAUUUUUUGAGCCACCAAACAACUCCAUUUCUGUUUCUUUCACAAAAGAUCCACGAAGUAUGCGGGCUUAAUGCUUUGAGCUACUCCUAUGAGACUAUUUUGAUUGUUCUGUACUGCCGCCCAAACGGAGCAUCUAAAUUUCCCAAACUCAUUAUCUAAUAAACUCCUAAACAACAACUAAAACUAAUAAAUUUUUGUUCCAAUGCUAAGCUGAGAUUUUUAUAUAUAUUUUUUUCAUGCACAUCCACAAGUGCGUAAUUAAGAUUUAAUACAUGUUAUAUUUUUGUCCAAUAACUACCAACCAUAGUAUUAACAAAACAAUAAGGUUUUUGUCGUUCUUGGAGUAUUGUGUCUUAUCCCUUUAAUUCUUUCCACAUGGGCAGCCUAUUAUCAUGACUGUUGAAGUACAUAUGUGAUUGAAUGUAAAAAUGGCAGUAUCCCAGAAGCAUCCAAGAUUUGCACAGAGCUAAGCUCAAUCUUAAAUUCAAAUCAAAACUCGCACCACUUCUUUGAGAAUGAAGGAGCAAGAAAAAUAGUCCUAAUAUAGCGCCCAAAAAUAACCAAAAAAAUGAGAUAAGAGAGACGAUGAUUUUUUCUCUUUGCUAUAACAUUUUCUGCCAAACCGACUAGGAGUAUCUUUUACUUUAUUUUAUUAUCUAAAAUUUACGUUAAAGACUCUGUUUUUGACAUCUGACUUAAGUAUUUGAGGAUUAUUGAGAGUUAUAACACUGGCACACUUUACAAUUACGACUACGUUAUCGUGUUACAAUUAUAAUUUUGUUCUUUGAAGCCGAAAUUUAGCAUCAACAUAAUUGAUUAAGGAACUAGAAUUUGCGUCAUCAAUUUAAAUAUAAAAUUUAAGUUAACACAUAUAUAUCUACCGUAUAUUAAAAGUAAUGUGUUUUCAAUUGAAAAUAAGUAGAACUGGUGAGCAGGGGCGGCUCAAUCAUAUUUUAGGCCUUAGGCAAAUUGUUUUAAUUAGGCCUUCCAAAAACUUUGAGAUAAAAUGUAUGUAUUAAUUUUAUUAAAGUUUUAUUUAUUUAAAAUUAGUUUCUCUAGCUUUUGAGAUGCAUAAUUAUUAAUCAAAUUUUUAUAUUCUAAUUUUCCUAACAUAUAUUUCUCAAUAGACAAUAUAGUUAACCUAUUUAAUCUUUCAUAUGAUAUAUUUGAUCUUAAAUAAGCUUUUAUCAAUGGCUCAUUUUUUAGAUUAAACUAACUUUUCUAUUCUUCUCUUGUUUUUGAAGUUUUUUGUAUCCUAAUGCAUAUUUUUUUAGUAGACAUUUUUUUUUCUAGUGAAACAAGAGUAAUUAAGCAAACAAUUAUGUUAGAUAAUUACAAGAAAACAACCUACGAACGCAAUACUAUUUUUAAAAAGAACAAAAACAACUGAAUAACAUAAUUAAUUAAUAAGAGAAUGGAAAGAUAGAACCUAGAAAUUUGAGAACUUUACUUUGUUGUAUUGAGCCUUUGAGCAGCAGUGAUCAGUGAAUAGUAAAAUAAUUGAUUUUUUUUUUAAAGUGAAAAUUAGGGUAUAGAAAGUAGUUUUUUCACCAAAGCAAUGAAUGUUUCAUGUAUUUUUUUUUAUUGGAAAAAGAUAUUAAUGGAUAAUAAUUUAAAAAAAUAUGUGGCCUUUAUAGAGUUUUAGAUGAAAUAUAUGGAGGAAAUAAAUGAGAUUAAAAUUCUUAAUUAUAAUGUUAAAAGGUGACUUUGUAAGGAUUUAGUUGUUUGUUUAUGGAAAUUAUAAAAAUAAUUAAUAUAAAUAAAUAAAUAAUAACUAUAAUUUAGGAAUAAAAUUAGGGACCUUCAUCUAUAGUGGGGCUCUAGGCAACCGCCUUAGUUGCCUAGAGAAAGAGCCGCCUAUACUGGUGAGUUUACUGAAAAGUGAAAAUGGGUUGAGAAAGAGAGUUUACAUCUAGCUUCCGUCGAACCAAAAUCCUAAUAAUAACGUUGCAAAGUUUCACUAAGAACCUGUCAUAUGUGAGUGGUUAAAAUAUAGUUGCAAGAACAGCUGAUGUGGCAGCCAACUGCGCCAAAGUUAGUUACAAAAUUGCUAGCUCAGCUAUGUCUGUUUGGAAUUCUGUAAUUACUGUUUUCUUUAUCAAAUUAUCUUAGCAUUAGCUUUGCAUGAUUCGGUGAUUAAUUAAAAUGGUUGCUGAAAUAGUACUUUAAAGACGUAUGUUUUUAACUAAUAUUCAUUAAUUGAAUCAGAAGAAAGAGACUGAUUUUUUUUUAAAUGUUUUGGAAUUCUGUAAUUAGUGUUUUGUUUAAUAAUAUAAUAAGGGUAAUUAUCUUAGAAUUCGUUUAACAUGAUUCGCUGAUGAAUUAAAAUGAACUCCAAAUUGUUGAAAUAGUCCGUCAAAGACGUUUGACUUUGACUAAUCUUUCAUUAAUUGAAUCAGAAGAAAGAGAAUGAUUUCCAUUAAAUGAUUAACGUGGCAUGUUCUUGAGUUUAAAUCGAAUCUAUGACCCUUGGCCAUGCAUGAUUUUUAUAUGUUGAUAUAAGCGUGUCCACAUUCUGUAUUCUCUAGUAAAGGAGUUUGUGCAUUUGGCUAUUAGUAUCCUCCUUUGACUUAUUAAGGGAAAUUUGAAAUUAUUGUGCAGGGACUUUAUCCACUAAUAACGCAAAUAAAAUUGUUAGCUAUUGACUACAAGAGGAUGAUUUGUUGUUAAAGUGAAAAUUGAUGUCGAGUAAAGGAAAAAUUCCCGAAUAUUUCCUGUGUGGAUACCCUCUCUCUUGAUUAAAUGAGAGCAGCACAUUCUGCUUUCUAGUCCUCAUCUUAAUUAUAAAAUAUUUUCUUCUUCAAUUUAAAGAAGCCACAAGCACCAGGCACUAGCGGAUUCAAUUUUUGCCAAAUUUUCUUUGGUACGAAAAGGAGCUGAAACAGAGCAUUGACCUUGGUUAACAUAGAAACCCAAAUUAAAUAAAUGCAUAAGAUAGUAUACAAAUACUAAUAAUAAAGAAUCAAAUCAUGCUAUCGUAAGUCAUAACCAAUUCUUAUUAUUUUUGACACGUUAAUUUUCCAUGUUUAUCACCUGGACGUUUCCCCCCCUUAUUUACUCAGAUUUACAGUGUUCAGCCGUAAAAAAUCUGGAAUCUUGAAGCAUAACAAGUAACGGACAACUAGCUUAUCAUUUACAGUCAUUUAAUUAGUAACAAUAAAAUUGCAUAAUUCUGCCCUUGUGUAUGUGCUUAAAGGAUUGUUCGCACCCCUAUGGUGUAUUAAUGGGCUUAAUAAAAUUAGUAGUCCGUUAUAUUUGUACAAAGAAGAUAUGGUACCCAUUUUAAAAGAUUAUUUAAGAUACCCCUAAGAAUUUCGUCUUUUUAAAUUCUUGACAUGCAUACCUUUAUUUUUUUUUUUUUUUAAGUUUCAAACGCUGCUCAGGCGCUCAUCAAGAAUCAAUGGUCGUCUUAGAUCUAAAAUAUUGAAAAAAUAUCAUGAGUAGCAUGGGAUUGAAUAUUCUUACGUAGGGUAAAAGUUUAAAAAAUCCUCCAUCGUUGAAAUAUUGACAUUCUUAUUGUUAUUUUUUUUUUGAUUUAUUUUUAUAAUAUUAUUAUUUUUAAAUAAUAUUUCUUUUUAAGACAUUAUUAAAAAAAAAUAGAUUAUCGAUUUAUCCCCAAAAUAAAACAAAAACAAAAAGAAUAUAUGUUAAUUUUUGUGAUUAAUAUAUAGAGAAAAGCCUGUUAGAUGAUGUCCCUUUCAAGCUUGGGAUUUCUAUUCACAAAAAAAAAAAAAAGUUUGGGGUUUCUAUAUUUUGGCCCUUGCCGCACCACUUCCUGAAUGGCGUAUGACGAACUUGUUCUUUCUUACAUCAUUUCCAUUCAAGCAUCGUCAUCUUCUUUAGGGGGUUCAAGGUUCAAGUCAAAAAAUGCAAGCUUUUCGUAGCCUUUUCCUCGAACCAGCCCAGUACCAUUCUUAUUUGCCUCAUCAGUCUUCGUAGCUGUACUUAAAAGAGCAAAGAAAUUGAAAGAAGUGUGUCAAAUACAGAUGAUGAAACAGUGCCGGAGCUUGAAAAUUUAUGAAAAUAGAGAAAGACCUGCGCUAGCUGCGGCGUGUGUUACCAAGGACUUGUGUAAUCUGACGGCGGCUGGAAACAUCAAUGUGUUAUACUUGAUUAAUUCCCUCAUCAAAUUACUCUCAAUGUGGGUAAAUCCAUACUUGUUGAUCCACAUUGGGACAAGUUCAGGGACCGAUGGAAUUACAAGGUUUUCCACAUUGAGCAUACGAAGAGCCUGUAAAAUUAGAUUCGCAUGAGGUCAAAUGCCAAUAUCAAACAGACUAAGCAGAAGGUUAUUCAGCACAAUGAAAUGAACAAUAUGACACAGUGCCAGCUGGGUAGUAGCUUAAGGCAUCAGCACUCACUGAUUCAAUUUGGGCCAACAGUUUCUGCAGCAUUCUUCUUCCCCUGAAUCUUUCACGGGUUCCGAUAAAUGGCAUCUCGGCAAACUUUGUCCCAUGUACUCUGUACAAAUGAAGUGAAUACUCCAAGUUAAACGAAAGCAUGUAGCUGCAAAACGCAUGUAUGUAUGUACUGGAUCAUACCAGAACACAUGAAAUGCCAGUAGCAAUCAUACCUUAUUGAUGCCACGGAGAUAAAUUCAUCAUUCCUCUCCAGUAUAGCGGUGUAAAAACCUCUAAAAUUUACCCGCCUCAGGUUAGACCUGAAAGAGAGAAUUUAGAAGAAGGAAAAGGCUAUGUGUAUGCAUUUUCUUGAAUGAACAAGAGUGACAGAAAGAUUUAACGGAAGGAUCUAAAGCGCUUACUCCCGAUUGUAGAUGACACUUUGAGUGAUGUUAAUACCAGUGUAGCGGUCAAUAACUGGCAUGAAAAUUUCUUCCAUGACCGUCCAUGCUACAGAAACUUUUGAGUUGCCUACUGUAAUCUCAUGCAAAAACUCCCCAUUCGAAUGUGGGUCCCGAUCUAGCUUCAUCUGGACAAGACUCCAAGUAUAUCCAUCAGCAAGCUCUUUUCGGACUCCCAAAUGCUUCUCUUGGAUCUCCGAGAAAACCUGUUCACAAAUUCCUUUUCGAAAUUAAAGCAUACAUGCAUGCAUUAAGGUUUUUUAAUUAAAAAAAAAAAAGAAUGCCCAUGAAUGUGUGUAAUAAAGAAUUCACAAAUACCUCUUCACAACUCUUCCCACAAAAUUUGGUCGGUGAAUCAGGACUAGACGGUUGUCUUGGAGAAUUAAUACAGUCCAGGUGAUCUGUAUCAAGAAUAUAAGUUAGAACUUAGAACUUCGGCACUAUCCAAAUAGUACUAUUUCAAAAUGUGCUUUCUAAUGAUGUACUGUCAAUUAAUUUCCACAUUGAAAUUUUAUGUGUGUUAGUGAGUAAAGAAGCAGUUCUCUUUCUUUUACAUCAGCUAGGUAGCUCAAUUACUGCCCUUAUCACAAAGAAAUUAAGCAAGUGUAAAACCUUACAUCUCCUUUGACAUUGUUUGCAUUCGUGCAAAUCACCUGGCCCGCCAGUACCACAAAAUUUGCAAAUGCAGAAAGGACACAGCCAUUCUCCUUGCGGUAUUUUCUGCAUUCACUCCAAUUUCUUAAGAUUUUGCAACUAUAUAUGCAAAAUAAUAAUAAUACCAACAAUAAAUGAGCAAAAUCCAACCUUCAUGCCCAUGCAAUCUGGAUGAAAAGUAGAACUGAUUCAAUUUGGGCCAACAGUUUCUGCAGCAUUCUUCUUCCCCUGAAUCUUUCACGGGUUCCGAUAAAUGGCAUCUCGGCAAACUUUGUCCCAUGUACUCUGUACAAAUGAAGUGAACACUCCAAGUUAAACGAAAGCAUGUAGUUGCAAAACGCAUGUAUGUAUGGUACUGGAUCAUACCAGAACACAUGAAAUGCCAGUAGCAAUUAUACCUUAUUGAUGCCACGGAGAUAAAUUCAUCAUUCCUCUCCAGUAUAGCGGUGUAAAAACCUCUAAAAUUUACCCGCCUCAGGUUAGACCUGAAAGAGAGAAUUUAGAAGAAGGAAAAGGCUAUGUGUAUGCAUUUUCUUGAAUGAACAAGAGUGACAGAAAGAUUUAACGGAAGGAUCUAAAGCGCUUACUCCCGAUUGUAGAUGACACUUUGAGUGAUGUUAAUACCAGUGUAGCGGUCAAUAACUGGCAUGAAAAUUUCUUCCAUGACCGUCCAUGCUACAGAAACUUUUGAGUUGCCUACUGUAAUCUCAUGCAAAAACUCCCCAUUCGAAUGUGGGUCCCGAUCUAGCUUCAUCUGGACAAGACUCCAAGUAUAUCCAUCAGCAAGCUCUUUUCGGACUCCCAAAUGCUUCUCUUGGAUCUCCGAGAAAACCUGUUCACAAAUUCCUUUUCGAAAUUAAAGCAUACAUGCAUGCAUUAAGGUUUUUUAAUUAAAAAAAAAAAAGAAUGCCCAUGAAUGUGUGUAAUAAAGAAUUCACAAAUACCUCUUCACAACUCUUCCCACAAAAUUUGGUUGGUGAAUCAGGACUAGACGGUUGUCUUGAAGAAUUAAUACAGUCCAGGUGAUCUGUAUCAAGAAUAUAAGUUAGAACUUAGAACUUCGGCACUAUCCAAAUAGUGCUAUUUCAAAAUGUGCUUUCUAAUGAUGUACUGUCAAUUAAUUUCCACAUUGAAAUUUUAUGUGUUAGUGAGUAAAGAAGCUGUUCUCUUUCUUUCACAUCAGCUACGUUAAAAAAAAAAAGAAUGCCCAUGAAUGUGUGUAAUAAAGAAUUCACAAAUACCUCUUCACAACUCUUCCCACAAAAUUUGGUCGGUGAAUCAGGACUAGACGGUUGUCUUGGAGAAUUAAUACAGUCCAGGUGAUCUGUAUCAAGAAUAUAAGUUAGAACUUAGAACUUCGGCACUAUCCAAAUAGUACUAUUUCAAAAUGUGCUUUCUAAUGAUGUACUGUCAAUUAAUUUCCACAUUGAAAUUUUAUGUGUGUUAGUGAGUAAAGAAGCAGUUCUCUUUCUUUUACAUCAGCUAGGUAGCUCAAUUACUGCCCUUAUCACAAAGAAAUUAAGCAAGUGUAAAACCUUACAUCUCCUUUGACAUUGUUUGCAUUCGUGCAAAUCACCUGGCCCGCCAGUACCACAAAAUUUGCAAAUGCAGAAAGGACACAGCCAUUCUCCUUGCGGUAUUUUCUGCAUUCACUCCAAUUUCUUAAGAUUUUGCAACUAUAUAUGCAAAAUAAUAAUAAUACCAACAAUAAAUGAGCAAAAUCCAACCUUCAUGCCCAUGCAAUCUGGAUGAAAAGUAGAGGGACAUUUCUCACAACAAAUCAAGUCACCCCCAUCAGCGCAAAUCAUACAGGCAUCAUCGUUCAAGUCAGAAGCAUCUUUCCGAGGCUCAACAAGGUUAAAUCCACAGCGUGCCAGUUCUUCCGGACGCAGUAAACCCUUGUAAUAAAUCCAACCCAAGAGAUGACAUCCCCAAUCCACUAAGUAGAUGUGGGCAUAUGGCUCCUUAACAUGACCUUCGUUGGCAUGUUCUUCAAACCCGUACACAGUAAUCACCUUAUGACAGCAAUUACAACGCACACCGUCUCUCUUAAUGGUUCCUUCUAUAAUCUUUUCUUUAUCGCGGAUGUACCAAACUCUCAUAUCUUCGAAAAUGAUCCCCAGGUCUAUCAUCCAUGAUAGUAUUGUCCUUUUCUUGGAAAACACUCCCCUGUUGCUCUUGUUUGAUGCACCUGGCCUUCGACGCAGUAUCCUUCUUCUUCUUGUUGCAACAACACCAUUAUUCCUUCUCGAACUUCCAACCUCAGUAGCCUGGUUUGGAUUAUUAAUGCACGUGUUUAUAUUGAAGUCCUUUCGAGAGCUCCUUUGAUAACUUGUUCCAGCUACGUAGUCAGGAUCAGAAUAUCUGGAAUCAUAAUCCUGGCUUUCUGAUGAGCAGCUUGAUACUUCUAAAAUUCUCUUCUGUUUCCUCUUCCUCAUAUUGCUAAUUUGGUUACUGUAAAAAUAUAACUGAAACAUAGACAAAAGUAAAUGCCGGUGUAGAAUGCUAAUAAAUUAAUAAAAAUAUCAAAUCAUGCCUAUGAUUUUUUGUGUGUAUAUAUAUAUAUGUAACACUCAAAUCAAACUCGAAAUCAUGCAUAUAUUUCUGAUACGUUUCCAUUUUAAUUUCCUUCUUUGUUUAGAUUAGCAGUUUUUAUCUGGAAUCUAGAAGCAUAAGUACAUAACUAGUAAAAAAAGAACAGCUAGCUUCUCAUUUACAUUGAUUUAGUAACUAUUUAUGUAAUUGCAUAAUUCUCCUUUUGUGUUUGUGCUUUCUUGUGAAUAGUGGAAAUUCCAUACUAUUUCGUAAUUGCAAGAAUGAUUAACUCAAUAGCCAUUACAAACAAAUAUUAGAUUAGUCAAAAUAAUUCCAUGCUGCUGUGAAAACAUUUUUAUGCGUAAGUGACUAGAAACACCUAUUCAGAUUUAUACUACAUUAACUUUAAAUUCAUGCAUUAGACUCACAUUACUACAAAAAUUAAUCAAAGUAAAUAAAAAUAAGAUGUUUAUUAUACCAAUAAUGUUUGGGAUCAAUAUUAUAAUAAAAAUAAGAUUUUUUUUAUAAAAAUUAAUCAACAUUUGAAUCCCAACUUGAGUGUCAAUGUUAUGUAUCAUUUAUCUAUUGGAUGAUAAAUUUCAUUGCUAGUAAAAUUACUUAAUCACCAUCUAAUGGAUGAAUGCCACAUUAGUUAGGAUUUAGAUUGAAGUGAAAUUCUAGAAUACAUCAAAGGUACCAUUUCAGCCAUACAACAAGUAAAUAAUGUUAUGAGUUAUGACUUGUGUGCAUUUAGUUUGAAAAACCAUCAUGCAAAUGGUGAUUAUAUUAAAUUCAACUACAUAGGCAUGCAUGCAUCAAUUGGUUGUAAUACAUCAGAGGUAUUUUAAAAUUUCUCCAGAUUGGGUCUUAUGACGUGGGACAUCUAGCAUUGCUCUUAUUAAAAUAAUCAUUAUGAAAGUACUCGAUAACUAGCUUAUAGAAAUGAACCAAACCGAACAGAACCGGUUUAUCCUGUUUUGGGGAAAAUCUAAAAUUUCAACUUUAAUUGUGGCUUUCAUAAAGUAAAUUAACAUUAUCAGUUCAUACAUAACACACACACACACACACACACACAAACACACAUUCAUAUAUAUAAUAUUUGAAAUAGCGAUUGUCUAGAAAUAUUACCUAAGAUAUUUUUAAGGUGGCCACCACUUUGAAUUCUCAAAAUGCAAGCAAUUUCUUCAGCAUUUGAACUACGGAUCGUCAAGAAUGAUUUAUAAUUUGCAGAUCUAGAAAAUCUUCUCAUACACAAAGAAUCAGUAUACUAAAUUUUAAACAGUGAAAAAAGUAGUUCUUUAGUGAAAAAUAAAAAAAAUGAAUAAAUUAUUUGAUGGUAGUGAAGAAAAUUUUAUUUAGAUUGCGAGAGGCUAAAGGGUGGACAACGAGAAUAAGUAAGAGGGAAUCAGAAAAUGAGAGAGAGAAAGUGCAAGAAAACGAGUAGAUGAGUAAGAAAAAUGUAUAUAGAGUAGAUGCGAAAGAGAAAGACACGAGGCAAUAGCGUGUGAAUCGCGUGCAAGUCUAUUUGUCUUUGUGGCAUUGAAUUUGAAAUAUAUUUCAUGGAAAGUGUUGAAUUCGAUUUUUGCAUUUCUUUCCUAAAAAAAAUUGUAAAAAAUAGUGAUAAAAUCACAAAUUUUUAUAUAAACUGACGUGGCACAAUCAUAUUAGUUAAAAUAAAUCAUGUGGACUGCGGCAUGUUUUGAUCCAAUCAAUAUCUAGUUAUGCUAUAUUAGUUUGUAUAAGAAUUUGUGGCUCCAUUAUUACUCAUAACUGCAUAACCUUAAGAUGUACUUGAAGAUUAUUUUUUUUUUUUGAAUUACAUGAGACUAUUACUCAAAUUACAACUAAUAUUUCAUACAAAUCUUAUAUAGCAUUGCCCAUAUUUUACCCUCUCUAGGUUUUACAAAUCUUAUAUAGCACUUAUUGUCUUCAAUCACAUUGAGAAAGGAAAUUAAACCCCUACAAUGCGUGUUUAUUAAUCUAUAACUCAUUUACAUCAUCUUCAUUAUUUAGCUCUAUAUUGAUUAUUUACAUAUGAAUUGUUUAAUGAGUUAUAUUUAUAAAAGGACGUAUAUAAACAUGAUUUUAUGAAGUCAGGAUCUAGUUUUCGUAAUUAGCUCGGUUCAUUAAUUUGCAACUCUUACAUAUAAAAGGAAUUAUGGGCGACGGUAUACUAAAUUUUAAACAGUGAAAAAAGUAGUUCUUUAAUGAAAAAUAAAAAAUGAAUAAAUUAUUUGAUGGCAGUGAAGAAAAUUUUAUUUAGAUUGCGAGUGGCUAAAGGGUGGACAACGAGAAUAAGUAAGAGGGAAUCAGAAAAUGAGAGAGAGAAAGUGCAAGAAAACGAGUAGAUGAGUAAGAAAAAUGUAUAUAGAGUAGAUGCGAAAGAGAAAGACACGAGGCAAUAGCGUGUGAAUCGCGUGCAAGUCUAUUUGUCUUUGUGGCAUUGAAUUUGAAAUAUAUUUCAUGGAAAGUGUUGAAUUCGAUUUUUGCAUUUCUUUCCUAAAAAAAAUUGUAAAAAAUAGUGAUAAAAUCACAAAUUUUUAUAUAAACUGACGUGGCACAAUCAUAUUAGUUAAAAUAAAUCAUGUGGACUGCGGCAUGUUUUGAUCCAAUCAAUAUCUAGUUAUGCUAUAUUAGUUUGUAUAAGAAUUUGUGGCUCCAUUAUUACUCAUAACUGCAUAACCUUAAGAUGUACUUGAAGAUUAUUUUUUUUUUUUGAAUUACAUGAGACUAUUACUCAAAUUACAACUAAUAUUUCAUACAAAUCUUAUAUAGCAUUGCCCAUAUUUUACCCUCUCUAGGUUUUACAAAUCUUAUAUAGCACUUAUUGUCUUCAAUCACAUUGAGAAAGGAAAUUAAACCCCUACAAUGCGUGUUUAUUAAUCUAUAACUCAUUUACAUCAUCUUCAUUAUUUAGCUCUAUAUUGAUUAUUUACAUAUGAAUUGUUUAAUGAGUUAUAUUUAUAAAAGGACGUAUAUAAACAUGAUUUUAUGAAGUCAGGAUCUAGUUUUCGUAAUUAGCUCGGUUCAUUAAUUUGCAACUCUUACAUAUAAAAGGAAUUAUGGGCGAUGUAAAUUUAUAAUGUUAGGUUACAGGCAUUGGCCAAGUGUUAAAAAUAAUAAUACAAUUUUAAAAAUCUAAUGCUACCAAAUCGCUAAGUACUAUUAGUUUUAUGUUUUUAAAGUUCUUAAUAAAGAUUUUCACUUUAUCUUCAUAAUUAAAAAUUAGAAGCUCUGGAAAGGAACCAAAAAAUAAAAGAAAAAAAAAUUAACGUCAAUGUCCAUGCGAUUUGAUGAAAAUAAGUAAAGGGAAAUUCCUCGUAACAAAUCAAGUCUCUCCCAUCAAAUUGAUGGACGAGGCUUGAUUUGCUGCGAGAAAUGCCACUCUACUUGACCACUUGAUUUCCGCCAUAAGAAUUCAUAAUGAAAUAACUACUUAAAUUUUCGUUAUUUAAGAUACUUAAUUAGUACAUACGUGUAGUUUUAUUUUCGUAUGCAAUACAUGAUUUAGGAUUGUUUUGUUAUUUAUGUCCGUUCAAAAGUUUUCAAAACAAUGAUAAUAAUGCGCGAAAAAUACUAAUAUUGCAAAUCUCAUAAUGAUGACUAACCAGAGUUCAAUUCUUAGUUGCAGCACUACACUCACAAAAUUUAAGAUGGAAAAUUUUUAUUAUAAUUGAUGUAGUAAAUGAUCUGGCAUUAUAACAUCUUCUCAUUGUGUCACAUGAGUACGCAAAUAUUCAUAUCUUAAUUCUAUCGGUAUAUAAUUUUUUUAAUUCUCAAAAACAAAAAUUUAACUAAUAAAACACAUUGGUUUGAUUCAUGUACAUAUUAUUAAAUUUACCUAAAAAAAGUGAUGACAAAGUUACAAGUUUGUUUACAAAUUUAUCUUGUACAUACUGAGAUAAUUUAAAUUUAUUAGUUAAAUAAAAAUACAAAAUAAUAAAAAUAAAUCAGUGGACUAAGAGCUGUUUAAUCCAACCAAUUAAGUUAUACCACACAAUUUAUACUAGAGGUUUUUUACUCUAUUUUUACUAAAAAAGAAAGAAAAUCUAUACUUUAUUUGGCUAGUAGUUUUCACCCAUAUAUAGAAUUCUCCUUGCAAGGAAAGAAAUCUAAUAUUUUUAUCAUCUUUAUCCUUAUUUAGUUUUCUUAUAAAAUAGUGUAAUUAUAAUAGUAGUGUUCUUAUCCAUCUACACUUUUGUAUAGUCAUCUCUACCCUUCUUUGGGUUCCUUUUUUAGUCUUAACAUUAAUUGGCUAGCCAUUUUUGCCCAUACAGAAUCCUCCUUGUAAGGAAAGACAAUCCAAUAAUAUCAUCAUCUUUAUCCUUAUUUAGUUUUCUCAUGAAAGAGUUUAAAUGUACUAGUAUUAUUCUUAUCCCAUAUACUCUUUUGCACAGUUGUCUUUGUCCAUCUUUGUGUCUCUGAGUUGUCUCUUAUAUGUUUUUCUUUUUUAUGAGUUGAAUAUUUAGUUAUUUCAUUAAGGGGUUUGAACUAUAAAAUACCACACUUGCACAGAUAAAUUUUAUGUGUCACUCAUUUAUUAGUAUGUCACAUUAAUUGGAAUACGAAUUAAGAUCCAAUUAUUAUUAUUAUUAUUAUUAUUAUUAUUAUUAUUAUUAUUAUUAUACGGUGUUCUAUCAUAUCUUAUGCAAAUGAUUGCCAUUAAAUCAUUUCUUUGAAAUGCAUAUUCAAGUUGUAAUAUUAGUAUUGUAAAUUUCUUGAAUGACUAUAAAAUCAUUUGGGUGCAAAUUAGUUUAUUUGGUAAAAUGUCUUGAGUGAAAAAUAAGAAUUGUAUAGUUCAAAUGUCGCUCAUAUGGGUGAGAAAGUAGAGUAAUGAUAGAUAUCCCAAAUUUUAUUUUAAAUGAUGUGUCAUUUAUUAAGUGGUUAGUAAUUUAUUUGAAUUAUCUCACCAACUAAUUGAUGAAUGCCACGUCAUUUGAAAUAGUUUUUUGGAAUAAAAAAUUUAGGAUAUGUAGCACUACUGAAAAAAAAAAUUUAGUUAUUCUUAGACUCAAAAAUAAAUAAUAAUAAUAAUAAUAAAUGGCUACACUUCACUAUAAGUUUGCCACCUACAAUCUCUCAAGUUGCAGUGAACAAGCAUAUUAUCUCUCUUUGAUAAACAUAUCUUCUCCCCUUACCUUUUCUUAUAGUUUAAAGCUUUUGCCAAACAAACUAGAUGAACAAUAUGCUCUUCAGAAUACUUAAAAAUCAGUGAAAGCUAUUGAAUGGAGAGACCAUUUGAAUUAUUCAAAUACUUCAUCACGUUUCAUAUUGAUUAUGAAACAGAAGUGUGGCCUCUUCUUAGCAGUAGUAUAGAAGAGAGAUCAAAGUGUUUGAAUUACAUCGAAUUAGUGAUUUACCAGAAUGUUUCGGUUGAAGCCACGCAUAGGUAUUUCUUGAUCCUUCGUUUUUUUUCUCAUUAAGUUUGAAUUUCAAGCAAUAACAAUUAUGUUUGACAAAAUAUGUAUACAUUAUAAUAGGGAAAUAAAAAUUUAUAUUAUUUGUGCCAAGACCGAGGAUUGCGGCGGACACGAGAAGGUAUGCUGCAUUUUUAUUUUCUCUGUUCAUUGAUUAAAAAAGUUAUUUUUUUUGUCUUGGAUAAUAUCUUCUGUGUUUUUUCAAAACAUGAUCGCAUAAUUAUCUUCUCUGUUUUGCCAUCAGGGCAAGAAAGCACCAUAAUUUGCAUUCAUAUAGACAACAACAAGGGAUUUUUAUUAACAUAUUUUUAUUGUUUUGCCUUUGCCAAAUUCAUUCGUUUGCAGGUACUAUACGACUUCUAUAUUUUGGGAUUUCUAUAUUUUGGCCCUUGCCGCACCACUUCCUGAAUGGCGUAUGACGAACUUGUUCUUUCUUACAUUAUUUCCAUUCAAGCAUCGUCAUCUUCUAUAGGGGGUUCAAGGUUCAAGUCAAAAAACGCAAGCUUUUCGUAGCCUUUUCCUCGAACCAGCCCAGUACCAUUCUUAUUUGCCUCAUCAGACUUCGUAGUUGUACAUAAAAGAGCAAAGAAAUUGAAAGAAGUGUGUCAUACAGAUGAUGAAACAGUACUGGAGCCUGAAAAUUUAUGAAAAUAGAGAAAGACCUGCGCUAGCUGCGGCGUGUGUCACCAAGGACUUGUGCAAUCUGACGGCGCUUGGAAACAUCAGUGUGUUAUAAUUGAUUAAUUCCGUCAUCAGAUUAUUCUCAAUGUGGGUAAAUCCAUACUUGUUGAUCCACAUUGGGACAAGUUCAGGGACCGCUGGAAUUACAAGGUUUUCCACAUUGAGCUUGCGAAGAGCCUGAAAAUUAGAUUCGCAUAUCCGCACUGGCCGUUGCACUGGCGGUUUGAAUUACAAGAUUUUCAACAUUAAGCUUACCAGGAGCCCGAAAGUCGAUCAGAUUCGCAUUAGAACUUGUUCCACGCAGACAUAUAUUGAAAUGAAAAAUAUGACACAUACAGCUGAUUAUUAGUAGCUUCAGCACCAGCACUUACAGAUUCGAUUUGGGCCAAUAGUUUCGGCAUCAUUGUUCCUUUGUAGUCCCCGCUUCUGAACCUUUCACGGGUUCCGACAAGUGGAAUCUUCGCAAUCUGGGUCCCAUGGACCCUGUAAAAUUGAAGUGAUGAAUACUCCCAAGUUAAAUGAAAACUGGGUGUUGUAAAAUAUAUAUGUACUGGAUUGAUUAUAGGAGAACACACAGAAUGAAGUGAUGCAUACUCCCAAGUUUUUGUUAAACUGAACCGAUUAGUUCACAAAAACUAAAAUAAAAAUAAUUUCAUAAAAAAAUUAAUCUAAAUAAAUCAGCUCGAUUCCACUUUACUUCCCCAGUUUAUUGUAUUCAAUUGAAAUAUUGGUUGAAAAGUAUAUUUAAAUUUCAUAUUUAAAUUAUAAUAAUUUGAUAUAUAUUAUAAGUUUAGCAAAAUUUGGUUUGGGGGUUAAAAGGAAAAAAUUGGGAGAUCGAAUGACAAAGUUAAUCUCUUAACCAAUAACAAUAACCGUUCAUGCAAUCUUUGAGAAAAUGUAAAAUUAAUUUCUACUUUAAUUAAUGUUUUCAUAAAAUAAAUAAUUAAUGAACAUUAGCAAUUUUUAUAUACACGCAUACUUACAUAGAAACUAAGUGAGGGGCCUGUGGAACGCAUCCAAAGGUCAUAAUUUGCAGCACAUAGCGGACAGCAGCAUGUGUAGCAAAUAAAUGAAUAAAUAAAAUAAGGUAAAGGUCAAUCUAACGCCCUAAUCCAAUUCCAGAGCAUAGUUAUAGUUCGGAAUCCUGGACUGAAAAUUCACUACAUGUAUUAUUUCAAACUGAAAAUUCAUCAUAUUACCUAGGAUAUUUAAAAGGAGGCCACCACUUUAAAAUUUGAACAUGCAAGGGAUAUUAUUCGGCGUUUCAAGUACCGAUCUCCAAGAAUCACUGGCCAUUAACCUCUAGGAAGGCCAAAAAGACUUAGAAUUUGUAGAUCUUGAAUUCUUCUCAUUCUCAAGCAAUCGCCAAAAAAAAUUGUAAAUAAUAGUGAAAAAAAAUGGUUGUUAUGUAAUCAAAGGUAAACAUUAAGAAAUAAUUUGGUAGCAAUGGAGGUUCCUAAUAAGAUUUAGUGGUCAAAGAAAAUUUUGUUUAGAUUGCACAUGGCCAAGGGUGGAAAAUGAGAAUAAGUAAGGAGUAAGAAAAUAAGAACGAGAAAGUACAAUUAGUAGACGGGUAAGAAGAAUAUAUAGAGGCGGUGGAUAUGAAAUAUUGAAAGCGCAAGACAUGAGGCAAAUAGCGUGAAAAUCGCAAGCGAAAGAAGAAUAUUGUUUUUGGAUUUCUUCCCCCCAAAACCAUUCGUUUUCCACUACGCACAACAUUUGAAAAUGUAAUUGCGUUAAAAAAAAUGUAUAAUAAGAAUUUAUAAAUUUAUUUUGUACAAAUUAAUAUGAUGUACCUAUAUCGGUUAAAGUAAAUCUUGUGGAACAUAAACAAUAUUGUCAUGCCUAGUGACAUAACUAGACUUUAAACCCAACAAGGGUAAAUGUAAUUUACAUAAAGAAUUUGAUUUUCCUCAAGUGUUAUUAGAUAAUUUUAGAAUUAAUAUACUCAUUUAAGAUGAUUUUGAUGACGAAAUUAUAAUUUUGAGCCCUUUUUUUUGUAUAUUAUUCAAGUUGGUAGGGAGAUAAAAUUUUUAGUUGAAAUAAAAAAUAAAAUUUUUAUGAAAAAAUUAAUUCGGCCACUAUUUAUGGCACGAUAAUUCGUAUAAAAUAAAUUUAAAUAAGAAUUUAUAAUUUAGUCGCUGCCAUUAAUAUGUAACCUCAUGAUGGACUUGAACUUGUUUGUUAGUUUAUACUCUAUUAUCUUCAUUAUAGCUAUAGGUCUAUAUUAUAUGAAUUUCAUUACUGAGUUUUAUCUAAAAACUCGAAACGACAUUUAUGAAAAUAAUUUUAAGAAGUCACGCUCUAGUUUUCGUAAGUAGCUCGGUUCAUUAAUUUGUAACAGUAACUAAUAAGGCCCUCUUGACAUAUUAAAAAAACUGAUUGGCUAUUAUCUUAUAAUGGUAGCUAGGUUACAGGCAUUUGGUCAAAUGUUAGAAACAAUGCAAUUUUAAAAAGCCAACGGGAUUCCAACACCCCCCAGCCCAAAAAAAUCCCCCAAAAAAAAAAGCCGAUGGUAAAAAGUCAUCAUCAAUUUUAUGUUUUGAACUCCUUAAUCUGUAAUGAAUUUUAAUUUUCCCUCUGUCUUGCAUAAUUAAUUUAAUACUACACACAUUAAGAUCAAGGUAACAUUUCUUUUAGGUGUAGUAAAUGAGUUUUCAAUGUUUUGUUCUUCAUGUUUUUCACUCAAAAUUGUUCAAAACAGUACUAGUAAUGGACAUAAAAUUACAGAUACGGCAAUUGCUUACUAAUCUGAUUUAAAUUCUUGUGUGCAGCACUACAAUUAUAGCUCAUUUAAGGUGAUUUUGAUGACGAAAUUAUAAUUUUGAGCCUUUUUUUGUAUAUUAUUUAAGUUGGUAGGGAAAUAAAAUUUUUAGUUGAAAUAAAAAUAAUAAUUUUUUUUUAAAAAUAGUUCUGCUACUAUUUAUGGCACAAUAAUUCGUACAAAAUAAAUUUAUAUAAGAUUUGUAAUUUAGUCGCUGUCAUAAACAUGUAACCUCAUGAUGUACUUGAACUUGUUUGUUAGUUUAUACUCGUUUAUCUUCAUUAUAGCUAUAGGUCUAUAUUAUAUGAAUUUCAUUACCGAGUUUUAUCUAAAAACUCGAAACGACAUUUAUGAAAAUAAUUUUAAGAAGUCACGCUCUAGUUUUCGUAAGUAGCUCGGUUCAUUAAUUUGUAACAGUAACUAAUAAGGCCCUCUUGACAUAUUAAAAAAACUGAUUGGCUAUUAUCUUAUAAUGGUAGCUAGGUUACAGGCAUUUGGUCAAAUGUUAGAAACAAUGCAAUUUUAAAAAGCCAACGGGAUUCCAACACCCCCCAGCCCAAAAAAAUCCCCCAAAAAAAAAAGCCGAUGGUAAAAAGUCAUCAUCAAUUUUAUGUUUUGAACUCCUUAAUCUGUAAUGAAUUUUAAUUUUCCAUCUGUCUUGCGUAAUUAAUUUAAUUAUUACACACAUUAAGAUCAAGGUAACAUUUAUUUUAUGUGUAGUAAAUGACUUUUCAAUGUUUUGUUCUUUGUGUUCUUCACUCAAAAUUGUUCAAAACAGUAAUAGUAAUGGACAUAAAAUUACUGAUACGGCAAUUGCUUACUAAUCUGAUUUAAAUUCUUGUGUGCAGUACUACAAUUAUAGAGUGAAGAUGAUAAAUUUUUAUCAUAAUAGAUGUAGUCAACAAUGUGACAGUAUAACAAAGUACUGUUAAUCAAUACCAAUUUUCUUUGUUAUUUAUCAUGACAUUUCUCAAUGUGUACUAUGAGUUUAUAUCCCAAUUUUAUAAGUGUAUAAUUUUUUAGUUCUUAAAAAUAGACAUUUAAUUAAUAAGACACCCUGGUUUGAUUCAUAUACGCAUAUUCUGAUACUUACCAAAAAAAAAAAUCUGUAUGUCUAAUUUUUAGUCCUAACAUUGAUUGGCUAGUUGUUUCUGACAUUUUUGCCUAUAUAUAAAAUUCUCCUUAUAAGGAAAGAAAUCUAAUAAUAUUAUUAUCUUUAUCCUUAUUUAGUUAUGGCAUAAAAGAGUUUAAUUGUGGUAGUUAGUCCUAACAUUGACUGGCAAGUUGCUUUUAACAUUUUUGCCCAUAUAUAUAAUUCUCCUUGUAAGGAAAGAAAUCUAAUAAUGUUAUCAUCUUUAUCCUUAUUUAGUUAUGGCAUAAAAGAGUUUAAUUGUGGUAGUUAGUCCUAAUAUUGACUGGCUAGUUGCUUUUAACAUUUUUGGGCAUAUAUGUAAUUCUCCUUGUAAUGAAAGAAAUCUAAUAAUGUUAUCAUCUUUAUCCUUAUUUAGUUAUGGCAUAAAAGAGUUUAAUUGUGGUAGUUAGUCCUAAUAUUGACUGGCUAGUUGCUUUUAACAUUUUUGGGCAUAUAUGUAAUUCUCCUUGUAAUGAAAGAAAUCUAAUAAUGUUAUCAUCUUUAUCCUUAUUUAGUUAUGGCAUAAAAGAGUUUAAUUGUGGUAGUUAGUCCUAAUAUUGACUGGCUAGUUGCUUUUAACAUUUUUGGGCAUAUAUGUAAUUCUCCUUGUAAUGAAAGAAAUCUAAUAAUGUUAUCAUCUUUAUCCUUAUUUAGUUAUGGCAUAAAAGAGUUUAAUCGUGGUAGUAUUGUUCUUAUGCGUCUACUCUUUUGCAUAGUUGUUUUUGUUAUUAUUUUGGUAUUCUAUUAAAAGAAUCUAAUUGAAUACUAUUUAUUUACCUUAGGAUUCUCUGGCUAUUAAUUUUCUCUUAUUUGUUUGCUUUCUCUGUCUCUCUUUUUUCAAAAUUCCAUAUUUAGAUCUUUCAUUAAAGAUGAAAUACUAGAAAGUGUGAUGAUAGAGUUACAAAUGCUUGUAAAGUUUAUUUUAUACAAAUUGAUGUGGUAUAAAUUCGUUGGUUGGAUGAAAAUACAAAAUACUGAAAAUAAAUUUGAUAUGUACGAUGUCAAUUAUACAUUAUGUACUCAUUAAAAAUUAUUUUUUUCAUUAAAAGGUUAUGUUUUUCCAAGAAUAUUGAUUAUAUAUAUUGGUCAGUUGCUUCUAUUUUGUUAUAACAACGAUAUGUUAGAUUUAUAUUAGUUUAUUGCAUAUAGUUUAGAUCAAUUUGGUUGUUACAAAUAUAUUAAAAAGAAAUAAUUUUUUUUAUCAAACUGGUUAGAACCAUUAUAUAUGUUGACUUUGUGAUUCUUAAGAUAUGAAAACAUGAGGAUUAUACAAAUGAUAAAAGUCUACAAUGAUUCCAAUUAAGGAAACACAUAAUAGAUUUAUUCCUGUCCACAAUCCAAAACAAAUCUUAUUAUUAUUAUUUUUUCACUUGACAAAUAUUUUGUAUAUUCUUUAUUAUGUCUCCUUUUUUUUUUUUUGCUGAUUUUCAUUUCUUCUUUAAGUUGGUGAUUCCUGGAGCUGCUGCAUAUUCGUGAUUUGCGAGAUGAUGUUUAAUUCAUAGAUUUCCUCGUUUGGGAAUGUUACAGCUCUUGUGUAGCAUUUUGACUUUACCGAAUAAGAGACACUUCGUGAUCGUAUUGAUUUCUUGAUGUUUUUAACAUGCAUGGGACAGCUACAUUAUUAGCUUAUCUUAAGAUCCUUUUCAUUGACAAGUUCAUUGGAAAUGCUUCCCAUUUCACCACAAAUUCUAAUUAUUCGCCUAAAAUAAGAAGAAGAAAGCUUGCUAGUGAAUCUUAUCAUUAAUCAAAUCAAGGAAAAAAAUACCUAUAACACAAUGAAGAGCACUAUUUAGCUACUCAGUGAUCCAUUUAACUGCAGAAGCCAGUUUCUUAAAUUUUACUUAAUGGUAUAGUCCAAAUGAGUAAAGAAACAAAGCUAAUUAAUUGUGUUGUAUAUAAGAGGACAAACAUGACUAACAAAUGUGUUGCUUAUGAACAUCAAGUUUAUGGUUUGUUAUUUUAAAUAUAAGAUUAUAUUUAANNNNNNNNNNNNNNNNNNNNNNNNNNNNNNNNNNNNNNNNNNNNNNNNNNNNNNNNNNNNNNNNNNNNNNNNNNNNNNNNNNNNNNNNNNNNNNNNNNNNNNNNNNNNNNNNNNNNNNNNNNNNNNNNNNNNNNNNNNNNNNNNNNNNNNNNNNNNNNNNNNNNNNNNNNNNNNNNNNNNNNNNNNNNNNNNNNNNNNNNNNNNNNNNNNNNNNNNNNNNNNNNNNNNNNNNNNNNNNNNNNNNNNNNNNNNNNNNNNNNNNNNNNNNNNNNNNNNNNNNNNNNNNNNNNNNNNNNNNNNNNNNNNNNNNNNNNNNNNNNNNNNNNNNNNNNNNNNNNNNNNNNNNNNNNNNNNNNNNNNNNNNNNNNNNNNNNNNNNNNNNNNNNNNNNNNNNNNNNNNNNNNNNNNNNNNNNNNNNNNNNNNNNNNNNNNNNNNNNNNNNNNNNNNNNNNNNNNNNNNNNNNNNNNNNNNNNNNNNNNNNNNNNNNNNNNNNNNNNNNNNNNNNNNNNNNNNNNNNNNNNNNNNNNNNNNNNNNNNNNNNNNNNNNNNNNNNNNNNNNNNNNNNNNNNNNNNNNNNNNNNNNNNNNNNNNNNNNNNNNNNNNNNNNNNNNNNNNNNNNNNNNNNNNNNNNNNNNNNNNNNNNNNNNNNNNNNNNNNNNNNNNNNNNNNNNNNNNNNNNNNNNNNNNNNNNNNNNNNNNNNNNNNNNNNNNNNNNNNNNNNNNNNNNNNNNNNNNNNNNNNNNNNNNNNNNNNNNNNNNNNNNNNNNNNNNNNNNNNNNNNNNNNNNNNNNNNNNNNNNNNNNNNNNNNNNNNNNNNNNNNNNNNNNNNNNNNNNNNNNNNNNNNNNNNNNNNNNNNNNNNNNNNNNNNNNNNNNNNNNNNNNNNNNNNNNNNNNNNNNNNNNNNNNNNNNNNNNNNNNNNNNNNNNNNNNNNNNNNNNNNNNNNNNNNNNNNNNNNNNNNNNNNNNNNNNNNNNNNNNNNNNNNNNNNAAAAAAAAAAAAAAAAAAAAAAUUGGAGUUGGAUUGUGGACCAGAUGUUAGUAUGUGAUGUAAUGAUUUAUUUCCUUUGAUAGGCUUUACAAGUCAGCUAGUGUUGCACCAGGCUUCAACAGAACCACGUAAAAUGUGUUGGCUCUACAAGUUAGAAAGUCAUUCAGUAGGUUAUUUUUAAGCUUGGCUUAAAAAUAAUCCAAUUGUUAAAAUUCUCAAAAUUGCUUACAAUUAUUUUUUUAAAUUUUUUUUUCAAUUAUAGAAAAAAAACUUUAUCAUUACAGACUGCCUCUGUUGGAAAAUGCUAUUUUAAAACAAGAAAACAUAUUUUUAUAACAUAAUAUGAAAAUAUAAAGUAAAAAAGAACAUUACAAAUGUUAAAUUAAAUCAACGAUUAUUUUCGUCACUAUAAAGUUUUUUCUUUUGUUGUAAUAACUAUCCCCUUAGAUAUUUAAUAAAUAGCAGCAACUUUAACCAGCUUCCUGUGGUUAACUAUAUUUGAUAAUAAGUGAAAAACUACGCAAAAUAUUAGCUAGACAAUAUCUAAGUGAAGAGGAAGUCUAAUCACAAUGAGUAAAGAUCAAGAGGAAGUCGGGGCUUAGGAACAACAAGAAGUGGAUUUUUUCUGGACGUUCUGCCACUAAAUCUUUCUUCCAUAUCUAAAUCUUCUUUCUUCAUAUCACCAGGCAAUUUCCAUUCAAAACCAUGCAAAAGAUUUGCCAAAGUUGACUGAACUAUUUUGAGCCCUAGUGCAUAACCAACGCACAUCCGCCUCCCAGAUCCAAAUGGCAAUAACUCAAAAUUAUGGCCUACAACAUCAAUCUCUUUGCCGAUGAAUCUCUCCGGACAAAACUCAUUAGGUUUCUCCCAGAGGGUUGGAUCUCUUCCGAUUGCCCAUACAUUAACAAUUACACGAGAGUUUUUUAGAAUGUUAUAGCCAGCUACUUUGCAAUUUUCUCUAGCUUUGUGAGGAGCAAGCAAUGUUAGCGGAGGGUGGAGACGCAUGACUUCUUUAACAAUUGCUUGUAUGUAUGGAAGGUUAACAAUGUCUUUUUCUUCUACCCAAUUGUUUCUUCCAAUUACUCUAUCUAGCUCAUCGGUUGCCUUUUGGAUAACUUCUGGAUUUUUUAAGAGCUCUGACAUUGUCCAUUCUAAGGUGACCGCUGAGGUUCCAAUUCCACCAACUAAAAGAUCCUGAAAAUCAUCAAAAUAAUAAAAAGAAUAAUAUGAUUCAGAUUUUUAGUGCAAAAGACACUUGGAUAGUUUUAUUCAUGAUGUUUGCUUUUGUAGGACAAUGAACUAUUACUAAAAAGUUAAAAUCAUUAUAAACAAAAUUUCUUUUCAUUUCAAUGUGUGUGUGUGUGAUAUUAGUAUUCGUAUUAGUAUAGUAUGCUCAAAAAUUACUAUUUGGAUUUUUAUAUUUAUACUUUUUUCUUCAGAAAACAAAAUAUUUCAUGAAUGAAAAUCAUAUCCCGUUUCUUUAUCUAUGUGCUUGUGGGAAGGGUUCUUUUCUGAAACAAAUAUGAAAUUAAGUAUAUUUGCACAUACAAUUUAAUUACCUGCAUUGAUGCCUUAAUGUGAUCUCUUUCAAGCUUGACUUCGAGAGUAGGAUCAUCAGCAAGCUGCAACAAAACAUCGACAAUAUCAUUGGUCCCAUGUUCCUUAAACAAUUUCCUCUUACCAUGGCGCUCGUGCUCAUGCAAAACAUGCUCGUAAAAUUUAUCAAUCUUCUUCUUCACAGCCUUCAUUCUCUUAAUAUUCCCUUGUAAAUCUAAGAAAGCAAGCCAUGGAAUUGCAUCUCCUAUAUCUAAAACACCAGGAAGCAAGAAUAGUUCAUCUACGAUCUCUGUGAACUGUUUUGGAGUUACAAUAUUGUUUUCAUCUUCCUCAGUAUACCUUUUCCCUAACAGCAUCCGGCUCAUAAUGGCAAGAUUAAACAUGAAAAGACGCUCUUUCAAAUGAACAGGAGUGGAAGAAGAAGAAGAAGAAGACGAUGUUGAUGAUUUGUACAAUUUAAAUAAUAAUGCUUUUCUUUCCUCUAUCCUGAUGUACUCAAAUUGUGCUAAACUCUUUGGGCUAAGAAGUUGCGUCAUGUAAAUUUUACGAGUUUGGCGCCAAUGUGGACCAUAUGGUGCACCGGGCAUAACCAGAUAAUUGUAGUUUGCGUGUUUCCAUGCAAGAAGUGGUGGUCUACUAGCAAAAGUAACAUCAUGAGUUUUUAGUAAAAGUUCUGCUACUUCAGCUGAUGAGCCUACCACCACGGUUUCUAAACCGAAUUUGAGUUGCAUAAGGGGGCCAUAUUUUUGGGAGAGAGAUUGGAGGGAGACAUGAAGGUUCUGGCCGAUGAGGUUGAGGUUUACGAUGAGGUGCCAUGGCUUUGGACCGGGUGGCGGCAACAAGUUAAUCUUAUUGCGAAAAAUAUGGCGGUAAUAUAACAAGAGGAGGACAGGCAGGAAAAAGGCAAGGAUUGAGUACGACCUAGUCGAGUUUGAAGGGUUAUCAGCUGUAGCACUACUAGCAGGAUCCUCCAUAUUUAAUAUAUUAAAUAAAAUCAAAAUCAGCAGUGCUAGAUUCAAAUUCUUAUUAUAUGUAUAAGGAUUGAUGAUGAUUUGAAUUAUGGUUAUGAAAUGGAAGUGAGAGAGGUAUUUAUAUCUAACAAUAGAACAACAGCCAUGAGCCAACCAACUACAGAAAAUUACAAUUGACUAAUUGAAUUUGAUAUUGAUUUGAUUUGAAAUUGACAGGUUAUCUUGCGGAAAAUUGACCGGUUACUUGCUGUUGAUUAUAACAUUAGUGAUGCCAAGAUUACUUAAAACAAUCCACGGAACGUAUAGAGUGUUGAAAAGUCAAGCAUGCAAUUGUUGAGUAAUUGCAUGCGAUAGCUAACAUGCAAUUGUUGAGAGACAGCUAGCAUCCAAACUUUGACUACAAUUAUAUGAGAAAGUUGGCACUGAUUGCUAAGUUUGUCAAUUUUGCAAAUUGAAGACAAAUUCAAACAGUGUGGUAGGUGAGCAAUGCUCCCCGUAAAUAGAAGGGCCAUUCUUCAUUUGUUGCAUCCUAACUGUGAGAAUUGAGAGCAUUGUAAGUGAAGUAAUUUGAGAGAGUUUACACUUCAGUGUUUUAGUGAGAAUUCAUUUAGAUGUAUUGGGAUUGUAGGUUUUGAGAGCUUUUUCCACUUUUGUAAAUUCCUAUUUGUUAGUAAAAUUAUCUUCCAGUCUUUGUCCGUCGACGUAGGCUUUACGCCGAACCACGUAAAUUAUUGUGUUCAAUUUUUUUUUGCAUUUAUUUGUCACAUUUAUAUUUCUCGAGAAGUUGCAGUCACUAUAAUAUUGGUAAUUGUUCAACCCGCGCUUCUACAAUAUAAAGAAGGUAAUAAACAAUUUUUUUAGUAUUGAUAAUGAAGUAUUUUGCAUCAUUUUCAAAAUACGACAACAAUUCAAAAGCAAUAGCAUUGAUAUUGAUUGAUAUUACAAGGGAUGAUAAUAGAGGGAAGGGGAAGAGAUCCACCUCCUCGACUCUUUCUCCUUAAUAAUUAUUUGUCAAGAAAGGUGGCUAAAUAGCUGCCAAAUUCUAGAAGUAGCAAUCUUUGAAACCCAACCAAUUUAAAAGUUAUAAAUGUUGAAUUAGAAAUAUGGUGGUGUUGCAGCAAACUUUGAAAAGAAAAAAAAAAAUUAUUUCAAUAGCCAAUUUUGGCUAUAAAAAAGGAGUUCCUUAUCGGUUUUGUGCAUCCAUUUAUGAGAAGCAAUUCCAUUUAGAGAGCAAAGAAUUUUGAGAGCUUAAAUUAGAAAGCUCUUGAAGUUUAGUGAUUUGAGAGAUUUGGUGUAUUGGGUUAUGAGUAGUGAGCAAAAAAUAUUACAAUACUUAUAAUUCUCAUUUCACUAGUAAAAUUUUAUCCUUCUGUUUUCGCCUGUGGACGUAGGCUAAAAAUCCGAACCACAUAAAAUUUGUGUCCUUUUUGUGUGCUUAUUCUUUAUUUUCUUCUAAUUUCAAUUUAGAUGUGGCCUUGCUUCACCCAUUAAAUUUCUGAUAGUGGUAUCAAAGCUAUUGGUUGUAUUUUCUGGAGUUAGGGGCUAUUGUUCACGUAUACAACACUGUUCAUGUGAAAUUAUGGGAGUCGAUCCUAGUAAAAGCAGUUCAUAGUGAAACCAAUGCCGGCAAAAUAAGAAAUUGAGAAGUUCAACGGAAAUAACUUCUUGUUAUGGAAAAUGAAAAAUGAAGGUUAUUUUGAGGAAAAACAAUUGGUUGGCAGCAAUUAGAGAAAGACCUGGAGAAAUUACUGAUGACAAGCAGAAUGAGAUGGACGACAAUGCAAUUGCUGAUCUACAUUUGACACUUGCAAAUGAAGUAUUAUCUAGUAUGGUAGAGAAAAAGACAGUAAAAGAAAUAUGAGAUACUUUUAUGAAAUUGUACAAGACCAAAUCGCUACACAACAAGAUCUUUUUAAAAAUGAGCUCUAUACUCUUCGAAUGACGGAAACCACAUCGGUGACCGACCAUAUCAACACUCUGAAGACUUUAUUUUCACAACUCACAAAGUUGAGUAAUAAAAUAGAGGAAAAUGAACAUGCGGAGCUUUUACUUCAAAGUCUACCAUAUUCAUAUGAUCAACUUAUCAUCAAUUUGACGAACAAUAACCAAGCGGAUAGCCUAGUCUUUAACGAUGUUGCAGCCGCUGUAUUAAAUGAAGAAAUAGGUGGAAAAACAAAUAAGACAAACAUGCGAGUUCGUAGCAAGCGGAGGCGCUAUCAAUGAGGAAAAUGAGAUCAACGAAACGUGGCCACAGUGGGAGUCACAAUCAUGGUAAAUUAAAAUCAAGAAGUAAGAAAAAUGUCAAAUGCUACAAUUGUGGCACAAAAAGGGCAUAUAAAGAAAUAUUGUUGAAGUAACCAGAAGAGAAGAAAGAGUAAAGAUCCUAAGUCAUCAAAUACUUAGGCGUGUGUAACAAGUACCUCAGAUGAUGACGAAAUUCUCUAUAGCGAGGAAACAACUAUUACAGAAGGUUGGAAGCGGUUAGUUGUUAUCUAGUUUAUAGGCUCAGGAGCAACAUGACACAUGACUUCUUAGAGAGAAUGGUUCUACAAAUACGAACCUAUCUUAGGAGGAUAUGUGUACACGAGUGAUAAUUAUGCCUUAGAAAUCGCUAGUAUUAGUACCGUCAAAAUAAAAAUGUUUGAUUGUACAGUUUGCACAAUUAAGGAGGGACGACAUGUCAAGGGCUUCAAGAAAAAUCUAUUGUCUUUGGAACAAAUAGAUAGUCUUAGGUGCAAAAAUUAUGUUGAAAAUUGGAUCAUGAAGAUUGCUAGAGGUGAGCCUGUAUUAAUGAAGGUAGAAAAGAUUAGUUCUAAUCUAUUUAUGCUUAAAGGAGAAAUACUACAGGAAGCUGAUGCAUGUGUCGCGUCAAAUGGAGAAAAGUCAGCGAUGAUUUGUCAUCUCAAACUUGGCCACAUGUCAGAAAAGGUUUGAAGAUUCUCUCUGAACGAAAGUUGCUUCUAAGGCUCAAAACAGUGAACUUACCAUUUUGCAAGCACUAUAUUACAAGCAAGCAGUAUAGACUGAGGUUUAGCAGACCCAUUGCCAAAAGUAAAUGCAUUCUAGAUUUGGUUCAUUCUGAUGUUUGGGAAUCACCGGAUAUGUCCCUGGGAGGUGGAAAGUACAUGACGACUUUUAUUGAUGAUUAUUCCCAGAGAUGUUGGGUGUAUCUAAUCAAGAAAAAGUCAUAUGUGUUUUCAAUAUUCAAACAGUACAAAGUGUGGGUAGACUAUGAAUCUAGAAAAAUGAUCAAGUACUUGAGGAUAGAUAACUGUAGAGAGUAUAUAGACGGUGAAUUUCUUGUUUUCUGUAAACAAUAAGUUAUUUAGAGAUAGUUUAUGGUGGCAUACACUCAUCAACAGAAUGGAAUGACAUAGUGGGUGAACAUAACUCUUACAUAAAGAAUAAGAGUUAUGUUGAGGACUGCUUAUCUAUCCAACUCUUUUUGGGAAGAAGAAGACAAAACCGCCUGGUAUGUAGUAAAUCAGUCGCCAUUAAUAGCAAUUGAGUUAAAGACACCGAUGGAGAUGUGGAUUGGAAAUGCAACUAAUUAUUCUCAUAUGCAUACAUUUGGAUUUCUUGUGUACAAUUCCUAAGAAAGAACAAAAAUAGAUCCAAAAUCUAGAAGAUGUAUAUUCCUAGGGUGUGUUUGGCGCACUGUAUUAUAAUAUACUAUUGAUAACUCUCAUUUCAUGGGCUUAAAUUAAGACUGCUUGGAAAGUAAUUGAUAUGUUUUAGUGCACUUUAAUGAUAGUUUACAUUACAUUCAUUUUAGUUUGAGUUUAAUAAAGUUUAUGUGAUUUUUGAAUAAUUGUAUGCCUAAAACAUAUGGUAAAAUUGUAGGUAAUUGGAAACUUGAAUUUUAUGGAAAGGAUGUUAUUGCAAUGGACUUAUAAAGGACAAGCAAACAUGGUUAUAGAAGAAUUGGAGUAAGUCUGGAACAGUGAAAAAUGUUGUAGUAAUUGUUGUAACAAUCCUCGAGCAUUGACAGAAAAAUCCGGGCAAGAUAUUCAGAAUAUUGCGAUCUGCAGUUUCCUAAUCUAAAGAUGCGUGCCCUAAAAUUUUCAGUUAACAUAAUUUGUAAUUAUAAAAGGUGGCGUACAUGAAAAGAAAGAGGAAAGGCCAUCAAUCAAGAUCAAAAACAGAAAAGAUACAAAGAAGAAACAAAAUUCCCAAGCAGAGAUCAAAGCUGCACUAGUAGGAGAAAUUACAGAACCGAUUGGAAUUCUUUUUUCUCAUUCUUUUCUUGUUUAGUUAUUUUUUAUUGAUCAUGAAGAUGUAUUCGAUGGCUAGAACUUGGUUGUUUAUUUAUCUUUCACAAAUUAUGAAUUAAUUUUAUUUGUGGUUGAGUGUUAAACUAGCUUGAUGAUUAAGUGACUGAAUAUAGAUAUUGCUGCAUGUUCACUAUAAUAUUUAUCUUUGAUAGUAUUUAUUUAAAGUCAUUGUUUCGGCUGACCACUCAUUUAAUGAUAUAAGCUCAUAAAGAGCUACAAAAGGGCAUAUCCUAGUAGAACAUAUCAGAGUAAUACUCGAUUUUGGAUUUAGUUUCCUGGAUUAGGUUUAACUUGAGUCCUAAAAGAGAUAUGCUUAAUUUAAGAUUAGUGAUGAACUAGAUAUAUGGAUUCACCUUGUAAGGUAAAGAGGUAAAGAGAAUCUGAACGCGUAAUGCUAUAUUUUAUGUAGGUAUAACAACUGGUCAUUGUUAGGUUGUAUAAAGAUAUAACACAUCCAACAUGCUACCGUUGAGGAUAAUGCUGGUUUCUGCCUAGUGUUGUAGCAGAUGCUGCAACAAUUGAGCAUAACAUGCAUAAAACAGUCAACACCAUAAAGAGAGUUUAAUCACUCAACUACUUCAUUCCUAUUGAUUUAACUUUUUUAUUUAACGUGCAAAUUCUAUUCAUUGCAUUUUUAAUUAUUGUGAUUUUAUUUUACUAAGUUACUUGGUCAUAUUAGUUGUAUUAAUUUAAUUUAGAGCAUAGAUUGCACUGUUGAAAUUGUUGUAGCAAGUCUGAUAGCAUCAAUUUCUGUGGAGACGAUUUUGAAUACUCAUUAUUUUAUUACUUAUUAUGUACACUUGCACAUUGACACCAUAACAAUUGAAGUAAAAUUUACAGCAGCUGUAUUGCAUUAGCACUGUAUUAUAAAAAUGUUGUACAAUGUUUGGUGCUACACUUUAUUGUAUUAAUUUUUAAUUAUAUUAUGUUUGGUGUUGUACUGUACUGUAUUAUUUUUUGUAAUUAAUUUAAAAUAUAUAUUUCAAAAAUAAUAUUUAUUACUACUUAAAAAAAUUAAAUAUACUGCUGUACNNNNNNNNNNNNNNNNNNNNNNNNNNNNNNNNNNNNAGCAGCUAUUAUAUUAUAUUAUAAAUUAAAAUAUAAUAUAAUAAGGAAAUAGGAUCGAAGGAUGGAUGUGCUUUCAAAAUACUUUAUUAUUAAAAAAUUUGAAUAAACCAAUGCUUGCAAAGGAUCGGCUUCGUCAGAUUUUAAAAGGAUUUAUCGUUUCUAUAUUAAAUUAAGUUGCUUUGGAACGCGGUUGAUCAAAAUUUUAGAGCUAAAAUGGUACGUGGCGUUGUUCUACCGGAUCGAUGCAGAACUUAAUCUGCCUUUGGACCCAGAUCUGACUUAGGACAUAUCAAUAGUCCGCACGUUCUGGUUUCCAGCCGAUAUACCGGAUUAGUGUGCUUUACCAAAUAUUUAAUAAAUUCUUUUGUAGAUCUGGAGAUCUACUGUGCUUUGAAACGCGAUUUGUCAAUUUUAGAAGUGUCUUUACCAGAUCUGAGUUAGGUAGAUUUUAGCAAACCUGGCAACAGGGCUUUACAGAAAUAAACAUGCAUUAAGGUUGGCUUCUAAAACAUACACAGUACCAGAUCCGGUUCCCGGAAAUGGUGCUCUGAAGGAAUUGAGGGAGAAGAGAAGUUUACGACUGAGGAUCGAGAUCCGGUCUCUUUGCCUCAGAAGAAUGUAUAUGUUAUAUGGCAGAUCUGAUACAGAUCAGUCUGCAAGCAUGCUUUGUAAAAGAAAAUGCUUUAAAAUUAAAUUGCAGAAAUUGAAAUGCUCUGAAAUUAAAUGACGGAAAUUAAAUUACAUAAAUUGAAAUUGCUUUGUAAAUAAAACUAGAUUAAAGAUCUAGGCAUACACUUUGCUUUUGUUACUGCUUUACAAUUUUUCAAAUCUUUCCAGAAGGGAAGAUUGAAAGACGGGAAGAUUUAUGAAGGUAAAGAACUAGUCUGAUUACUCAAAGUUCUAAGGUAGAACUAUUGCGUAAACAGAAAAUUUCUUCGAACACUUCUUGCUUUUAGAGAGAGUUUUAGAGAGAAGGAGGAGAAGAGAGAGAAAUGAAAACUCAAAAUAAAAACCUGUGAGGAGUCUAAGUCUUCCUCUUGGAUUAUAUACAAAACUUUGUAAACUGUUCACUGUAGCGGAGCCUUAAGUGCACAGUAACAAAUGGAACUCUGUACUGAUUCUCAAAAUGUGUGGAGCAGGUUCUUUGGUGCUAAGCAGGAGUGCUGAGCAGAAGUCUUUGAUGCUGAGCAGGGAUACUGAGCAGGAAUCUUUGAAAUGCUGAGCUGUUCUUUGGUGCUGAGCAGGAGUGCUGAGCAGAAGUCUUUGAUGCUGAGCAGGGAUGCUGAGCAGGGAUGCUGAGCAGAAGUUUUUGAUGCUGAGCAGGGAUCUUGAGCAAGAAUCUUUGGAAAGCUUUUAUAAAAUGGGUGAAGAGACAUGUGCGCUCUCACUUGUGUCCAGAGGACCACCCGAGGAGGAAAAUACUUUACUAAUAAACGAGAAAAUAAAAUAAUUACUUUUUUUUUUGAAUAGUUACAUGAACUAUUUACAAUGCUUUAUAGGAGAGAAAAUUCCGAAACAAUCAUCUUCGUUUUCAUCUCCAAGAGAGACGGUUGGCUCGUCAUCAUCAUCGUCGUCAUCUUCAGUAGAAUCUGCAACUGAGGACUUGGAGCGAGAAGCGAGGAGCUGCUCCAUUGCUUUGAAAUACUCUUUUUCUGUUUUGGCACUUGCGAGGAGAGCUUGGGCUUUGGAUUUUUUAGUAAGGAAAGUGCCUUGGGCUUUGAUGUCUUUAAUAGCUGGUUGUAGAUGGCCUUUAGCAGAAAGCCAAUUUUGUACAUGGCUGGUAGUUAAUUUGGUCUGCUCGUCAAAUUUUGACCACCAUUUGACUCUAAAGGUUCUUUGGAGGAUAAAAUGGGAAUCUUGUGUGUGAUGUCGAAGACUCCACAUCCAGAACCAUGGGAGGAAGAAAUUAGUACAAAAGCAGAGAAAAUGAGGAAAUCUUUUCUCAGACUCAGUAGGUUUGUAGUUGGCUUUGAAAAGGUUUAGGCAUUGCAGGGCAUUUUGGGUAAGGAUCUCAGAGGUUGGACCAAAAUAAUUCCACCAAUGGUGAAACCAGUUUGGCAGGCUUUGGACGGUUAUUUUUGAAUUAAAGAAAAAUAACCAGGAAUGGGAUUUUUUAGGGUUUUGUAUGAAGAAGGUGUUAUACCAAGCCUGUUGGUAAUCCCAGUAGGAGAAGGACCGACAGUGUGGUAAACGGGUCUCAAAAUCAAGAGGGAAAAUUUUAAAAUUGUGGAGCAAAUCACCCCAUUGGUUAGGGCUCAAAACUUUUAAAAUUGUGGCCGUAGAAUAGGCCGGCUCAGAAUGGGUUUUACUUAAAAAGAAAUGUUUGAAUUUUACUGAAUUAGUAAUUUCCAAAAUGCUUUGAUAGUAAGACUGGGGUUUCGUCAAAUCCCAUGGUUUGAAAAACCAGCCUUGGGGAAAAAACUUUGAAAUACUUUGAAAAGGAUCAGAAUGGUAAAAUCCAUCUUCCAUUGAAAUAAUAUUUUGAAAAUGGGCUUUAUCAAACCAAUCGGAGGUUUUCUUUGAAGGUGUUGGCUGAGAGAGCACAAUUUGGGAGGAUGAGCUCUCACCAGAAACAACAAUGUUUUGAGAGGAAGGCUUUGAGAUAUCUUUAGAAGUGGGUUUUUCUUCCUCUUUAGGUUGGGCCUGGGAAAGGCUUUGUAGAGCUAUCAUAAGCUCAGGUGACUUUGUAAUGGAACUCAUCCAUUGCUUUACUUGGUCUUCAGAAGAGAUGGAUUUGUAUUUGGCUUUGUGUUCUUCAACCAAUUCAAUCCAAGAUUUGAUUGGCAUGGCUGAGGAAAGGAGUUUUUCUUUAGAAGGGGUUGCUUGGGGUUCUUUGGAAGAUUCUUGGGAAGCAGGAGCUUUCCCUUUGUCACGUCUUAUCUUUGGAGCCAUUACCUGUUUUGAAGAAAUUCCCGAGUUAGAAAAUCAGGAACAGAAUUUUUAUCACCUUUAAUAAAUUCUAUAUCAAAAUCAAAAACACUGAGAAUAGCUUGCCAACGUGCAAAAAUCUGUUUUGAUGCAAUGUUUUGAACAUCUUUUUCUAAAACAUGUUUUGCAGCUUUGCAAUCAAUCCUAAGUAAAAAUUUUUGAUUUAGCAAAUCACUUUGGAAUUUUGUAAUGCAUAAAACAAUGGAAAGAAUUUCUUUUUUGAUAGUAGAAUAGUUUCUCUGACAGUCGUUCCAAUGAGCAGAAACAUAUUGUACUAUAUGUUCUUUAUCAUCUUCUUUUUGCUUUAAAAUACCUCCAUAUCCUAAAUCUGAUGCAUCAGUUUCAACAAUUUUAGGAAAUGCAGGAUUUGCAAGAUGUAAACAAGGAAUGCUUUUAACAGACUGUUUUAUUAGUCUAACAACUUUUGUAUGCUCUUCUGACCAUGCAACAGGAUUCUUUUUUAACCUAUCAUGCAGAGGUUUUGACAUCCUAUUGAUGUUAGGGCAGAAAUCAAGAACAUAAUUUAAACUACCAAGAAAUCUUUGUAAUUGGGUUUUAUCUAAAAUUUUGUCUGGGAAUUUGUCCGCAAACAAAAGAGAUCUUUCAAUAGGAGUAAUGGUUCCUUUGGAAAUGUAAUGUCCAAGAAACCUGAUUUUUGUUUGAAACAAUGAAAUCUUUGAACUGGAAAGGGCUAAUCCAGCCUUCUUUGUAGCAAGAUAAAAAGUCUUUAGAUGUUUGAAAUGUUGAUCAAUGCUUUGAGAAAAAAUCAAAACAUCAUCAAUAUAAACAAUGCAAAACUCAGAGUAGGGAUUGUAAAUAUCAUUCAUAAUUCUUUGAAAUUCUGAGGGUGCAUUUUUCAAACCAAAAGGCAUCACUGUCCACUCAUAUUGACCAAAAGGAACAGUAAAUGCUGUUUUGUAACGGUCUUUAGGAUGAAUUUGAAUUUGCCAAAAACCCGACUUCAUAUCAAAUUUGGAAAAAAUGAAGGCCGAGCAGAGUUUUUGAAGCAAGUUUUUCUUAUUAGGUAUUGGGUACCUAAUUCAUUUCAAAGCUUUAUUUAAAGGUUUGUAGUUUAUCACAAGUCUAGGUACACCUCUUUCAAUCUCGGAAUUUUUAUUGACAUAAAAAGCGGCACAAGACCAAGGUGACCUGGAUUUUACAAUAAGACCUUUAGAAAUAAGAUCAUUUACUUCAUCUUUACAAUGUUGUUCCAAAUCCGAAUUCAUUUGGAUUGGACGGGCUUUAGUAGGUAUUUGCUUUUCAUCAAAAGAACUUUCAUAUGGCAAAUCAACCAAAUGUUGUUUCCUAUUCCAAAAAGCAGUUGGUAAAUCAGCACAAAUUUCUUUUGCAAUAAGGCUUUUGAAAUCAGAAAUUUUUCUUUGUAUAGAAUCAUUUUGUAUUUGAUUCUCAAUUCUCUGAAAAUUUAAAUCUUUUUGUAAGUAAAACAAAUCAUAUUGUUUAGACUUUACAAUAGCAUUGAUUUUGUUUUGGUAAACCGAGCAGGCUUUAACAAUAUUAAGGUUCCGGGUCUUUGGUUUUUCAAUAAACGAAAAAGCAAGUUCUUUGGAUUUUGCUUUAAAAUAUAUACCAUCAUAGUUGACAGCAUAUGGGGUUAUCAAAUUUAUAAAAGGUAUUCCUAAAAUGAUAGCAUGGUGUAUAUCAUUUGUAAGAACAAAAGAGGUUUUGAACUCAAUUUUGUCAUUAUAAAUAGAUGCUUCAACUUUGGAAUUUACCCUUAGCUUUGAAUUGUUUGCAGCAGAGAGUCUUUCAUUUGUUUUCUCAUGAAAUCUUUUUGGGACAAUGUCCUCACGAAUACAAUUUAAAUCAGCACCAGUAUCAAAAAGAGCAAUGGCAUCCAUGGCAAAAUUAUCUGAAAAAAUUAAAGUAAUCUUAAUCAAAUAUUUUCUGGUGGUGAUUUGCUUUAAGACAAACAAAAAAUCAUUUGGAAUUGACUCAAUAUUAUCAAUCUUUUGCUCAAUAUCAUCAUUUUCUGAUUCAACCUCCUUAUCGGAAGCAUCUUGCAACUGUUUUUGUAAAAGAAGUUGAAUAGUUGCAGAAUCAGUUUUUUGUUUUUCUUUUAAAUCCUUUAUUUCAAGUUUAAUAUCCUUAAUCUCCUUUUGAAGGUCUUGGAUAUUAGGAGUAGACUUCUUUGUUUUCUUUUUAUCUAAAAUCCCAGUUAGAUCAUAAGAAUUCUUUUUAACAAUAGGGAUUUUAGAGGAAGAAGAAGCUUCUGUGUUGCUUGAAUCCAUGGUUUUUAAGAGCUUAUCAAGAUAUUCCUUUUGAAGAUUUGGAUCGGAAAUGUGCUUUACCAAUUCAAGAAAAAUCUCUUGGUCUUUAGUCAAAACAUUGAUUUUCUUUAAAAAGGAAUUAUCCGAAUCAGAAUCACUAUUGCUAGAUGCAGAGCUAUCUGAAUCGAAUAGUUCAUCGACCUGGAGGGGGUUAUCAUCGCCUGACCAGGAAGACUCAGAAUCAGAAGACCCGACCAGAAGAGGGGCUAUUUUGGAAAGGAUUUCCUCCUCGAGGCCGAGCUCAUGGAGUCUCCUAUUCAUUUUACAAAAACGUGCAGUAUGACCUUUCAUACCGCAUUUGAAACAGGUGGCAUCUUUGAAAUUGAAAGGGGUUUUAGGUUUGGCUUUAAACUCUUUCUUUUUAGAGAAACUAUGUUUCUUAUAAGGCCGCAAAGGUUUCUUAUAAGGAAGUUUUCUAAAAUCAUGAAAUGGCUUCUUAUGGCUUUUAGACCUGUAAUGUUUUUUGUAAGGUUUAAAAGAGCACUUACCAUUACAGUCUCUGGAAGUGGAAGUUUUAAAGGGGUCAUAAUUGAAUUGCUUGCAAAACCCGCCUAAUUCUUGCUUAGAUUGCCUAAGCUCAUGUUUUAGACGUUUCUGAAGUUUCAAGUCUUGACAGAUCUUUAAACCUUCUUUGUUGACAAAGCUGACUAAUUCACCAUAAGUGAGUUUGUCAUAAGGAAUACGAUUAUCAAAAAGGGCUUUGAUAGAAUUUCUUACCUUUUCUCCCAAAAGGGUAGGCAAACCAGCAAGGAAUUUCUCCUUCCAAGUUAUAUGAUUUGCAUCAUCCCUUAGGAAGAGUCUGGUAAAGAAAGUGGUUUUGUAGUCAUUAAAAUCACUAAGUUUCCUACACCUCAAGUUGUGUAGUAACUCAGCAUUUUUGUCUCUAAGGUGAGAAGGGUCACCUAUGAAAUGGAGAGAAAUAGUCAAUAUCAGGGUAGCAACAGCAUCCUGAAUUGGAUUAUUGAGCCCAUCCAGAAUGGGGGCACCAAUAUCGUCGCUUUGGAUGGCAUUUAAGAUGUCCAAUUGCUGCAAUUUAGUGAGAAGAUGAUCCCACCAACCUUUAAGUUGACCAGUAAAACCGGCAAUCAAGAUUUCUGCUAUGGCUCUAUCAGAAGUUCCUGAUUGGGUUUUAUAAGCAUUGGCUGCCAUGGUCAUUUGCUGCAAUACACCUAAAAUGUUGUAUUCAGACAUGCCAUCUAUAUUCCACUCAUAGACAGAGGAUGCAUUAUAUCGAGCUUGAUUUAAUGCACUAGGCCUGUUAUCUAUGGUCAAAUCAGGUGGAGAUUUGGAAGUAGGGAGUGCCAAUUCCCAAUGAAUUUUGUUGGCUUUAGGAACUGGUUCUUCUGUAAAGGCUUCUAAGUCAGAAGAGACAAUAGAAACCUGGUCUUGGUCGAGUACUCCAAUUCUGCUCAACUGAGGAGUAUCAAUCUUGCUGGAUUGAGGAGUAUCGGGAGCUAUUUGAACUUUACUAAAUGAGGAAGAAGCAGCUUCUAUCCUAUCUAGUUGUUCUCUAAUGGCUUUGGCAAAAUCAGACUUUGAUUCUUGGACAAGAUUCUGACUAGUUUUCGAAACCUGAAAAGGUUUGAAAAUAGGUUCUUUAAGCUUUUUAUCAGAAUCUGAUUUUAAAGAAAUAGGUUUUGGACUAGGAGAAACAGAUAUGGUUGACUGUUGAAAUUGGUUUUCCAAUCUAGUCAACUGUUUUCCUAUGGUAUUUAAGUUAGUAUUACAGAAAUUAUUCUGUUGAAUAAUACUACUUAAAUUGACUUCAGAAUCAUUUGGCUUUGGAAUUUUGUAAGGUGAAGCUCUGAUUUCUACAGGAGGUUCACCAUGAUCUAUGGUUACACUCCUAAGAGGGGGAUGCUCAGAAUCGACUGUUCUAUUACUAUCGAAGAGUUUCCACUCAGUGGUUUUCUUCCUGAUAGUAAUAGGAUUUGACUCUUUGAAAGGAUAGGAAAUGUUGUUUUGAGAAGAGUAUAUUUCGAACCAAUCAAAAAACAAUAUAUGAACUUGAUGAAGAUUAACAAAUUCAUAAUAAGUUUGUUGGAUUUCUUUCCUUUGAUUUAAAAAAUGCUCAAAAAACCAAAGUCUUUUUUCUUUAUUAUCUACUGAAUAAAAAUCACUAUGCAGGAUGGUUUUAUCUAAUUCAAAAUGCUUUUCAAUGACAUUUAAAACAUUUUCUGUAACUGCAGAGAAUGUAAGAGAUGUUGGAGGAGAAGGUUCUUUCUCUUCCCGUCUUUGUUCAUGUUGACUACUAAUGUAAAUGGGAUGUGGUACCUUUGUAGUAUAGUCAACAGAACUAAUAGAAGAACUAGGUAAGUCCGAAGUGGAGAACCUAGGUUGACUCUGAAAUGGAAGAUUUAUGACAGAAGGGAUUUUUGAAAAUUUCCUUUCCAUCGAAGGAAUGCUCGAGCACGAUGCUUUAUCGGAGAAUCUGGAUGAAUUUGAUCUCCUAAAUGAAAGUUUGACUUUACCAUCGGAAUACUGGGUUACAUUUUGCAACUCUGUAUUCGGCUCAAGUUGUUUUGGAAUCGCUGGUGGAGCGGCUCCUUCAAGAAUCCAUUCCUCAGGAAGAUUGACAUCUUUCCAUUGGAUUGGUUUUGGAAUGACAGUGUUAGCUCUAGACAGGUCAGUCUGUAAGAGAAGAGUUUCAUCUCUUUUUGACUGGAACUUAUGUUGAGUACUGAAGGCAGUAAUCAUAGCUUUGUAAGACAUUUUAAAAAUCAAUGCAACAGGGAUAGAUCCCUCAAUCAUAUGAUAAUUAUGUGUUUUGAUUUGUAAAAUCAUGCUUUUCAAAAUGUUUUUAUCUUUAAGAGACAAUGUGAUAUUAGGAUAGCAAUCGAAUGAAAUGGGACUUUUACAUAGGUUAGAUUCAAUGCUACUUAGCAGAGAAUCAUCGAAAGAGACAAAUCGACCAUCUCUAAGAACAGCAAGGAUAGAAGUAUCCAAGCCUUCUUUGGUAAGGGGCUUUAUACCUAUUUGGAUUAGACCGAUAUGAAUGUAAUUGAAAUUCUUUUCUUUUAAUUUGUUUAAAGAUUUUUCUGAAAACAAAUUAAUUGUUUCAAAAGGCUUUGAAAGAGUUAUAUCUCGCUCUUCAGUUUUUAUGACAUAAUCAUUUUUCAAAAAAUCGAGCUUUUUUGUCCUGUAAAUCUUUUCUUUUGAAAUCUUUGGAAGUUCCCAACAAUCAAUUGCUUUAUCAAAGUUCUCAAUAACAAAUUCUUCUGAACUCACAACAUGCUUUGAAUCACUAGUCUUCCCAAAAGAAGAGCUAGAAAAGGACAAUGAUCGACAGUGUAGAGGAUUCAUGGUUAGAACCCUAUGUUUUAAAUCUGGUUUGGUCAGAAUGGCUACAGGUAUGGUUUUACAGCCCAAAACGGAAAACUUAUCCUUGAACGGGUCUUACUACCCGUAAAAAUUCACCACAAAAACAAAAUUUCAAAAUAAAACACAAGAUUUUAAACACAAAAUUCUAAACUGCUUUACACAAAGCAUGCUUUGAUUUUUUCUCAAAGCAUUGAUCAACAUUUCAAACAUUUAAAGACUUUUUAUCUUGCAACAAAGAAGGCUGGAUUAGCUCUUUCCAGUUCAAAAAUUUCAUUAUUUCAAACAAAAGUCAGGUUUCUUGGUCAUCAUAUUUCCAAAGGAAUCAUCACUCCUAUUGAAAGAUCUCUUUUGUUUGCGGACAAAUUCCCAGACAAAAUUUUAGAUAAAACCCAAUUACAAAGAUUUCUUGGUAGUUUAAAUUAUGUUCUUGAUUUCUGCCCUAACAUCAAUAGGAUGUCAAAACCUUUGCAUGAUAGGUUAAAAAAGAAUCUUGUUGUUUGGUCAGAAGAGCAUACCAAAGUUGUUAGAUUAAUAAAGCAGUCUGUUAAAAGCAUUCCAUGUUUACAUCUUGCAAAUCCCGCAUUUCCUAAAAUUGUUGAAACUGAUGCAUCAGAUUUAGGAUAUGGAGGUAUUUUAAAGCAGAAAGAAAAUGAUAAAGAACAGAUAGUACAAUAUGUUUCUGCUCACUGGAACGAUUGUCAGAAAAAUUAUUCUACUAUCAAAAAAGAAAUUCUUUCUAUUGUUUUAUGCAUUACAAAAUUCCAAAGUGAUUUGUUGAAUCAAAAAUUUUUACUUAGAAUUGAUUGCAAAGCUGCAAAACAUGUUUUAGAAAAGGAUGUUCAAAACAUUGCAUCAAAACAGAUUUUUGCACGAUGGCAAGCUAUUCUCAGUGUUUUUGAUUUUGAUAUAGAAUUUAUUAAAGGUGAUCAAAACUCUGUUCCUGAUUUUCUAACUCGGGAAUUUCUUCAAGACAGGUAAUGGCGCCAAAAAGAAGAGAUAAAGGGAAAGCACCUUUUAAAGACAUUGCUUCCCAAGAACCUUCCAAAGAACCUCAAGCAACCCCUUCUAAAGAAAAACUCCUUUCCUCAGCCAUGCCAAUUAAAUCUUGGAUUGAAUUGGUUGAAGAGCAUGAAGCCAAAUACAAAUCCAUUUCUUCUGAAGACCAAGUAAAGCAAUGGAUGAGUUCCAUUACAAAAUCUCCUGAGCUUAUGAUAGCCCUACAAAACUUUUCUCAAAGCCAACCUAAAGAGGAAGAAAAUCCCACUUCCAAAGAUAUCUCAAAGCCUUCCUCUCAAAGCAUUGUUAUUUCUGGUGAGAGCUCAUCUUCCCAAAUUGUGCUCUCUCAGCCAACACCUUCAAAGAAAACCUCCGAUUGGUUUGAUAAAGCCCAUUUUCAAAACAUUAUUUCAAUGGAAGAUGGAUUUUACCAUUCUGAUCCUUUUCAAAGUAUUUCAAAGUUUUUUCCCCCAGGCUGGUUUUUCAAACCAUGGGAUUUGACAAAACCCCAGUCUUACUAUCAAAGCAUUUUGGAAAUUACUAAUUCAGUAAAAUUCAAACAUUUCUUUUUAAGUAAAACCCAUUCUGAGCCGGCCUAUUCUACGGCUACAAUUUUAAAAGUCUUAAGCCCAAACCAGUGGGGUGAUCUGCUCCAUAAUUUUAAAACUUUCCCUCUUGAUUUUGAGACCCGUUUACCACACUGUCGGUCUUUCUCCUACUGGGAUUACCAACAGGCUUGGUAUAANNNNNNNNNNNNNNNNNNNNNNNNNNNNNNNNNNNNNNNNNNNNNNNNNNNNNNNNNNNNNNNNNNNNNNNNNNNNNNNNNNNNNNNNNNNNNNNNNNNNNNNNNNNNNNNNNNNNNNNNNNNNNNNNNNNNNNNNNNNNNNNNNNNNNNNNNNNNNNNNNNNNNNNNNNNNNNNNNNNNNNNNNNNNNNNNNNNNNNNNNNNNNNNNNNNNNNNNNNNNNNNNNNNNNNNNNNNNNNNNNNNNNNNNNNNNNNNNNNNNNNNNNNNNNNNNNNNNNNNNNNNNNNNNNNNNNNNNNNNNNNNNNNNNNNNNNNNNNNNNNNNNNNNNNNNNNNNNNNNNNNNNNNNNNNNNNNNNNNNNNNNNNNNNNNNNNNNNNNNNNNNNNNNNNNNNNNNNNNNNNNNNNNNNNNNNNNNNNNNNNNNNNNNNNNNNNNNNNNNNNNNNNNNNNNNNNNNNNNNNNNNNNNNNNNNNNNNNNNNNNNNNNNNNNNNNNNNNNNNNNNNNNNNNNNNNNNNNNNNNNNNNNNNNNNNNNNNNNNNNNNNNNNNNNNNNNNNNNNNNNNNNNNNNNNNNNNNNNNNNNNNNNNNNNNNNNNNNNNNNNNNNNNNNNNNNNNNNNNNNNNNNNNNNNNNNNNNNNNNNNNNNNNNNNNNNNNNNNNNNNNNNNNNNNNNNNNNNNNNNNNNNNNNNNNNNNNNNNNNNNNNNNNNNNNNNNNNNNNNNNNNNNNNNNNNNNNNNNNNNNNNNNNNNNNNNNNNNNNNNNNNNNNNNNNNNNNNNNNNNNNNNNNNNNNNNNNNNNNNNNNNNNNNNNNNNNNNNNNNNNNNNNNNNNNNNAUCUCAAAGCCUUCCUCUCAAAACAUUGUUGUUUCUGGUGAGAGUUCAUCUUCCCAAAUUGUGCUCUCUCAGCCAACACCUUCAAAGAAAACCUCCGAUUGGUUUGAUAAAGCCCAUUUUCAAAACAUUAUUUCAAUGGAAGAUGGAUUUUACCAUUCUGAUCCUUUUCAAAGUUUUUCAAAGUUUUUUCCCCAAGGCUGGUUUUUCAAACCAUGGGAUUUGACGAAACCCCAGUCUUACUAUCAAAGCAUUUUGGAAAUUACUAAUUCAGUAAAAUUCAAACAUUUCUUUUUAAGUAAAACCCAUUCUGAGCCGGCCUAUUCUACGGCCACAAUUUUAAAAGUUUUGAGCCCUAACCAGUGGGGUGAUUUGCUCCACAAAUGGUGGUCAAAAUUUGACGAGCAGACCAAAUUAACUACCAGCCAUGUACAAAAUUGGCUUUCUGCUAAAGGCCAUCUACAACCAGCUAUUAAAGACAUCAAAGCCCAAGGCACUUUCCUUACUAAAAAAUCCAAAGCCCAAGCUCUCCUCGCAAGUGCCAAAACAGAAAAAGAGUAUUUCAAAGCAAUGGAGCAGCUCCUCGCUUCUCGCUCCAAGUCCUCAGUUGCAGAUUCUACUGAAGAUGACGACGAUGAUGAUGACGAGCCAACCGUCUCUCUUGGAGAUGAAAACGAAGAUGAUUGUUUCAGAAUUUUCUCUCCUAUAAAGCAUUGUAAAUAGUUCAUGUAACUAUUCAAAAAAAAAAAAGUAAUUAUUUUAUUUUCUCGUUUAUUAGUAAAGUAUUUUCCUCCUCGGGUGGUCCUCUGGACACAAGUGAGAGCGCACAUGUCUCUUCACCCAUUUUAUAAAAGCUUUCCAAAGGUUCCUGCUCAAGAUCCCUGCUCAGCAUCAAAAACUUCUGCUCACAAAACGCAACUCCAUGACUCUAUCUUCCCCUUGAUUAACUCAUUAGUGGUUACAAACAAAUCUUAGAAUAGUAAAAACAAUUCCAUGCUACUGUGAAAACAUUUUUAUGCAUAAGUGACUAGACACACCAAUUCAAAUUUACAAUAGAUAAAAUUUAAAUUCUUACAUUAGACUCACAUUACUACAAAAAUUAAUCAAAGCAAAUAAAAAUAAGAUUAUAUCAUUAUGAAAGUACUCAAUAACCAGCUCAUAGAAAUGAACCAAACCAAAUAGAACCGGUUUGAUUCUGUUUUAGGGAAAAUCUAAAAUUUCAACUUUAAUUGUAGUUUUGAUAAAGUAAAUUAACAUUAGUUGUUCAUACAUACAUAGUAGUAUUCUGGUAUGAGAUCUGAAAGUGCCGGAAAAAUCCAGGAAAGCUUUAAAACCAUGAGGUUUAGGAGACUUAAAACUUAAAGUGUUUAAACCGCACAGUUUAAACCCCGCAGUUUUAAAGUGUGUUCGCAUGAAAAAAAAAAAGAGUGACCGCACUAGAAAAUGACUAUAUAUAUAGCGAUUGCAUAUAAAUAUUACCUAAGAUAUUUUUAAGGUGGCCACCACUUUAAAUUACCAAAAUGCAAGCAAUUUCUUCGGCAUUUCAACUAUCGAUCUUUAAGAAUGACUUUAAAUUUGUAGAUCUAGAAGAUCUUCUUAUACACAAACAGUCAGCAUAGUAAAUCGUAAACAAUGAAAAAAAAAGUAGUUCUUUAGUGAAAAAUAAGAAAUGAUUAAAUUAUUUGAUAGCAGUGAAAUAAUUUUAUUUAGAUUUUGAACGACUAAAGGGCGGAUAACGAGAACAAGUAAGAGAAAAUCAGAAAAUGAGAGAGAAAAAGUACAAAACAAGUAGAUGAGUAAGAAGAAUAUAUUCAUAGUAGAUGCGAAUGAGAAAGAUACGAGACAAUAGCGUGAGAAUCACAUGAGUCUAUUUGUCUUUGUUACAUUAAAUUUGAAAUAUAUUUUGUGCAAAGUGUUGAAUCUAAUUUUUGCAUUUCUUUUCCUUUAAAAAAAAUUGUAUGCUAAGAUUAUGCAUGUUAUUUAAGAAUAAUGAUAAAAUCACAAAAAUUUUCAUAAACUGAUGUCAUAAUUGUAUUAGAUAAAAUAAAUCAUGUAGAUUGCUGAUUGUUUUGAUCCAAUCAAUAUGUAGUUUUUUUUUUUAAUUCAAAAUCCACAAGAUGGCGGGGGGUUAGGCCGAACCCCUACCUGUAAAUUAAUCAAUCAAUGAUUGAACAUAAGGAGAGGGACAUAAACCAAAACCUCCCAAGAGAAGCAAAUAAUUUAGUGAUCAAUAUAUAACCAAUCCAAAUCAAGGUGAUUAAUGUCAAAUAUAUGGAAUCUCAAGAGUAUCCAAAUGAAGAAUGCUCGAUAAACUAGCUGGAAUGUUUCCAGGAUUGAAAAAUCAUUAACAAGUCUGAUGAGUAUAUGCCCAGUUGGCUAUAAAGUCAGCAGCAGAUAUAACUUCUCGAAAAACAUGCCUGAUAACAAUAGAUGGAUUAGAAGCCAACGCCCAAACAUGACUAAGGAGAUAAGCAAAAUGCCACCGCAUGGAUCUACUUGAAAAAACCCAAGAAACCGCAAUGACUGAAUCAGAUUCCACCUUAAGAUUAAAAAAACCAAGCUGAGCAGCAAAGACUAAACCCUCUAACAAAGUCGUCAACUCAACAGAAAGAAUAUAUCGAUGCCCCAAAAAAGAACCAAAAGUAGAUAAUACCACGCCUUGAUGACCUCGCAAAACACCACCAGUAGCAGCCAUACCUGGGUUUCUCCUAGAACAACCAUCCACACUCAACUUCACUACCCUCGACGGCAGUUUCAUCCAAGAAACCAAUUGAGGUGGUCUAUGAGGAGACAUGAUAAUCUGCAAUCCCUCCUUAAUCUGAGUAUUUAAAAUAUCCCUCAACUGAGAUAACUUGAAACCAAAAAUGUCACUGACUGGCCUAAGAUCCAGGAGGACUCUAAAAAUAACAGUGUCCGCAUUAAAGGCAACAAAAUAGUAAUUGAGAGUGUUUCGAGCCUUCCAAACAUGCCAAAGAAUGAAGCAUGAGAGAAUGACUCAAAUAUGUUUUGAAGAACGACAACACCGCCGCAAAUGACUAAGCAAAUCAUGGAGAGACAAAAAAGAGAGAUACGGACGACCAAUCAUCGAGUAAAACUACCGCCAAAUCUGUUGAACCACCAACCAAUCCAAAAAUAAGCGUCUUAUAGUCUCAACAUCCCGAUUACAAAGCACUGAGAAACCAUAUGAAAACCCUUCAAGCACAAAGCAUUAUCCGUGGGUAAGAAACCAUGCAACAAGCGCUACAAGAAAACAAAGACCCAUGAAGGAAUAUGCCAUUGCCAAAUUAAAGAAAAAACCUCAUUCUGGCUACAGGACCCACGUACAAAUUCCCAUCUACUCCUUAUGAAAAUUUGCAUCCUUAGAUAAGGCCUAACGAAGUAUAUCUAGCCCAGCACCAGAAAUAAGUACUAACAAAAUCUAAUCAACAACUGAAGAUGGCAGUACUGAUAAAAGCUUUCCCCUGUCCAAAUCCAUACCACACCAAAAAGACGAUAUUAGGGGUUAUAGAAGCUGCUAAAGGAUUAAAAUGGAAAAGAGGCAUAGAACCAAGCCAACAAUCAUACUAGAAACUAUUAUCACCAGAUCUAACCAGCCAACGAAUAUGAGGCUCAGUAAUACCACCAGUAGAGCAUAAUGUUCUCUACAAAAAAAAGAGGUAGGAUAGCAAAAUUGAACCAUACUUGGGUGCUCAUUUCUAUAAUAUUUAGAUUUAAUGAAAUAAGCGCAAAGCGAGUGUUGGUCCCGAAACCACCACCACAGCUUCAUCUCAAAAGCAUCAGCCAAAUUAGAAAAUGAACGAACUCCAAUACCACAUUCCGCCACUGGCAAGCAGCCGAAGGACAUGAAAGAGAUGAAGCGACAUAAAUGAAAGCACAUGCCGAAUGAGCACUAGCUUUCAAAAGAGUGCAGCCGAUUGGCCCACCUAGAAAUCCUUCUCUUGAUCUUACGGAUCAUAUCAUCAAAGUGUUGAAUCUGCACACCUCCCACAUACACUGGACAACCCAGAUAAGUAUACGAAAAUUGUCGUGGAUGGAAACUAGUAAUAGAUUGAACUAUAGCCUUAUAUGAGAUCAAAGCAUGUCCUCUAACAUAAAAAUUGCUCUUCAACUGAUUGAUCAAUUGGCCAGAAACAAUCUCAUAAUGAUGUAAAAAAUCCAUAAGACGAUGAAGAAUAGAUCGGCAUCCAUUCACAGAAAUAAAAAUAUCAUCAAUGAAGCUCAAAUUAGAGACACACAAAGGAGCGGCCGUAGUGUAUCUUAGUGAAAAGUAUUGAGAAUAUAAUUGUUCUAAGCCUUGAGACAAAAAUUCAGCGACAAUGAUAAAUAAGCAAGGCGACAAAGGAUCACCUUGCCAAAGACCACUCUGCAACUAAAAGAAACCGUGAUUGACUCCAUUAACCAGUACUAAAAAUCAUGGCCCAUGAAUCACUCAUUUAAUCAAGGAUAUCCAACGAUCAGAGAACCUGAAGCACUGGAGCAUAUGAAGAAUAAAUGACCAGGACAUCAUAUCAUAAGCCUUUGACAUAUCAAGUUUAAGAACCACAUUACCACCUUGAGUGCGACGAUUAAUAUCAUGAACAAGCUUCUGAACCAACAAUACAAUAUCAUGUAACACCCGGCUUGUAACAAAGCCACUCCAAGUUGGAGAUAUAAUACAACGAAGAAGAGCGGGUAAUCGCAAGACCAGCAACUUAGUCAUAACUUUAUUGCAGACAUUACAAAGACUGAUAGACUAAAAAUCUACCCAAGUAGCCAGGGAGUCCUUCUUGGGUAAAAGAAUCAACAAAGUACUUUGGAAUCCUCAAGGCAUAGCAAAUUCACCGAAAUAAUUCAAAACAGCAGCCUCCAGGUUUAGCACUAAUUAUAUCCCAACACGAUUGAUAAAAUCUACUACAUAAACCAUCAGGCCCAGGGGCACUAUCAAGGUCGAUAGAAAAAAUCACUUGACAAACUUCCUCCAUAUCAGGAAUCAUAUAUAGGUCUACAUCAUCCUCCUCUGUUAUAAAAAAAAAAGAUAAAACUAAAAUCAUCUGGCUGAAAGUGGCCAACACCAUCAGUCAAUAGGUCGUGGAAGAAUACUAUAGAGAAUCAGCAAUUACAAAAGGCUCAGAAAGCCAUAUCAAAUAAGCAUCCUGAAUCCGAUAAACAUGGAAUAACUGAUGUUUCUUUUGAAUCAUCGCAUGAAAAAGUCAUGUAUUAGCAUCCCCUUCCUGGACUUAAUGAAGACUGGAUUUUUGCCUAAAAAAACUCUUCUCGUACAAUAAAGCAUGUUGUAGUCAAGCCGCAGCCUCUGAAAAAAUAACCUUGUCCUCAGGUGAACUAGAAAAAUCAUAUUACCUCUCUUUUUUAGCUACCUCUUCUUCGGCCUCUUUAACCUGGUGGAAAACAUUGCCAAAAACAUCUUUAUUCCAAGCUUUUAAGCAGAGCUUUACGCGAACAAGCAUUUGCCGAAAAGCCCACAUCCCACGACCUACUACCGGGGCAAACCAAGGUUGUCUAAUAACAUCCAAACAAUAAGGAUGUUUAAGUCAAGCAUGAAGAAACUUAAACCUAAAUGGUUCCCUAGCAGUGUUCUUGGCACAACAUGGCCCAUGAAUCACUCAUUUAAUCAAGGAUAUCCAACGAUCAGAGAACCUGAAGCACUGGAGCAUAUGAAGAAUAAAUGACCAGGACAUCAUAUCAUAAGCCUUUGACAUAUCAAGUUUAAGAACCACAUUACCACCUUGAGUGCGACGAUUAAUAUCAUGAACAAGCUUCUGAACCAACAAUACAAUAUCAUGUAACACCCGGCUUGUAACAAAGCCACUCCAAGUUGGAGAUAUAAUACAACGAAGAAGAGCGGGUAAUCGCAAGACCAGCAACUUAGUCAUAACUUUAUUGCAGACAUUACAAAGACUGAUAGACUAAAAAUCUACCCAAGUAGCCAGGGAGUCCUUCUUGGGUAAAAGAAUCAACAAAGUACUUUGGAAUCCUCAAGGCAUAGCAAAUUCACCGAAAUAAUUCAAAACAGCAGCCUCCAGGUUUAGCACUAAUUAUAUCCCAACACGAUUGAUAAAAUCUACUACAUAAACCAUCAGGCCCAGGGGCACUAUCAAGGUCGAUAGAAAAAAUCACUUGACAAACUUCCUCCAUAUCAGGAAUCAUAUAUAGGUCUACAUCAUCCUCCUCUGUUAUAAAAAAAAAAGAUAAAACUAAAAUCAUCUGGCUGAAAGUGGCCAACACCAUCAGUCAAUAGGUCGUGGAAGAAUACUAUAGAGAAUCAGCAAUUACAAAAGGCUCAGAAAGCCAUAUCAAAUAAGCAUCCUGAAUCCGAUAAACAUGGAAUAACUGAUGUUUCUUUUGAAUCAUCGCAUGAAAAAGUCAUGUAUUAGCAUCCCCUUCCUGGACUUAAUGAAGACUGGAUUUUUGCCUAAAAAAACUCUUCUCGUACAAUAAAGCAUGUUGUAGUCAAGCCGCAGCCUCUGAAAAAAUAACCUUGUCCUCAGGUGAACUAGAAAAAUCAUAUUACCUCUCUUUUUUAGCUACCUCUUCUUCGGCCUCUUUAACCUGGUGGAAAACAUUGCCAAAAACAUCUUUAUUCCAAGCUUUUAAGCAGAGCUUUACGCGAACAAGCAUUUGCCGAAAAGCCCACAUCCCACGACCUACUACCGGGGCAAACCAAGGUUGUCUAAUAACAUCCAAACAAUAAGGAUGUUUAAGUCAAGCAUGAAGAAACUUAAACCUAAAUGGUUCCCUAGCAGUGUUCUUGGCACAAGACAAUUGUUGAGUGUUAGAAAAUGUAUAUUUAUAAAGGAGAAAAUUAUCAUUUUACACUUCAAGUUUUACUAACACCCUUACUUUUAUAUAUUUAAGCUUCUUGUGAUUUAAUUAUGUGUGCUUUAUUUUAAUUAAGUAUUUUAUGUAUUUUAGGGGCAUCAUGGUCAUUUCACAAUGAACGAGAAAUCAAAUGGCAAAACGGAUAUCACUUUUGAACUCAGGACAGUCGAAAACCUUAGGAGGAGCAUAAAAGGAAAAAUGUCAUUGUUCACACGUACGGUACUAUUCACAUGUACGGUAUUGUCUACGUUACUGUUCACGACAAUGUUCACACAGACGGAUCGAUGACGUGCCAUUUACCAAUGAUGUGGCAUGGACUGAUGAGGUGUCACGAUUCCAUUGGAGAGAAUUCUUAUGCACUGUUGAUCGGUGACGUGGCAGCAUGUUAGCGGACCAAAAAUUGCGCGUACGGUGCAUGCAUAUACACAUGAUUAUUUUCAACCAAACCGCGUCACUGUUCAAACCGUGUGGUCAAACCGUGUCACUGUUCAAAACACGUGGUCAAACCGCGUAUUGUUGACUGAUGACAUUGUGCAAUCUUGAGCGUCCAAACUAUUUUUAAUCCGAUGGCCAUGAUUUACUCAAUAUAUCUAUAAAAAGGGGACCUCUCCCCCCUAAUUUGAUAUCUCUGAAUCCAUUUUUGGGCUCUAUUUUCUGUAAUUCCUUCUUCAUCUUGUAUUUUCUAUGUAUUUUAAUAAAUUCUCAUUUUGCCCCUAGUUCAAUUAUGAGUAGCUAAUUUUCUUUCAAGCUUGGGUUGAAGGUGAAGUCUCAACAUGUGCCAUGGGCUUUAUUUGGUAAAUUUACUUUCUCUUCCCCUCUAAUUAUUGUGGAUGUUUUGACUUUUCGUCGACAAAUAAUAAUAAUCUUGUCUAGAUACCGUCCUGGUUUCACCAGCUCCCUAGUACAAGGUUAUUAUUAUUUGGCACGAUAAACCAUUAGCACCAUAUUGAUUAGAGUGUGGUUCAUGAGGUGUGAAUUCCCCCCUCAUGAUUUAAUUGGCACUAAUACAGAAUAUUUAGCCCAUGGUGCAUAUUGAUACGGAUCCAGAUACCCAAGUGCGUCAGUUCAAUAGAUUUCACUUCAAUUCAUUUCCGCCAUUUUAAUUCAAAUUUUAGGAUAAUCUAAGUCACUUUCACCACAAAUCCAACCACCCUGAUACAAAAUUAAUUCUACAUAUAAUUAAAAUCCACCUCCUCGUGGGAUCGACACUCGUCACCAUUAAUCUAUUCUACAAUAGAUUCGUGCACUUGCGAGUUCAAUAAAAUUUGCACAACAACAAUAAUAAAUGAGAAUGAUCUGAAGCAAUACGGUUCAGAUAAGAAACUCUGACUACUAAAAAUAACCCAGACCAUAUUAAGUUACACAACCCUAUCAAGGCGCCUCCAAGUAUGCCCAUUAGUCCAAGUGAAAUGACUUCCAGCAAAACCAACAUCCUCCAAGCCACAAUCCAAUAAAGCCAGAUUGAAUGCAUCCAAAGCAGCCUGAGGCUGAGUGCGGCCAUCGAAAAUCUCAGACAAUGAUUGCAUUGUAUUAAAAUCCCCUCUGACUAUCCGAGGAUUAUUAUGAGUAUUAGCAAAUAUAAUCUUAGGAAAUUAAAACAGCUCAGAGAAAAAGAAGUGACUAAUCCGACAAUGAAUCACCUUACCUGUAUCUUGAAUUACCUCAACUGAAAAAUGAAAAGACUAAAAUAUCUAAAUCUUUCCAGACAUAGAAGAAAAGGCACUCUCUAUCCCCAAACUAACUAUUAUAGGAUCCAAAAUACAGACCAAAGAUAAUCGAUGCAUCCGAAUCAGUUUUUGUGAUCUACGAACCGCGGAGGCCUUACUAAUCCCUCGAAUAUUCCAAAUAAUGAAAUUAAUCAUUGGGAUGGGAAAAAUCAAGAAGGCAGCAUACGUCUUCUAAUGUUACGAUUCUUCCUACUAGUAAUAGUAGAGAAAUCUCGAGAAGAUCUAGUAAUAUGUUGGCCAUCAAUUCUAUCAAUCACUGCAUCAGAAUGAGAAAGGUUGUGAGCAUCAUUUGGAUCAAAUAAAAACCGAUAUUCAUCCUCAUUAGAUUCCCUAAAGCUAAAAUCCAUAUCUGAAUGGGAUAGCCAUGACGGUCACUUUUCUUAACCAUAUUUGCCAAUGGAAUAUCAUAACCAUAAGAAUCCACUUGUUAUAUUAUUUGUAUCACCAAUAGGUCCCUGAACAGUAUUAAGAGCAGCAAGAGUAUAAAUAUCAACAACAUUAGGCCGAUAUUGGUCAACCAAAUCAAUUUCAUUAGUAUGAGCAUCAGACAUCGGGAUCCUGACAUUCUUGGAUAUAUCCUUAAUACCAACAGGCCUUAAAGGCUGAACUUCUUCUCUUGAAACAUGUUGUUGUGCUAAACUAGAAGAAUUAGGUUUCUUAGGCCGAUUAUCAUUAACUACUAUAUACUAGGCAGCAUGAGCCACCUUAGGCUGCACAUUUGUAGCAAGUGUAUGUUGUUUGCCGUUAUCCUAGGAUAUGUACCCUGAGCUUAAUGUUUACGAAGCCUAAAGUUAGUAAUGUAACAACUAUCUGCCGAAUGGCCCAAAUACUUACAUGAAUCACAAUAGAUGGGAACCCGUUUAAAAAGAACAUCCUGCCAAAAACCUAAAUCGCCCUCACUAAUCUAAAUACGCGGCAAUAAAGGCCAUGAAACGUUAUAUUCUACUAAUACCCUGGCAAUAGAUGGCCUAUUAACCAAGACCAUAGCAUGAUCCAUGCGUAAAAGAGUACUAAUAGCAAAAGAAAUUGAAAAUAAAGCAGACUUACAAUGAACAAAAUGAACAUGUAAAUAAAGAAAAGAUACCCAAACAGGAACAAUGAGAGUUUUUACUAAGCAACGAAAGCCAGUAGACCAUUUAGAAACCUGCAUCCCUCUACUAUUAACAUACCAACUCUGCCUAACCCAUAUUCGAGAAUAGUCUUCCUCCAUUUCUAAUUUAAUCAAGAUGUGCCUAUUAUCAAGUAAAGAAAUAUGAGAAUUUCCUUUCAGCCCCAAAGAAACAAAAAAAAAUUCUGAAUAAUAUCUAUGAGAGGAUGACCAAAGAAAAACUUACCAACAAGUGCCAGUUUAAAAGGCUCAGCCAUCUCUCGAUUUUCCAUUGCAGAGAAAUAGACAGUUGGUUCACCUUUGUGCAACUGAAUUGGUUUCGCAGAAAUUGAUGGAGUAGCAGAACCAGUCACGACAUCUACAAAAGACUUUUACGGUAUUGAAGUGGCACUAGGGUUAAGGACAGUGACCGAGUUAACAGCAGAAGCAUAUAAAUUCUUGAGGUUGAUGUUGGUGCUACAAUUUGGAGGAGUUGGGUUGGUGGAAUGGGUUUGGGCAGCCAUGCGAGUUAGGUCAUUACGAGUGGCCGUUGAUGGUUGUUGAGGUGUCAGUGUAAGUAAAGUUGUGUCUGAGAGGUUUGAGGGUGGUAAUAGCUAUCGUGCUACAGCAUCACCGACGUCAAGAAUGGCGCUAGCAGUGUGCUGAGUAUCACGCGACAUAAGUUUACUGUUUUGAUUUGGGUGUGGUUGUGUUGGGUGUAGUCGAUCAAGAGGUUGAACGCGGGAGAAAUCUGGUGGAUCAUCACCAUUGGCAGUUGCUGCAGCCAUUGAUGGCUUGUAGUGCUCUUAGGGCCUCAGAGUACAAAAUUACAAAUUUACCCUUGUUUGUCAAAGGUGGCCGGUAGUCAAGCUCGGUGGCCAACAAGUUCACAUUAGACCCUUCAGGCCACGCUGAUUCCAAUGAUGAUGGCGGUAAGCUUUCACGCGCGGUUGUGGCGGCAGAUCAAGCUCCUAAACCCGUGAAUCUUCAAUAGCUGAUCAGCAGUGAGAACGACCAAUUUGGUGCCUGAGGUUGACCGAAAAAUAAAAAGAGAAUCUUAAAAAACCAAACCUAAAUGGUGGCAUGGCCGGAAACCAAUGAAAUCGGGUAAAAAUAAAGCGGCAUUUAUCGCGAUUUCGUGAGCUCGAUCAGUGGCCUUCCGAUUAUUUUACGACGGUGUUUACGGUAGAGAAACGAUCGGCAUAGCUCCAGCUUUUGAUUAGUACCUCCUUUGGCCGGUGAGGUGGCCGGAGAAAUGAGGUCCGUCCGGGUCAAGUCGUUAUUGCCCGGGUCGGGUUUGGUUAUGGGUUUUUGGUCUCAGUUGUGCUAUGUACCUCAAAAUAAAAUAAUCAAUAUGUAGUUAUGCUAUAGUAGUUUGAACAAGAAUUUUGUGCUCUAUUAUUAUUCAUAAAGAUAUAAACUCAUGAUAUACUUGAAGAGUUUACGUCUUGAACAUGUUCAUUAGUCUAUAACUCGUUUACGUCAUCUUCAUUAUUUAGCUCUACGUUGAUUAUUUAUGUAUGAAUUUCUUAAUGCGUUAUAUUGAUAACUAUAUGAAAUUAGAGUUAUCAUUAUACUUUUAGACUUAAAUUAAUAUUAUUUAUGAAGUAAAUGAUGUGUUUUUAUUGUAUUUUAUUUACAUUUUGCAUGAGCAUUCAUUUUAGUUUAUUCUUAAUAAAUUCAAUUGCUUUAAAUCUUUUUUGUACUUAGAUUAUGUGCAUGAUUAUAAGUGACAGAAAAACUUAAGUUUUAGGGAAGGAAUGCUGCUGCAACACACUUGCAGAGGUAAUGAAGAACUUAGCUACAGAGUAGUUAAAACAAGUAUGGAUCAGUGAAGAUGUUGUAGCCAUUGUUGUAGUAAUCUUGGAGCACUGGCAGACUGAAUUUCGCGCACAAUAACUAAAAGAUUGCGAUAUGAAGUUUUCAAAAAUAGAGGAUACUUGCCACACACCUUCGGUUGCCUUAAUCUCAAGUUAUAAAAGGAGCACGCGUGAAAAUAAAUGAGAAAAGUCGUCCCCCUAGGAGAAAAAUAAAGAAAAACAGCAAGAAAAUAAAAAAUUAAGAGAGAGAUUUGAGGGCUGUAACAGAGGACUCAAGGAGAAAACAGAGGAGAAAUUACAAAGACCAAGCAGAACUCAGUUCUUCUUAUUUUCUUGUUUUUUAUUCAUUUAUGGGGAUAUAUUUGAUGGUUAAAACAAUUUUAUCUACCAUUCUAUCGCAAAUCAUGAAUUGGAUUUUAUUAUGGUCGAGUGAUAAAUGAUCUUAAUGUAUGUUUGACUGAUAUACGUGUGUUGCUUUGUAUUUGCUAUAACAUUUUGUCUUAAUUUUUCUUGUUGCAAUUUUCUACUUCGGCUGACCACCCAUUUAGUGAAAACUAGUUAAGAAAUAGCCUAAAAAAUGUAUGACUUAGUGGAUCAAAUGAGACAAUACUUGGUUUUAGAUUGGGUUCUACAAGUGGAAUAAAUCUCAAUUUGAAUAGGGUCAUGCUUGAUCUAAAAUUAGUGAAGAACUAGAUAUAGGGAUUCAACUUGUAGGGUAAUUGGAACUGAGAACGUUUAACGUUAUAUAUAAUGUUAGCGUAACAAUUAGUCAAUGUUGGGUUGUAUUUAUAUAUAAGAUAUCCAACAGGCGACAGCUGAAAAUGCAUAAGGGAUUCUGCCCAGUGCUAUAGUAGAUGUUGUAGAAAUAGGGUCUUAAUUAGAGAAACAAUCAACAUCAUUAAGUGAGUUUAAUAAUUCAACUACUCUACUCCCUUUGGUUACAUCUUUGUGUUUGAUGUGAUAAUUUUCUUUAUUGUAUUUUCUUUAUUACAUUUUUAUUUUAAUUAGUUCAUUAACUUCAUUAAUUGUCUUAUUUCAAUUUAGAAUAAAACUACACUAUUAAUAUUGUUAUAGCAAAUUCAAUAACAUCAAUCCUUGUGCAGACAAUCUACAUACUCAUCAAUAUAUUACUUGUUGUGUACACCUACACAUUAACACCUAUAGCAAUAGAAGUCAACCAACAUAUAUUUGUAAAAGGAUGUAUACAAACAUGAUUUUAUGAAGUCAGGAUCUAGUUUCCGUAAUUUGCUCGGUUCAUCAAUUUGCAACCCUCACAUUAAAAAAAAAAAAAAAAACUUAUGGGCAUUGUAAAUUUAUAAUGGUAGUUUACAGGCAUUGGCCAAACGUUAUAAAUAAUAAUGCAAUUUGAAAAUCUAAUGCUACCAAAUCGCUAUUAAUUUUAUGUUUUUAAAGUUUCCAAUAAAGAUUUAUACUGUAUCUUCUUAAUUAAAAAUUAGCAGCUCUGGAUUAAAAAAAUUAACGUCAAUGUCCGUGCAAUUUGAUGGAAAUAACUAAAGGGAAAUUCCUCGUAACAACUAACAAAUCAAGUCUCUCCUAUCAAAAUUGAUGGAUGAGACUUGAUUUGCUGCAAGAAAUGCACCUCUACUUGACCACUCGAUUUCCGCCAUAGAAUUUCAUAAUGAAAUAACUACUUAAAUUUUCGUUAUUUAAGAUACUUAAUUAGUACAUACGUCAUACGUGUAGUAUUAUUUUCGUAUGCAAUACCUGAUUUAGGAAUGUUUUGUUUUUUAUGUCCCUUCAAAAGUUUUCAAAACAAUAAGAAUAAUGCAUGAAAAAUACUAAUAUUGCAAAUCUCAUAAUGAUUACUAAUCAGAGUUCAAUUCUUUGUUGCAGUACUACACUUACAAAAGUAAAAUGUAAAAUUUUUAUAGCAUUCCUUCUGCUGUACCGUACAUCCGCCUUGGCCGUACAGCAGCCCCCCCCCCCCCAAAAUAAAAAGUGAUGAUAGAGUUGCAAACUCUUUAGUAAAUUUAUUUUGUAUAAAGUGAUGUGAUCUAAAUUUAUUCGUUGAAUGAAAUACAGAAAAAUAAAAAUAGAUCAUGUAAACCAACAGUUAUUUAGUCUAACUAAAUAAAUUAUACCAUAUUAAUUUAUAAAAGUGUUUUUUUGACUAUAUCUUAAAAUAUACAUAUUAUUAUUAUUAUUAUUAUUAUUAUUAUUAUUAUUAUUAUUAUUAUUAUUAUUAUUAUUAUUAUUAUUAUUAUUAUUAUACGGUGUUCUAUCAUAUCUUAUGCAAAUGAUUGCCAUUAAAUCAUUUCUUUGAAAUGCAUAUUCAAGUUGUAAUAUUAGUAUUGUAAAUUUCUUGAAUGACUAUAAAAUCAUUUGGGUGCAAAUUAGUUUAUUUGGUAAAAUGUCUUGAGUGAAAAAUAAGAAUUGUAUAGUUCAAAUGUCGCUCAUAUGGGUGAGAAAGUAGAGUAAUGAUAGAUAUCCCAAAUUUUAUUUUAAAUGAUGUGUCAUUUAUUAAGUGGUUAGUAAUUUAUUUGAAUUAUCUCACCAACUAAUUGAUGAAUGCCACGUCAUUUGAAAUAGUUUUUUGGAAUAAAAAAUUUAGGAUAUGUAGCACUACUGAAAAAAAAAAUUUAGUUAUUCUUAGACUCAAAAAUAAAUAAUAAUAAUAAUAAUAAAUGGCUACACUUCACUAUAAAUUUGCCACCUGCAAUCUCUCAAGUUGCAGUUAACAAGUAUACAUAUCUCUUUAUAAACCUAUCUUCUCCCCUUUCCUUUUCUUACAGUUCCAAAGCUUUUGCCAAACAAACCAGAUGAACGAUAUGCUCUUCAAAAUACUUAAAAAUCAGUGAAAGCUAUUGAAUGGAGAGUCUAUUUGAAUUAUUCAAAUACUUCACCGCGUUUCAUAUUGAUUAUGAAACAAAAGUGUGGCCUCUUCUUAUUAGUAUAGAAGAGAGAUCAAGGUAUUUGAAUUACGUCGGAUUAGUGAUUUACCAGAAUGUUUCCGUUGAAGCUACGCAUCGGUAUUUCUUUAAUCUUAAUUUUCUUUCUCAUUAAGUUUGAAUUUCAAGUACUACCAAUUAUGUUUGACAAAAUAUAUAUACAUUGUGAUAGGGAAAUAAAAAUUUAUAUUAUUUCUGCGAAGAUCAACGAAUGCGGCGGACACGAGAAGGUAUGCUGCGUAAUUAUAAUCUCUGUUUAUUAAUUAAAAAAGUGAUUUUUUUUCUUUGUUUUGGAAAAUUCUUCUAUGUUUUUUUAAAACAUGAUCGCAUAAUUGUUUUCUCUGUUCUGGGAUCAGGACACGAGAGCACCAUAAUUUGCAUUCACAUAGACAACAACAAGGGAUUUUUAUUAACAUAGUUUUAUUGUUUUGCCUUUGUCAAAUGCAUUCGAUUGCAGGUACUAUACGACGAGAACCGUGACUGUCCUUCGCUCUUGUGGAAUCAGCUCGAUUCAUUUUCAUACUAGGGAUCAAAUCUUGGAUUCGCCACUGCUGGAAUGGCUUGAACGGAUGAACUUUGUCACAUAGUGUGCAUUCAAGCUACAGCAUAUAUAUCUUCUCCUGGGUGCUUGUGUCGCCAAGGACUUGUGUAAUCUGACGGCGCUUGGAAACAUCAGUGUGUUAUAAUUGAUUAAUUCCGUCAUCAGAUUAUUCUCAAUGUGGGUAAAUCCAUACUUGUUGAUCCACAUUGGGACAAGUUCAGGGACCGAUUGAAUUACAAGGUUUUCCACAUUGAGCAUACGAAGAGCCUGAAAAUUAGAUUCGCAUACCAGCACCGGCGGUUGCACUGGCGGUUUGAAUUACAAGAUUUUCAACAUUAAGCUUACCAGGAGCCUGAAGGUCGAUCAGAUUCGCAUUAGAACUUGUUCCAGGCAGAUAUAUAUUGAAAUGAAAAAUAUGACACAUACAGCUGAUUAUUAGUAGCUUCAGCACCAGCACUUACAGAUUCGAUUUGGGCGAAUAGUUUCGGCGUCAUUGUUCCUUUGUAGUCCCCGCUUCUGAACUUUUCACGGGUUCCGACAAGUGGAAUCUUCGCAAUCUUGGUCCCCUGGACCCUGUAAAAUUGAAGUGAUGAAUACUCCCAAGUUAAAUGAAAACUGGUUGUUGUAACAUGUGUAUGUACUGGAUUGAUUAUACGAGAACACACAAAAUGAAGUGAUGAAUACUCCCAAGUUUCAUAAAAAAUUAAUCUAAAUAAAUCAGCUCGAUUACACUUUACUUCCCCAGUUUAUUGUAUUCAAUUGAAAUAUUUGUUGAAAAGUAUAUUUAGAUUAUCAGUGUAGUAUUGCAUGUGUUUAUCAAUUGUAUUUUCAUGAAUAUAUUUUUAAAAUAAUCUAACCAUUAAAACAUGGUUAAGCUGGCAGAUUGAAUUAACCAUAAUUUUUAUCUUUAUUUUAUCUUAUACGUUUACAUUAUUGGUUUCCUAUAUUUUAUUAUUAGUGUUUCUCAAAGCGAAAAUCAUAUUUAAAUUAUAAUAAUUUAAUAUAAAUUAUUAGUUUAGCAAAAUUUGGUUUGGGGAUUAACAGGAAAAAAUUGGGAGAUCGAAUGACAAAGUUAAUAUCUUAAGCAAUAACAAUAACCGUUCAUGCAACCUAUUCCUUUUUGGGAAAAUGUAAAAUUAAUUGCUACUUUAAUUAAUGUUUUCAUAAAAUAAAUAAUUAGUGAACGUCAGCAAUUUUGAUAGGCACACAUACAUACAUAGAAACUAAGCCUGGAACCGGACUGGGGCCUGUGGAACACAUCCAAAGGUCAUAAUUUGCUGCACAUAGUGGACAGCACCAUGUGCAGCAAAUAAAUAAAUAAAUAAAAUAAGGUAAAGGUCAAUCUAACGCGCCAAUCCAAUUCCAGAGCUUAGUUAUAGUUCGAAUUCUGGACUGAAAAUUCACUAUAUGUAUUAUUUCAAACAGUUUUUGAAAGGAAACAGUGAUUCAUUUUACCUAAGAUUUUUAAGAGGAGACCACCACUUUAAAAUUUGGACAUGCAAGCGAUAUUCUUCGGCGUUUCAAGUACCGAUCUCCAAGAAUCACUGGCCAUUAACCCCUAGGAAGACGAAAAUGACUUAGAAUUUGUAGAUCUUGAAAUCUUCUCAUUCUCGAGCAAUCGACAUAUAUAAAAAAAUGUAAUUAAUAGCGAAAACCUUCUUUGGGUUCUUUUUCAGUCCUAACAUUAAUUGGCUAGCUGUUUUUGCACAUACGGAAUCCUCCUUGUAAGAAAAGAAAAUCCGAUAAUAUUAGCAUUUUUGUCCCUAUUUUGUUCUCUCAUGAAAGAGUUUAAAUGUACUAAUAUUAUUCUUAUCCCUUACACCCUUUUGCACGGUUGUCUUUAUCCAUCAUUUUAUGUCUUUUAGUUGUCUCUUAUAUAUUUUCCUUUUUAUGAGUUGAAUAUUUAGUUAUUUCAUUAAAGAGUUUGAACAAUAAAAUACUAAACCUUCACAAAUAAAUUAUAUGUGUCACUCAUUUAUGGGUAUGCCACGUUAAUUGGAAUACAAAUUAAAAUCCAAUUAUUAGGAUCGCUAGCCCCAUUAUUAUUAUUAUUGUUUAUACGGUAUUCUAUCAUAUCUUAUGCUGGUGAUUGCCACUAGAUCAUUUCUUUAAAAUGCAUACUCAAGUUGUAAUAUUCGUACUGUAAAUUUCUUGAAUGACUAUAAAAUCGUUUGGACGCAAGCUAGUUUAAUUGGUAAAAUCUCUUGAGUGAAAAAAAAAAAAGAAUUAUGGAGUUCAAAUCCCACUCAUACGGGUGAGAAAGUAUAGUAAUGAUAGACAUCCCAAAUUUCAUCUCAAAUGAUGUGUCAUUCUUUAAGUGGUUAAUAAUUCUUUAUAAAACCAAAAUAUAUUAAUUGAAAUAUCUCACCAACUAAUUGAUAAAUACCACAUCAUUUAGAAUAAUUUUUUGGAAUAAAAAAUUUAAGAUAUGUAAUACUACUGGAGAAAAUAUUUAGCUAUUCCUAAACUCAAAAAAAAACUAUUCCUUUUUGGGAAAAUGUAAAAUUAAUUGCUACUUUAAUUAAUGUUUUCAUAAAAUAAAUAAUUAGUGAACGUCAGCAAUUUUGAUAGGCACACAUACAUACAUAGAAACUAAGCCUGGAACCGGACUGGGGCCUGUGGAACACAUCCAAAGGUCAUAAUUUGCUGCACAUAGUGGACAGCACCAUGUGCAGCAAAUAAAUAAAUAAAUAAAAUAAGGUAAAGGUCAAUCUAACGCGCCAAUCCAAUUCCAGAGCUUAGUUAUAGUUCGAAUUCUGGACUGAAAAUUCACUAUAUGUAUUAUUUCAAACAGUUUUUGAAAGGAAACAGUGAUUCAUUUUACCUAAGAUUUUUAAGAGGAGACCACCACUUUAAAAUUUGGACAUGCAAGCGAUAUUCUUCGGCGUUUCAAGUACCGAUCUCCAAGAAUCACUGGCCAUUAACCCCUAGGAAGACGAAAAUGACUUAGAAUUUGUAGAUCUUGAAAUCUUCUCAUUCUCGAGCAAUCGACAUAUAUAAAAAAAUGUAAUUAAUAGCGAAAACAAUGGUAGUUAUGUAAUCAAAGGUAAAAAUUAAGAAAUUAUUUGGUAGCAAUGGAGGUUCCUAAUAAGUUUUAGUGGUCAAAGAAUUUUUUUUUUAGAUUGCAAAUGGCUAAGGGUGGAAAAUGAGAAUAAGUAAGGAGUAAGCUAGAAAAUAAGAACGAGAAAGUACAAUUAGUAGAUGAGUAAGAAGAAUAUAUAGAGGGGGUAGAUAAAGCGAAAGACACGAGACAAAUAGCGUGAAAAUCGCAAGCGAAAGAAGAACAUUGUUUUUAGAUUUCUUCCCCCAAGAACCAUUCGUUUUGCACGACGCACUGCAUUUAAAAAUGUGAUUGCAUUAAAAAAAAUGUAUAAUAAGAAUUUAUAAACUUAUUUUGUACAAAUUAAUAUGAUGGAACUACAUUAUUUAAAGUAAAUCAUGUGGAAUAUAACCAAUACAAUUAUGCCUAGUAACAUAGCUAGACUUUAAACGCAACAAGGGUAAAUUUAUUUUACAUAAAGAAUUUAAUUUUCCUUAUUAGCUAAUUGUAGAUUUAAUAUACUCAUUUAAGGUGAUUUUGAUGAUGAAAUUAUAAUUUUGAGCCUCUUUUUUUUUAAUAUUAUUCAAGUUGGUUGGGACAAAUAAAAUUUUUAGUUGAAAUAAAAAUAAUAAUUUUUUUAUGAAAAAAUUAUCUCCACUACUAAUUAUGACAAGAUAAUUCGUACAAAAUAAAUUUAUAUAAAAGUUUGUAAUUUUGUUGCUACCAUAAAUAUAUAACCUCAUGAUGAACUUGAAUUUGUUUGCUAGUUUAUACUCGUUUAUCUUUAUUGUAGUUAUAGGUCUUAUAUUAUAUGAAUUUUAUUACUGAGUUUUAUCCAAAAACUCAAAACGACAUUUAAGAACAUGAUUUUAAGAAGUCACGCUAUAGUUUUUGUAAGUAGCUCGGUUCAUUAAUUUGUAACGUUGAGACCCUCUUAACAUAUUAAAAAACUGAUUGACUAUUAUCUUAUAACUAGAAAAUAGAACCGCGUUUCACGCGGCUUUAAAAAAAAAUUUAAUAUUAGAUAUUUUUUUCUUACAUUACACUUGAUGAAACUGAUAAAAAAUAUAAAUUGAUUAUUUUUUAAGAUGAGGCAGCCUUGUAAAAAAUAAAAAAAGCUAUUAGCCAACAAUACAAAUAAAGAAGCAACGCAAGAUAAAGAAUAAAAUGAGAUAAUAUAUUAUUAGAGCGAUUUUAUUCAUUUCAAUUGUGUGUGUAGAAAACAAAAAGAUGAGCUCUCCUUUUAUAGUUACAUAAUCAUUCCAUGAAAUUAAUGAAAAAUUAUGGAUCAUAAUUCCUUGUGAGAUAGUGGGAGUUAUAGGGAAACUAAAGGUUGCUAAUGAGAGAUAGUGGGGAGACUAAGAGAUAUAUGUUAUGAACAUCCACAUUUAUUUUAAUAAAUUCAUAACACUCUCCAUUGGAUGUUCAUUACAAAGAAUAUGCCUCAUUAAAACCUUUACAUAAUUGUUAUUGUGUAAUAACAAUCAAAUUAAUUAUGAGAAGAUGAAAAGCUAAAUGUAAAAGAAAAUUUCUCUAUUUAUUAGAUAAUAGAGAAUAUACACAGAUGAGAAAUGGUGAUGCCACAUCAACUCCUCAAGUUCCAGCUUUAUAUAUAUAUAUAGAUGGUAACUAGGUUGCAGGCAUUUGGUCAAAUGUUAGAAACAAUGCAAUUUUGUAAAGCCAAUGGGAUCCCCUCCCCCCCAAAAAAAAACCAAUGGUAAAAAAUCAUUAUUAAUUUUAUGUUUUAAACUCUUUAAUCUGUAAUGAAUUUCAAUUUUCCCUCUGUCUUGCGUAAUUAAUUUAAUUAUUACACACAUUAACAAUUUAAGAUCAAGGUAACAUAUCUUUUAUGUGUAGUAAAUGACUUUCCAAUGUUUUGUUUUUUAUGUUCUUCACUCAAAAUUGUUCAAAACAGUAAUAGUAAUGGACAUAAACUUACAGAUACGACAAUUGUUUACUAAUCUGAUUUAAAUUCUUGUGUGCAGUACUACAAUUAUAAAGUGAAGAUGAUAAAUUUUUAUCAUAAUAGAUGUAGUCAACAAUGUGACAGUAUAACAAAGUAUUGUUAAUCAAUACCAAUUUUCUUUGUUAUUUAUCAUGACAUUUCUCAAUGUGUACUAUGAGUUUAUAUCUCAAUUUUAUAAGUGAAUAAUUUUGUGGUUCUUAAAAAUAGACAUUUAAUUAAUAAGACACCUUGGUUUGAUUCAUAUACACAUAUUGUGAUACUUACCAAUAUAUAUAUAUAUGUCUAAUUUUCCUAACAUUGAUUGGCUAGUUAUUUCUGACAUUUUUGCCCAUAUAUAUAAUUCUGCUUGUAAGGAAAGAAAUCUAAUAAUAUUAUCAUCUUUAUACUUAUUUAGUUAUGGAAUAAAAGAGUUCAAUUGUGGUAGUUAGUCCUAACAUUGACUGUCUAGUUGUUUUUGACAUUUUUCCCCAUAUAUAUAAUCUCCUUGGAAGGAAAGAAAUCUAAUAAUAUUAUCAUCUUCAUCCGUACUUAGUUAUGGCAUAAAAGAGUUUAAUUGUGGUAGUAUUUUUCUUAUCUAUCUUCUCUUUUGCAUAGUUGUCUUUGUUAUUAUUUUGGUAAUCUAUUAAAAGAAUCUAACUAAAUACUAUUUAUUUAUCUUAGGAUUCUCUCGCUGUUAAUUUUCUCUUAUUUGUUUGCUCUCUCUCUCUCUCUCUCUCUCUCUCUCUCUCUCUUCCAAAGUUCCAUAUUUAGAUAUUUCUUAAGGAAUAAACAAUAUAAACUAUGAAAUACUAGAUGGAGUGAUGAUAGAGUUACAAAUUCUUGUAUAACUUUAUUUUAUACAAAAUAAUGUGGCAUAAAUUCGUUGGUUGGAUGAAAAUAUAAAAUAAUAAAAAUAAAUUUGAUAUGUACAAAGUCAAUUAUACCCUCUGUACUUAUUAAAAAUUAAUUUUUUUCACUAAAAGUUAUGCUUUUCCAAGAAUAUUGAUUAUAUACUUUGAGUUGCUUUUAUUUUGUUAUAACAACGAUAUGUUAGAUUUAUAUUAGUUUAUUGUAUAUAGUUAUAUCAAUUUAGUUGCUACAAAUAUAUUAAAAAGAAAUAUUUUUUUUUUAUCAAACUGGUUAGAACCAUUAUAUAUAUUGACUUUGUGAUUUUUAAGAGAUGAAAACAUGAGGAUUAUGACAAAGUGAUAAUGCAAAUGAUAAAAGUCUACAAUGAUUCGAAUUAAGCAAAUACAUGAUAGAUUUAUCCUGUCCACAAUCCAAACAAAUCUCUUUUUUUUUUUUCAUUUAACAAAUAUUUUGUUCAUUCUAAUAUUUUUAUAAAAGUUCUUUUGACUCUAUCUUUACUGGAAAACAAAAAUAUAUUCUUUAAUUGGCUACUUGUUUUCACCCAUAUAUAAAUUUCUCCCUGUAAGGAAGGAAAUCUAAUAUUUUUAUCCCAUCUAUUAUUUUCUUAUAAAACAGUGUAACUGUAAUAGUAGUGUUCUUAUCCCAUCUGCCCUUAUGUUUAGUUGUCUUUAUCCUUCUUUGGUUUCUUUUUUUAAACCUAACUUUAAUUGGCUAGCCCUUUUCCCCCAUAUAGAAUCCUCCUUGUAAGGAAAGAAAAUCCAACAAUAUUAGCAUUUUUGUCCCUAUUUAGUUCUCUCAUGAAAGAGUUUAAAUAUACUAGUAUUAUUUUUAUCUCAUAUACCUUUUUACAUAGUUGUCUUUGUCCAUCUUUUUGUAUCUCUGAGUUGUCUCUUUUAUAUUUUCUUUUUUUACGAGUUGAAUAUUUAGUUAUUUCAUUAAAGAGUUUGAACUAUAAAAUACUAAACUUGCACAGAUAAAUUAUAUGUGUCACCCAUUUAUGGGUAUGCCACAUUAAUUGGAAUAUGAAUUAAGAUCCAAUUAUUAGGAUCGCUAGCCCUAUUAUUUUUUUUAAUACAAUGUUCUAUGAAAUCUUAUGCAGAUGAUUGCCACUAGAUCAUUUCUUUAAAAUGCAUAUUCAAGUUGUAAUAUUAGUACUGUAAAUUUCUUGAAUGACUAUAAAAUCAUUUUGAUGCAAGGUUGUUAAAUUGGUGAAAUCUCUUGAGUGAAAAACAAGAAUUAUGGAGUUCAAAUUCCACUUAUAUGGGUGAGAAAGUAGAGCAAUGAUAGACAUUCCAAAUUUUUUAUCCUAAAUUUCAUCCAAAUGAUGUAUCAUUCAUUAAGUGGUUAAUAAUUCUUUAUAAAAUGCAAGUGAAUUAAUUGAAUUAUAUGACCAACUAAUUGAUGAACCCCACAUCAUUUGGAAUAGUUUUUUGGGAUAAAAAAUUUAGAAUAUAUAGCACUAAUGGAGGAAGUAUUUAGCUAUUCUUAAACUCAAAAACACUGCUGUACCGUACAUCCGCCUUGGCCGUACAGCAGUCUCACUAUCAGUACCAAAAAUUAACAUGUCAUCUACAUAUAAACAAAUAAUCACACCUUUAUUUGCAUUGAAUCUGCUAUAUACACAUUUAUCAGAUUCAUGAAUAUUAAAUCCAUUUGAAGCAAUUACUUUGUCAAACUUUUCAUGCCACUGUUUGGGAGCUUGUUUAAGGCCAUAUAAAGAAUUGACUAGUUUACAAACUUUAUGUCUUGUCCUGACAUAAUAAACUCGUCUAGUUGUUUUAUUUAAAUUUCUCAAUCAACUGCACCAUGAGGAAAAAUAUUAGUAACAAUAAAAUGUCCAACCCAGCAAGAACGUAAUUUACCAGGAAAAAGUUUAAGCUUAGAAUGAAAAAGAACUUUUUGACCAACAGAGAACUCUUUUCUCAAAAUCAUUCUGUCAUGAAAUGUCUUCGUCUUUUCUUUGUAAAAAAAUUCCUGCAUUAUAGGGUUAAUAACAUCCACAGAAAAUACCGAAUGUUCCUCACUAGGAUAUUUUAUGGCAUCAUUCAUAUUGAAUUCUAUAAUCUCUCCAUCAAACUCCAUAGUGACCGUACAUCCGCCUUGGCCGUACAGCAGAUAAUAAUAAUAAUAAAUGGCUAGAUUUCACUAUAAAUUUGCCACCUACAAUCUCUCAAAUUGCAGUUAACAAGCAUACAUCUCUCUUGGAUAAACCUAUCUUCUCCCUUACCUUUUCUUAUAGUCUAAAGCUUUUGCCAAACAAACUAGAUGAACAAUAUGCUCUUCAAAAUACAUAAAAAUCAGUGAAAGCUAUUGAAUGGAGAGACUAUUUGAAUUAUUGAAAUACUUCACCACGUUUCAUAUUGAUUAUGAAACAAAAGUGUGGCCUCUUCUUAGUAGCAUAGAAAAGAGAUCAAGGUAUUUGAAUUACAUCGGAUAAGCGACUUACCAGAAUGUUUCUGUUGAAGCCACGCAUCGGUAUUUCUUUAAUCUUAACUUUAUUUCUUUAAUCUUAAUUUUCUUUCUCAUUAAGUUUGAAUUUCAAGUACUGCCAAUUAUGUUUGACAAAAUAUAUAUACACUGUAAUAGGGAAAUAAAAAUUUAUACUAUUUGUGUCAAGAUCAAGGAAUGUGGCGGACACGGGAAGGUAUGCUGCAUCAUUAUUUUCUCUGUUUAUUGAUUAGAAAGGUGAUUUCUUUGUUUCGGAAAAUAUCUCUCUGUUUUUUAAAAGCAUGGUCCCAUAAUUAUCUUCUCUGUUUUGCCAGCAGGGCAAGAAAGCACCAUAAUUUUCAUUCAUAUAGACAACAAGAAGGGAUUUUCAUUCACAUAUUUUUAUUGUUUUGCCUUUGUCAAAUUCAUUCGUUUGCAGGUACUAUACGACGGGAACCGGGAUUGUCAUGGGAUAUUGUGGAAUCAGCUCGAUUCAUUUUCAUAUUAGGGGUCAAAAUAUUGGUCUUGCCACUGCUUGAAUGAAUUGAAUUGAUGAACUUUGUCCCUCUCACAUACACAUAGUUUGCAUUCAAGCUGCAGCAUCAUUUUCUUCUUAUGGGGGCUCAAGAUUCAAGUCAAAAAAUGCAACCUUUGCGUAGCAUUUACCUCGAAUCUGCCCAGUUUCAUUCUUAUUUGCCUCGUCCACCUCUAUAGCUGUAGGUGUUAAAAAGAGAGGGAAAAAGGAAAAAAAAAGAAUGAAACAUAAAGAAUUGUCUCAUUCAGAUGAUGAAACGAAUGCUAGAGCUUGCAUGCAAUUUUAUGAAGAUGGAGAGAGACCUGCACUGGCGGUUGCGACAGCAGUUGGCACCAAGGAUUUAUGUAGUCUUGACAGCGUGUGGAAACAUCUAUGUGUUAUAAUUGAUUAAUUCCUUCAUCAAACCAUUCCUAAUAUUGCCUGAAAAUCCAUACUUUUGUAUCCACAGCUGAUAUCUGACCUUUCAUGUGGAUGCUAUUGCUUUUCCAGAGAUAUCUGACCUCAGGCUUGCUAGCUCUACUUUUGGUUUUAAGCCAUCAAUUGAGGGGUGUUUUAGAUACUUAGAUUGGGGAGGGUUUGCGGAUUAUUAUGCCUCCUCAUAGACCCGUCCACUUGGUUUCUUAGUUCAGGCCACUGCCUAGCAUGAUAAAGUUGAGUAUGGAUGGUUGUUGUAUGGGAAACCUUGGUAUGUCUACUACUAGAGGUGUUAUGCGUAAUCACUAGGGAGUAGUCUUAGCUGCCUUUGGUUCUUUCUUGGGGCACUACUUAAUACUGUUUGUUGAGCUAAUGGCUAUGCUUGAAGAGUUGGAUCUUGCUACUCAGCUGGGGUUUAAUGUUCUAGAGGUGGAAUCUGACUCAACCAUCGUGGUUUCUUGGGCUAAUUCCCAUUGUUAGGUGUGGUGGGGAUAUGUUUAUCUCCUUGGUCGGAUUCAUACUUUAUCUUCUGAUCCUUCUAUUGUUAUUAGGAAUGUCUUUCAGGAGGGUACUUUUGCCACUGACUUUAUGGCCAAUUGGGCAUGUACUCACCAAACUCAUCAGCGAUUCUUUAGCAUUGGAGAACCUCCUUCUAGUCUAUUUGGCAUCCUAGAUUUAGAUGAUCGCAAGUUCUCACAUGUUCGACAUUGAUUUUGUUUUACUAGUUCUUUUAUUUUUUGUUUGUUUUUACUUUUUCUAGGAAGUUUUGGUUUAUGUCUCCCUCCUCAUGUUACUUUCAUUAUCUGAUUUAUAUUAUAAAUAGAGGUUUAGCCUAAACCCAUACCUUCAUGGUGGUUUUAAUUAAAAAAUAAAAAAAAUAUGUAAAUGAUUCUUAAAUAAAAAAUUUCCAUAAAUUUUGCAUAGAAAUAUUAUUUCUGCCGUUGGAAUGAUUUUGUUUUAUUUGAAUUCACUUAGGCAAUGUGUAAAUGAUUUGUCAAUUCCAAUCUAUUAAAUCGAAUGACGUGUUAUUGUACUGAUUGUUUAAUUGGGACAAAAAUGCAUGCCAAAUCGUUGCUGAUAAAAUGCCGAUCCGUCACGAUUGUCUUGAUUUUUUUAUUUUUCCAUCUCGUUAAGGGAUCCAGUUAAAUGAAAAUUAUAAUUUGUUCAUUUAAUUUCAUUAAGUACAUUUGUUAAUUAUAUAUAUAUAUUAAAAAAAAAAUAUUCUGGAUCGCAAUUAGUGCAACUAGGAUUUAACUAGUUGUCUUGAUACCAUACUAAGUUAUUAAUUAGGACUAAGUUUUCUUUUAAAUCCUUAUUAAUUAUAAAUUGGGCCUUACAAAUAUGAAAUAAUUACUGUUUAAAUUCGGUUUAAAAUUCAACAUCUUAAUCUUUAUUUAAAAUUUAAAAUUUGUACUUCAACAACGCAAGCCUGGUAUAAUUUUCCUUUCGGAAAAAACCCACAAAAUUAUAGGAGGCCCACGGCCCCUACCUAUUCUAUUUUGAUCGUUACCUCACCGCCCGAAUUAACUUUACACCCGAUUUGUCGAAAAUAUGGCGCCAAUUUGCGCCCGCGAAAUUCAAAUUAAAAAAAUUAAAUAAUAAACAAAAAUAUGUUGCUAUCACCGUUAUCCUUCUGCUCAGAGGGAGAGAAAAAAAGAUCUGAUGGAAAAUCCAAAUCAACUCGGUUCUCAGGUACGGAUAAUUCUGCUGUUACAUAUUUUAAUCAUUAUCAUCUGCUUCCUGUUUGGUUCCCUAGAAAAGGCAGGAAAAUGAACGAAUUAAAUGGUUAUUUUCGAAUUCCCCAUAAUUCCUUUAUUUCUCCAUAAAUACAUAUGACGAUAGAAAUUUCUGAACUCUAUAAUACGAUCUUUAUUGUCACAGAUUCAAGGUUCCACAACUCCGCUAUCGCUUCCUUCUGGUUAGUACAGUUCUUUUACAUUUGGUUUUCAUAAUUUAUGAAAUUGCCCUUUCAUUUUAUUUUUAUUUAUGUUAUUAGAGCCGCCUGAUGUUAGAAACUGGUUCUUGAGCUAUGAGUAUGAAUCCCCUGUAUUGGGCACAAUUGAUGGAUUCAAAGAUCCUGUUACUAGAGAUAGCGAAUGUUUUGUUUCCAAAGAAAGCACCAAAGAGACAGAAAAUCAUCUUAUCACCAGUGAGGUACUUGAAACCGAAUGCAUUUACUUAAUCAUACAUAAGGUUAGAGUCUCUUUUAUCUAAUAAUUAUUUUUAUUGUGAUAGAUUCUGGAUUCCUCAUGCUUGCCCUCACAGGUUUCUGGUAUGAGUUGCUUCUUUUCAUUUAUGACGUUUGUUCGAAUGUUCGAUGGUUGCAUGAAGAUGUGAUUUUUUUUUCUCGUUUUGGUAGAGCCUGAUGACAUUGGAAACUGGUUUUCAAGCUAUGCUUAUGAAUCUUUUGUAUUGGAUACAAAUGAUGAUGUUCAAGAUUCAGUUUCUGAAGGAAGUGAAUGUGAAAAGGAAGGGUCUCUUGUGGGAGAACGCCAUAAAGGACAAGAGAAUAUGAUUGCAACUAGAGAAAUUGAUGUUAAGAGUGAUAGUUCUUUAGGAGAUGAUAAGCCUGAUGAAAAGCCCUCAAUUAAGGUAAAGUUAUGAUUAUAUUUCUUUUGCCUUUUUGGCAUUCUGUUACCUUUUCUAGCAUAUGAAUUUAAAGGUGUAUCCAACAUUAUUUCUUGUAACUAGACAUUAUUGAUUUACUUUCACAACUACAGCGAUAAAAACCAGCUGCAAAGGGCUAAGUUUUUUAUAUCUAACACAUUGAUGUUGAUUCAGAUUUUGGAUUCAAUGGGUCCAUCUACUGUCUUCACAGGUUAGAAUUGCUGCCUUUGAAAAUUCUUAUUUGGUUGUUCAGUAAUUUUGCAGAAGUGAAUUUUGCUUUUGUUUAUUCUUGUUUAGAACCUCCUGAUGUCAAAAAUUGGUUCUCAAGCUAUGCAUAUGAAUCUCCUGUACUGGAUACAAGUGAUCAAUUUGAAGAUUCACUUCAUUUAGAAAUGGAACCAGAAAAAUUUGUUGUUGAAGAUAGUGAUGCAGAGACAGAAGAGAAAUUGACCAUAAUUAGAAAAUUUAGAAGUGGAGAUGAAAAGGUUGAUGAGGAGAAAGAGCGUUAUAGUUUCGCAAGACAUAAUAGCUCUAUUGAAGUUUGUGAGCAGAAACAGGUUUGUAAGGUACACUUUCUGUAUCUGUCUAUCUCCUUGUUCCAAAAGAAAAUUAAAAUUGUUAUUAAGGAGGGAAAGCAUUUCACAUAUUUGUGGAAGUCAUAUUUUAACUUUCGUGGUCGUGUUGCAGAGAAUUGAUAGGAUUGGAGGGAAAAGAAGUUCGUCUUCUCAGAAUAAGAUACAAUCUGAUAAGAUUUUUAAAGACAUCUUGGAAGGUAAAGCACAGCAAAGCAAUGUCACGAGUCCAUCCAAAGAUAUUAGAGAACUAAGCUUUGAUGAUGAAGGUUCUAUCUCCAAAUUGGAGCUAAAAUUGUCCCAAGAAGCUUGUUCUGUGUCGUGGAAUCUCAAUAGAAUUUCAAGCAGUAAGAAGGAUAAACCUCAAACAAACUCGUUCCAUACGACAGACUUCAAAGAGAAGUUCAUGGAAGAAGUUAGUCCUUUAUCACCUACGAGUAACUCUAAGUUGGCUCAAGAUUGUGGAGCUUCGCCUAGGAAACAAACUCAUAGGAGGAAUGACAAGGAAAAUUAUCAAAAAGGAAUUGCAGAAAAUGGUUUUGUUGCAACAAGGAAACAUGGGAGUACAAGAACAGCAAAUGCAGAUUCUUUGAAAAUGUCGCAAGGGAUUUUAUUAGAGUGUUCAAGGAAUAAUAGAAGUGUUUCGCCUGCUGGUGAAAAGGUUGUUGAUAGAAGAAAGGCAUUGAUAGAAACGACCAAUUAUCAGAACUCUGAUGCUUUAGAGGUCACUGGAAAAUGGAGGUGUCCUCAAAAGGGUAAGCCAAGCCUUGGUCCUCCUCUGAAGCAGCUUCGUCUUGAGCGAUGGAUUCAUAGAGUAUAGAACUCUUAUCACUGUUGGGAGAAGUCUUGGACGCUUAGGAGCGACUUAAGCUAAUUGGUAUUCAGAUUCCAAAAUAAGCAAGCGGGAUCAAGUGCAGUCAACUAGUUAAGAGCAUUCUUAUGUUUUGCAAUAUUCGUUUGACGAGAAGGAAUUUUUUUUUUUUUUUUAAACUUUUCUAGUCUUUUUAGAUGAGUAUCUAAAAUCUAUUUUUAGAAACGAUUUUAGAUGUUUUGAAUUGUUCUUAAAAAAAAGAAAAGGGCAUUGGAUAGUUUUGCAAGACAAAUUUUUGUUCAAACUUUUUUAUAAAUAAAAACUACAAAUCAAACAUGGACUCUAUGCUAUUUUAGGCGAUUGAAUUUACCUUGCCUUGAGUAGAUCAUAUCUAAAUACUUGAGAUCAUGAGGGUAUGGUUACAAUUUUAGCAUAACUGUUGUGGGAUAAAUUCUCAUAUUAUAUAUAUAUUAAAAGAAUAUAUAUAUAAUAUGAUUUGAACUUUUAAGUUAUGUCAUGUAAUAGUGAUAUAAGGUGGGAUAUUUUUAUUCUAUUAUUUUUGUAAAUUCACUGUAUUUUAAAAAAUAAUUAUAAUAAAUUCCUGUUAUUUUUAAAUAUUUGACAACUAAUAUUGUUCACCCGCGAGCCAGAUUCACAAUCAAGAAUUUAAAUGAACUAAUCGUCGUUAUGGUAGUAUAUUAAAAGAAUAUAUAUGAAAUAAUCCUCUUAUUAUGCUAUUGUGUAUGAACAGUGUAGAGACGAAAUGUUAAUUUUCGUUCCCUCAUUCAAGAGUUUGAAUUGGAAAGGAGUCUGACUAGACAUAGACGAGUCAUCCAAGCAAUACAAGAUUUGGUUUAGAUUUAGUAUACCAACAACUAGCUAGCAAUUACGCAAAAGCUUGUUCAAUUUGAAUGAAAAUUGCUGGGAAAAUUAUAAAUAGAUAUCACUUAUUUUAAUAAUUAUUUAUUUCUAACCUUUUCAUUUAUGUUAAAAAAAAAAAGAGAGAGAAAAACGUUUCAUUUUAAAUAAUAUGGUAUUUAGUACCUCGAUGUCAAUGAUGGGAUGAAAUAUACUUUCUAAACUAAUUUUAACAACUCAACAAAGAAAAUUUUUAAUAUAAAAUAUCAUCUCUUGUAUCUUAUUAUAUGUACAUCUCAACCGAUCAUAAAAGUAAAGAUUAAAAAAUUUAAUGGAUGAGAAAAUGUACACCUUAAACACCUCUAAAAACAAGAAAUUUGGAUAUAAUUAAAUCUUAUUUUGUUUAGUUUUUCUAUACAAAUUUUGGGACAGAAUUUCUAGGUUAGCUAGCUACUAUAAGGCCUUGCAAUGUUUCAGGGAAAAGCGUACUAAGCGGACCCGUUAUGAUUCCACAAGUAGUUUGCAGCCCAUAAAAUUUAAAGCCCACGGCCCACGUUUCUGUGCCCGACUGUCUAUCGCUCUAUCAAAACUCUCCUCGUCGUCGUUGGUGUGCUCGCAUGGGAUCAAUUUUGAGUCAACGAUGAGUGCUUUAACGAAGCUAACGAAAACACUUGCACAUCACUGCGUCAAAAAAUCUAAAACCCAUUGGUGCAAAUCUUCGCAGCCACUGUUAAAUUUAUUAAUCUCUGAAAAUAUUGUUAACAUCAACACUUCUCAGUUUCAUCAGUACCAAAGCCGUAGAACUCUCAUUCUAGAUUCCGCUUCCUCCGAAUCAGUCCAGCUUCAGCGACUCUCCGAUUCUGAUUCCGGUACUUUCACUUAUACUUUUGAUUGAAUAAAUUUUAUUUGUUGACUGAUAAAUUAGUUGCUGAUUCAAGCUUGUGAUUGAACAGGGAUAAUUGAGGUUAGUUUAAACAGACCUGCGGCAAAAAAUGCGCUUGGAACGGAUAUGUUGAGAGGCUUAAAGCAUGCAUUUGAAACUAUCAGUGAGGAUUCCUCUGCUAAUGUUGUCAUGAUACGUAGCUCGGUUCCUAAAGUGUUCUGUGCUGGAGCUGAUUUGAAGGUACUGUUAUUAAUAAUUUUUUUGAUUUAUUUGUUUUUGCUGAGCAAAUAGAAUCGAAGCAACUUGUGUCUUAAUUAGGAUGCUUUAACAAUAGGUCAAAGGAAAAAUGGAGUUUAGUUGUGAUAAUUGGAAUUUGCAGUGUAGACAAGUCUUUAUUCUGUCAACAAUUAGUUGUUGAGUGGCAGCUCAAGGCUCGUGAUCUGGUCAUUAUAAUUUUUUUUUAAUUUCAUAUUUUUAUCUUCACUUAAGGAUUGUAUGAAUAUUAUGGCUGACAUACACAUGCUUAACUGUUGUUGCCUUGGUGGGAUUUGCAGGAACGCAGGCAAAUGAGUCCAUCCGAGAUUCAUUUUUAUGUCAACACAUUGCGAUCUACAUUCUCCUUCUUAGAGGUUGUGACUUUGAUUGAUCACCCACUAUUAUAUAAGUUUCUAGUUAGAUAACUUGUGUGCACGAGAAUUACACAUAAGAGCAAGGGGGGUCUGUGUGUAUUUAAUAUUAGUGCUUCCAUGCUUCUAUCCACUCUCAGUCUGUACUGUGGUCGUUUCAUGAUGAUGUGGAUGUAUCUAAUUUAUCACUUAUACUCUGUUCAUGUUCAUAAAUUUUUAUAACUUGUGUUUAUAUCACUGCCUAUAAUUGCUACUUCUCAUCUAGGCACUUCCUAUUCCAACCAUUGCUGUUAUUGAUGGAGCAGCAUUGGGUGGUGGACUUGAAAUGGCACUAGCAUGUGAUCUUCGCAUCUGUGGUAGGUUCAAUUUAUCCAUUUACAAUUUUCUUUCGGUCAAAAGAAUAAAAGUGUAAUUGGACUCUUCUUUCUAAUUACUCAGGAGAAGCAGCACUAUUGGGCUUGCCUGAAACAGGACUUGCUAUAAUUCCUGGGUAAUGCUUGAAAUCUUGUUUCACAUUUGGUAAAGUUGUAUUGCAUAGUUCCUGCAUUUUGUUUGGUGGCAAGGAUUUAUAUCAGUUGUAAAUGCCCAUAAGUACUUUUUCUUGCAAUCGCAGUUGAGACUUUUUAGAACUAAUUAUAUCAUUAGUUUGGCUGAGGAGAGUGGUCUUCUUUUUUUAUUUUUGAUUUUUUUUAUUUUAAGAGGAUAAUUACUAUGUUCCUGCUGGUCAAGCUCAGUUGAAGGCACUUGAAAUUGCUCAGGAAAUAAAUCAGAAGGUACAAUCUGUCUUCAGAAUUCUCUUGUAGGGAAAAGCAUGUGGUGUGUUAUAUGACUUCAAUACUGUCAAAAAUCUCUCGGCAGCCAGAACUUGAGCACAUUUACCUGAAUUUUUGGCAUCAUGAUUUUAAAAUUAUGUCAUUGUGUGGUAAAUCAUGCAUGUUCGAAAACUUUAUUUAAGCAGAGAUACGAUUAUGACUAUAUUAGAUGCACGGAAGCUUUUAGAAGACCUUCAGCCUGUAGAGUUGCAAUUACUUGGUGUAUGUAUAUGUACGUUUUGGUUGGUGUAACUUCUCGCUGUCCAAGUUAUACUUGAUGUGAUGAAGUAGAUCUGGCUUAGAAGCUAUUGAACGGGAGAAAUAAUGAACUUGAAUUUUUGAGUUCAAAGUAACAACUGGUUCUGUUCUUCAGGGUCCGAUAGCCAUUAGGAUGGCUAAAAGGGCUAUUACUAAGGGAUUGGAGGUGGAUAUGGCAUCGGCAUUGGAACUGGAAGAAGAGUGCUACAUUGAGACCUUGCAUACAGAGGAUCGGUUGGAGGGCUUGGCUGCAUUUGCCGAGAAGCGGAAACCCAAGUACACCGGCACAUAGAGAGAAAGAGAACGCUGCCAAUAGCCCUUUAUCUAUCUGGACAGGUUUUCUUGGGCGCCACAACAAUGGGCACAUGAGCAGUUCGCACUGCAUAUGUUGGACAGGCUUCAAAUGUAAUAUUAACAAUAAUGGGCCCAUAAGCAGUUCCUCUGCAGAUGUUGGACAGGCUUCAAAUGUAAUAUCAACAAUGUCAAUAAUAUUUAAUGUUCAGCUUUCAUGGGUAGCUUGAAGCUGUAUAUUUUGUGGUAGCCUAAUUUUUAUCAUUGUCAUCAAAGUCAGUCUCUUUACUUUUUGUUGUUUUUGUAGUUUGAGAUUAAUCUAACAAAUCUCUAUUUGAAAGAGAACGCACAUCAACAAUUCUACAUUUUAGCGUCAUUCCCUUCCUUCCCUUGAUCAGUUAAAAGCAUAAUAAAAAAUCUAUUUCAACUCGCUGGAUUGAAUUUCUCUUUUAUUUAACGGUUGUCAACUAUUAUAUUUCAUUAAUUUAACAUCGGUCGCUGCUGACGUUGAGCCAGUUUGGGAGUGCGGUUGUAAUUAAAUAAGCUGUUUAUUUUAUAAUUUUUGAUAAAAAUAGUGUUUGGUAAACUUUAUAAAAACAGUUUAUUUCAUAAUUUCUCUCAUUUUAUUAGGAGCUUUUAAAAGCAGGUAGGUGUUAUUUUUCAUAAGCAGUUUAUUAAAUAAGCUAUCACAUCUUUUUAAAAAUUCUAUUAUAACCCUAUAUUUUAAUAAAAAGACAAUUGUAUCUCACUUAUCUAUAACUCAUUAUAUAUAAAUCAUCAAAUAUCAUAUUACCACCAUAACCACAUACAUUCUCUCUAGUUUUGAUGUAAUAAGUUUCUAUUCUAAUUUCAUAAUUAUGACUUUUAAAGUUUAAUCUAUAUUAUAUAUUUAAAAAAAAAAGAUGUGUCUAAAUAAUUUAUUAAACAUACUCUAAAAAUAAAAAGCAAUUAAAACUUAUAUCUAUUUUAGUCAUUAUAUAAUAAAACAAUACUUUCGUAAUAAAAUUUAUCAAACACAUAUACUCUACUUUUCAAACUUACGGUAACUGCAAAAGCACAAUUUACUAAAUACCAAACUACUUUUUUAAUCAACAACUUAUUUCAUAUGCACAGCACAAGCAGCUUAUUUCAUCAGCCCCUUGUAUUGUUUAUUUGUUUCAGUUUCAUAAUUUAGAUUUAAACUUAACAAUUAUUAUUAUUAUUAUUAUUAUUAUUAUUAUUAUUAUUUGUUAUUUGUUAUUCCGUAAAAACCCGAACACCUGUGUCCUGACGGCCGGCGUUCGAUUCCAGCCAUUUAUAAAUAAAGACGGGGUAUUUUUGUCAGACCGAUAAUAUUCCCGCAGAAAUAAAAGGUACACGAAACCUAUAAAAAAGGAAUAAAGAAGAGGAAACGACAUUAUUUUUUAUUCGGUGUUUCUUCUGAUCUAGCUAAAGAGAAAGCAAAAUGGCAGCAGUAGACGAGCGUCCUUCAGCUAAGAGGUGGCUCCCUCUUGAAGCUAAUCCCGAUGUCAUGAACCAGGUAUUAUUCUACUUUUCUUUUCUUUUCUAUUUUGUUGGUUUUCUUGUUUAGUUUAUAGAUCAUCCGCUGUUUGUUCACUAAAGAAGAGAAUUGAAAUGAAUUUUUGUAUUAUUGUUAUUAAUCGCAUAACAAUUUCGAAGAGUGAUUUUUUUUAUUUGGUCUUUUGGUUUUCCUUUCUUUUUUUUUUUUUUAAUUUGAAAUUUGAUAGAUUCUGGAAGUUGUUUGAAAGACACCCUUUUUGUUUACAGAGAAAAAUGAAAGAAAGUAUCUAUUGAACUGCUUAUCUAUGGUUAUGAGUUGUUGCUUUUAUUACUUUAAAACAAAAUGGCCACAUAGAGGGUUAUUCUGUUUGUGAAGAGUAUUCUUAGUUUAGUUUACUUCAUAUUUUUUAUUUUGUAGUUCCUUUGUGGCCUCGGUCUUCCAGCUGAGGAGGCAGAGUGCUAUGAUGUGUAUGGCUUGGAUGAUGAGCUCUUGGCAAUGGUUCCGCAACCUGUUCUUGCCGUGCUGUUUCUUUAUCCCUUAACUGCACAGGUCUGUUAAAACCAAAUUUGUUUCUUUAUACUUGGUAUGCUUUACGAGUAUAUACUUGUUUGCUGAUUUUUUUUUUAAUUCAAAUUUUGAUUUCUUCAGAGUGAAGAAGAAAGAAGGUUGCAGGACAAUGACAAAAAGGUGAGUGUGAAUGUGUGAUGAUAGGACGUAAUUACUUUUGCUUUAUUAUGCUGUUCUUGAUCAUAAAUAAUCUCUUUUUAAUUAUGAAUACAUACAUAUCAUUUGCAUCCUCUUUGUUAUUUUUUGGUUAUAAGUCUCUUGGUUUUCCUCUUAUCAUGGUUGAUCAAUUGUUUUUGUUUUCUAACUGAGCAAAUGCAGCCGGUGUUGGUGUUCACUUCUAUUUGUGGAGCACAACUUCACUCCACUUUCCUCAUUUAUUUUCUCUCUGUAGGAAUUUAGCAAGAAUGUUUAUUUCAUGAAGCAAACUGUUGGAAAUGCUUGUGGAACAAUUGGACUUCUUCAUGCUGUUGGGAACGUCACUUCGGAAAUCAAGUUUCGUAAGUUGUGCUUACUCUUUCUUUAAUUGAGUGUUGCUAGUGUAGCAGUGGUGCUGGCAAUACAAAUACUUUAGAAAUGCUAGUAAUGCAUUCAGCUUUUCUGGCAUUCAAGGUACCUCUAAAUGCUCAUAGUUAUCAGCCAAGUGCUUGUUUGUAUUGUCAUGUAUAUUGCUUCCCUUUACAUUUUUUCUUGUUAUUGCAGAAGCUGAUUCAUUCUUCGAUAAAUUUUACAAGUCCACAGCGAACUUGGAUCCACAAGAGGUGAUUCAUUCUUGGUUCUAUUUCUGCCUUUCCUUUUUUCCCACCCCUAGAGUUAUCUGUUGACUUUGAAUAAUAUUGGUUAUUUCCUCUCAUUUCUCACUUCUAAUUGCUAUGAGUUUUUCAUAUGCUUUCUGCAGCGUGCAGCAUUUCUUGAGAAUGAUAAGGAAAUGGAAGUUGCUCAUUCGGUAGCAGCUUCAGCUGGUGACACAGAGGUAUUUACACAUGCUUGUUUUCAUUAUAAUCAGUAAGGACACUAGUACGGCAUGAGAAUAUCAGCUAAAAUUUGUUAAUCAUAUGGUUGGGCAUUACAUCUUCGUGAGAAUAUAAGCUAUAAUUUGUCUUAAAUGUAUUGCUUUUGUGACCAAAUGGAAGCUUAGCUGUUAAAUUAGACAUUCUCAUAAAGCUGGGAUUUUGGAAGUGAAAAUAACUGAUUCAUAUUUGUGGUGGUAGUGAUUACAACCCUUCAAAUUUUGAUUUCUUCAGAGUGAAGAAGAAAGAAGGUUGCAGGACAAUGACAAAAAGGUGAGUGUGAAUGUGUGAUGAUAGGACGUAAUUACUUUUGCUUUAUUAUGCUGUUCUUGAUCAUAAAUAAUCUCUUUUUAAUUAUGAAUACAUACAUAUCAUUUGCAUCCUCUUUGUUAUUUUUUGGUUAUAAGUCUCUUGGUUUUCCUCUUAUCAUGGUUGAUCAAUUGUUUUUGUUUUCUAACUGAGCAAAUGCAGCCGGUGUUGGUGUUCACUUCUAUUUGUGGAGCACAACUUCACUCCACUUUCCUCAUUUAUUUUCUCUCUGUAGGAAUUUAGCAAGAAUGUUUAUUUCAUGAAGCAAACUGUUGGAAAUGCUUGUGGAACAAUUGGACUUCUUCAUGCUGUUGGGAACGUCACUUCGGAAAUCAAGUUUCGUAAGUUGUGCCUACUUUUCCUUUAAUUAAGUGUUGCUAGUGUAGCAGUGGUGCUGGCAAUACAAAUACUUUAGAAAUGCUAGUAAUGCAUGCAGCUUUUCUUGCAUUCAAGGUACCUCUAAAUGCUCAUAGUAUCAGCCAAGUGCUUGUUUGUAUUGUCAUAUAUAUUGCUUCCCUUUACAUUUUUUCUUGUUAUUGCAGAAGCUGAUUCAUUCUUCGAUAAAUUUUACAAGUCCACAGCGAACUUGGAUCCACAAGAGGUGAUUCAUUCUUGGUUCUAUUUCUGCCUUUCCUUUUUUCCCACCCCUAGAGUUAUCUGUUGACUUUGAAUAAUAUUGGUUAUUUCCUCUCAUUUCUCACUUCUAAUUGCUAUGAGUUUUUCAUAUGCUUUCUGCAGCGUGCAGCAUUUCUUGAGAAUGAUAAGGAAAUGGAAGUUGCUCAUUCGGUAGCAGCUUCAGCUGGUGACACAGAGGUAUUUACACAUGCUUGUUUUCAUUAUAAUCAGUAAGGACACUAGUAUGGCAUGAGAAUAUAAGCUAAAAUUUGUUAAUCAUAUGGCUGGGCAUUACAUCUUCAUGAGAAUAUAAGCUAAAAUUUGUCUAAAAUGUAUUGCUUUUGUGACCAAAUGGAAGCUUGGCUGUUAAAUUAGACAUUCUCAUAAAGCUGGGAUUUUGGAAGUGAAAAUUGCUGAUUCAUAUUUGUGGUGGUAGUGAUUACAACCCUCAUGCUUUUGUGUGUAUAGGUUAAUAAUUCAUGUGAGUGUGAUUCUAUAUGAACUAUGCAUUAUACUGAUUUCUAAAGGACCCAUUAUAAAUUCCCAUGAGAAGCUGGCUCUAAGAUAUAUCUUAUUGUUUUAUUUGGCACUAUCAAGUAAGGUUUGGGUGCUACAGUAUACUAUUGGAUUGGACUGUAGGAGUCUAAUUGUGAAAAUGUGAUUUGUCGGGUCAAAUUACUUUCUUAGCAGUUAUUAUAUAAAAGGUGAAAUGAAAAUUUGACAAGUGUUGAUCGCCGUCUUUGUGAAGUUUCAUGCUCAGCUUCAAAAUGUAGAUUUAAAUGCACUGGACUGGUUGUUGAGGAUAUACUUUACUGGCUAUAGAACCAUUGAUUCCCCCACCCCCCAAAAAAAAAAAAAAAGUGGAAUUAAGAGUUCGCCAAUCAAUAUAAUUUUUCCCCUAACUUUUUUUUUUUUUUUUUUAAUUGGUAAGAGUUCGUCAAUCAAUUUCUUUUUUUCCGUUUCCUUCUGUUUUUUCCUAGUUAUCAAAUGAUGUAUAACAUCGUAAGCUCCAAUUAGUUUAAUAUCGUAAGUUGCAAUUGGUUUAUCUUCAUUUGUCUUACCAUUUUCUUAUUUACAGGCUACCGAUGACGUGAAUGAUCAUUUUAUCUGCUUCACCUGUGUGGAUGGUACAUGCUUCCUUUCGAUAGUUGACUUAUUUUUUUCCCUCUCAUAUUGAUUAGCCAAUGUUCAGCUGUUAACCAGCUUUUGAGAAAUUCUAUCUAUGCUUUUGUAUUUAUCAAAAUCUUCUAUGUAGGGGAACUUUAUGAACUUGAUGGAAGGAAGUCGGGGCCAAUAUCUCAUGGUGCUUCGUCUCCAAGCAGCUUAUUGUUGGUAUGGUAAUUGGCAUUAUAAAACUGUGUAUUUCUACCCUCUUAGAUUCUUAGAUCCCAAAAGAAGCAAAAAUAAAGAAAUUCUUCAGUUUUGGAUCUGAGAAAGAAAAAAAUAUAAGAAAAUGAAAAGGCAUCAAUAGUCUUAAGGUCAUAUUUAGUAUUGAGGUUGGGCAGCUGUAUCUUAAAAUCUUAAGUGUUUGGGAAACACUAACUACUAUGAUUUAGAAGUUAAGUUGAUUUGAAUGAUGAAAAAUCGAUAAUAUUUUUACUAUUUUUGUCAAAAUAAUUAUUUAAAAGUAAACAUUACUACACGCUAUUAAUUUUUAUUUCAUAUCUAUAGUUGUUUUCUACAAUAGCUAUGGUUUAAAAGCUGUGACACCUUAAUACUAAACAGGGCUAAAACUAAGUGAACUUUUCUUUAAAGAAAAAGGAGAGAAGAAAUAUUGGUUACUCUGUAGGGCUAUCUCUGAAGCAAGUUUAGACCAUCAAUAUCUUUGUUGGGCUAGGGUUAGAGUUGCUGCACAAGGUUGGGUUUGGUUUUGGGUUUCAAGUAUAACAAAUUUUAUCCUGAUUGGAUAAGCAUCUUUCUGUUUAAUGAACUACAGUCAAGGAGGUUCAACUUGCUAAUGUGUCUUUUCAUCUUUAACCUUAAGCAGAAAGUGAGCGUGCCUCGGUUGUAGCUCUUUUUUGGCAGUUUUCUUACAUAGUAUUUCACAUGUACUUUACUCUCAAGUUUGAUUAUUAAUAUUAUCUAUUAUUUAUUUAUUUUUUACAGGAUGCAGCUAAAGUGAUAAAGGGCAUGAUCCAGAAAAAUCCUGAAUCACUGAACUUCAAUGUAAUUGCCUUUUCGAAGAAAGCUUGAGGUGCAUUUUAAUGUUGAGAAUCUGAGCUUAUUAAGUUCCUGCAAAUGAUAAAGCUUCUUACUGCGGUUUUCAGUUUGUGCACAUCCACAUAUGCUGCAAACAAACUAGUUCAGUGAUGGUUGUAGGUCGACUUAGGUGGCUUUACUUUCAGAUGGUACAGCAUGUUAAUUCUGGUUGCUAUGUUUCAGUUUUAGAGCAGAUUCAUUUUACACCUUGGGAGUGCCAGCAUGACUCUUAGCCCUACAAUGCAUGUUAUGCUACAUUUCCUGCUGAUGUUAAAUUUAAAUGGGUGAACAAAUUUGGAUUUGGAAACAAGGCUUAUCCUUUUCUCUACCGAUUAAAACAUCACCAAGAUUAUUAAGACCUCGUUUGGUAUUGAGUGAGGUGGUUAACAGUUAUAGUUUAUGUGAGGGAAAAAGAAGAAAAAGAAAAAACAAAAGCAUAUAGCUAUGAAGAAAAAUUAAAAUUAAAAAUGUGGUAAAUAUAAUUUCUAAGUAGUAGUUUUGACAAAAAAAUGGCAAAGAUAUAGGUUUUUUUAAUUUAGUUUUUAUACAUAGUAACAAGUGUUUAUAUUUAAGUUGCUGUAAUUUAAAGUGACAACCCUGAGAGUGCCCACCAUAAUAAAACAAGGCUAUUAAAAAAAAAUAAAAAAAUAAAAAAUCUUUUGAGCCGGAUUAUUUUCCAAUAGGGCAAAGCUGGUUUCUUCUUUCUUCUCCUUGUCACAUACACUCUGUUAGUACGGUAUCUAGUUAGUCGAAUUUUUUUUUUUUGAAGAGACAUUUUGUGGAUGAUAUAAGUGAUUCUCAUGCAAGGAUAACUGGAGUUUAGUUUUUAUAUAUAAAAGAAAUCAAAGUUAUGAAACAGCAAAACAAAGGCCUAAAUAAAUAUGGUGGUAAUCCGUGAGUUGUUUGGCAAGAGGGUGAGCGAAUCGGCUUCUAACUUCUUCCUAGUCUACUUGAGCGUCUCACCUAUCUCUGUAUUGUUGCAAUCGCGCUCAACAAGCUUAUUUGCGAGUUUCAAGAGCUUGAUUUCAAUAUUGAGCUUCGGUUCGAUCUCAACCAUCCUCUUACCAGGCUUCCUGUUCACUCCAACCUUGGUAUCUUUCUUUGGCUCCACAGCAAGCUUGUUGGCCUGCAUGUUUUGGUAUCCAUUAGUCUCUGAAACUCUUCUUGCCCUUCGACUUUGCAAUCCCAUGGCCGUGCAUCCAAAGAAAGAAAAAAAAAUUAGUAUUCUGUUAACUUUUUAUAUCUAGAUGGGACAUGACAUUAUGAAAACAUUAGGACGAGGUAAUAAAAGUUGAUUUCUACUAGAGGGAAAGUGACAAUCUCGGUAAAUAAUUAAAAUUAUGUAUUCUCACUUUUCAUUUCUUUUAUUUUUUUUUCCAGCUGAAAAUUGCUUUGAGGUUAAACAUCAAGUGAUUUUAAAAUGAAACUUCCAUUUUUUAUUAUAGCCUUUUUUUCUUUUUUGAAAUUCUAUCAAUAUAUAGAACUUAAACAAGCUAAUAACAAUCCCCCCAACUGGUUUAGGAUACAGAGCAAAUGUACCAUAAACGUUUACAAAUAAAAUUAUAGUAAAAUGCACUUGCUAGUUACUAGUGGCUUCAGCUUUCAGUUAACUGCAGUGAAUGAAGUGGGGGCAUUGGGGGACUAGGAACUUCCAGAUAACCUUCUAACAUUUUCACGAUCAUCUUCGUUGUAGGCCUUUUUAGUGGAUCUUCUUGAACGCACCACAGUGCUGUCAUCAACCAUUUACACACCCUUGAUUUGUCAGCCAUAGCUGCUUUAUCAUUGUCAACCAAAACAUCUAGUCUUCCUUCAACAUAGCAGUCAUAAGCCCAAUCUGUUAGUAUUGCACUUCUUUCUUCCUCCAGUUCCAUCUCCACACUUCUCCUACAGCAAAUGAUUUCCAAUAACACAACACCGAAACUGUAAACAUCCACUUUGGCCGAGACAGGUACAUUCUUGAACCAUUCUGGAGCCACAUAUCCUCGAGUUCCUCUGAUCACGGUGCGCGUUCGAGACUGAUCAGAGAGUAACAGCUUGGAUAAUCCGAAGUCAGAAAUUUUUGCAGUGAAAUCUUGGUCUAGAAGUAUGUUUUGAGGCUUUAUGUCACAGUGGAUGAUGGGAACAUUGCACUCUUCGUGCAAGUACAGAAGCCCUCUUGCAAUCUCCAGGGAAAUCCUGACCCUUAGACUCCAGUCAGGUCUUGGAAUUGCAAAAAGUAGGUUAGCCAAGGUGCCAUUCCCCAUGAAUUCAUAUACUAAAAGCCGGUUAAGACCUUCGUCACAGAAUCCAAGUAGCUGGACAAGAUUCUUGUGAUGUGUUCUGCCAAUUGCACUCACUUCAGUUUUGAAUUCCCUUUCCCUUUCUUGUGCCAACUUGUC
rnacentral:lncRNA from 1 species